ACUUAGGUGGUAAAUCAAGCGACCGUCCAUUCGGCAAAGCUGUUUUAGAUGGCGUAGAGCUUCACAUCCACAGCGGAAACACGACUUACUUGGAUGAUCUUGCUCGGGCACUUAAGGGAUACUCAAAUGUAAUCUUAGCUGUAGCGGCGGAAUGUCCUAUUCCUGACCCUGCUCUCGACACAACUAUCAGAACUGGAGUCGUCGAUCAGGUGCGGGUGGAAUUUUUUGACAACCCAUCUUGUCAGUUUACCCCUCCAAAAGAUACCAGUCUCCUCUUCCGGAGCUGGGACAAUUGGUCUGAUUAUCCAGGCGUUCAUAAAUUGUACCUGGGAAUACCUAUCUCCCCUACUAUCGCACCUGAGGGCGGUUACAUCCCACCUAAUGAGCUAGUUUAUCAUGUUCUUCCCUAUCUGAAGAAGUCUCCUGUUUAUGGAGGCAUCAUGGUUUUCCCCUACCUUCAUCACGAGGUAAAUUUCCAGUCCAUGCUACGGUCCUAUGCUCGUGCUGCCUGAUCAGUUCCUCUCGAUCGCUAUCUGCUGAAGGAGGGAUGAAAUCAAAUGUACUCCUGCUUGUUAAUGCCGGAGACGAAAAUGAUAAAUAAAUAAACAAUGCGUUGUUUAUAAGUAUUUUUUCUUUCAGUUGUCCUAUGUAUCAUCACUAGAUACACAUUCGUUCUCCAGUACAAACAUAUUCACGCAAGAACCUCUAUGGUUCGGAACAAUAGCUCACGAUGACUUGAAACAGGCACAAUGACUUGAAGUCUUCGUGGAAAUCAUUACAACAAUAACUACAGAAUAUAAUGGACGUAAAUAUUAAAUGCUAAAGAUAAAAUAUGUAGAUAGAUACUACAACAAUAAGUACAGAAUACAUAAUAAAUUUUAUCACUCGAUGAAAACAUGUAUCAGCAGCAUAAAGUAGUUACAUACUUCAUAAUAUCAUUAUUCGGCAAUUUUUUGGAAUAAACAGUCUAAGAAUCAGUCAGGAUAAUUGAUUCAAUUGCUAUACUUGUGGUUGGCUAACGGAUGGUACUUAGUCUAUUCUUCUAAGAAAUAUACUGCGAGUUAAUUUUUCUAGUUCACUUUACAACAAGACAAGUGUUUUUGUCGGACUAAAUGGUUGUCACGAAACUGAUGAACGUUUCGGAAGGUUCAUGACUCAGAUUUUGCCAAUAACAUAAAAAUUCAUGUUGUAAAGGUGAGAUAACGAUAUAUGUAACUCUAACUCAACAAACUUGGAGGGUCGUCGUGAACAGUAGUUUAAGUAUAUAACAUGUGUGUUUUAAGAGUUUAUUACAAAUAUUUGAUAACUUGCCUGUUGAUUCCCUUUUACAUCGUUUCGAAACGAUUCUACUGACGAUUGUCAUUACCCCUCUCCCAUUCCUGUCAUAGCCAACUUGUUUUUGGAGAUGAUUUUUUUUUUUUUUUUUUAUCAAGCUUUCUCGCAAGUGACAAUUGAUUAAUAAGCUUAUUUAAUGCAGCAAAAGUGACAGGAAUAUUACUACCAAAUCAAUCAGCUAAUAAUGAUGAAGUAGUAUUAAGGAGAUGCGUAUUCAAUUCCUUUGGUAUUGGUCGUCUGAUAAAGUAAGCUCUGAUAAAGCAUCAUCUAUGGUUCUAAAUGCUUGUAGAAAAUUGCUGAUAAAAUGACAAUGACUUAAAGUUCCUGAAAAAUAUGUAUUCAUUUGUCGAUCUGUAUCAGAGUUACUGCCAUGGACCACUUAAAUAGUAACUGGUUGCAGUAGUCUAUUUCCAAGAAUAACCCAAAAAAAAAAUUAAUUACUUAUAGAAUAGGAUCCACAUACUUUACAAAGCCUUUACAGAUAUUUGCAUGGAUCCAGCUAUAUUUCUUUUUUUUUUUUGUGGUAAAAACUUUGUUUAACACGUUCAAUGAGACUUGAUAAACUCUUCUCUUUUUUUUUUUUUUUUUUUUUUAAAUAUAAGCAAAACAUUUUGGUGGUUUUGAAUAUAUAAAAGGUUGAAGCUAAAAGAAGAGUAAACAGAUAUUUAAUGAAUUUCAAAUGCACAUUUAAAUUUUGGAGUAACCAAAACAAUCGUAAAUGAACAGCCUUCAAUAUCUCGACGUGCCCAUAUAGCGUUCGAAAUUGGGUACAAACUUUGUGACGUGUUGAGUCUGGCAACUACAAGUCUACCCGUGAAGAAAUUAAAGUCAUGACCCACAGUGGUAGAGAGGCUGGACGUUGCAUGCAGCCUUUCAUAUACUAUAUUCCUCCCAAUCCAGUGACAGCAGCCAGAGGGGCUGGAUGCUGCACACAGUUAAAUUACAUUUUACUCCCCUAUGAUUUAAUAUUUUUUUAUACAUAAUCUUCUUAUGAUUUCAAAAGUUAUACAUAACUCUCUUAUUGUCUGAAUUAAAGCGUCAAAUUAACGAAAUUUGCAAUCUAUAAUGGAAUCAAUUAAAAUAUAAAAAAUGCCCUAUAUAAAGUUGAAAAUUAUUUAUUAACUAUAAGGGGAUUAUGUAUAUAUAGUGAAAGCCAUAAGGGAGUUAUAUGGUAAAACAUUAAAUUAUAAGGGGUUCUAUGGUAAAAUAUAAAAUCAUAUGGGGUUAGAGUGUCAUACAUAUUAUGUUUAUGUACUUUGUUCGCUUCAGCCAUUUGAGUUUCAAAACAAGGGUAAUUUCAACUUUUAAAUAAGUUUCUUUACGAAUAAUCAUUUUGUGACGGCCCCACCUUCUCCUAGGGCAUACCCUAGAAAUUAGCGGACCACCUGCCUGGCUUUCGCCAGGGUUCAAUCACUUACAUUAAUGUCAGAGAUAACAUUUCGAUAAACCAAAACCAAACGCUCAAAUCUUUUACAAUACCAAGUUCAAUAUAAUAGCCUCAACCAUAAUAUGAUAUUAAAGGAUUUACAAUCACAAAAGUGUUCACGUUAACUCCCUAAGAUCCCUCGUUCAUUCCCUGACCACCAACUCCUGUAAGGAAAACAAAACUAAAAGGUUGAGCUAAAGUUCAGUAAGGUUUGUCGAACAAGUAACAUUCAAUAAACACUUAACCAGUAAAAUUAAGCAACUAAUGCACAUUUCACUGUAUAGUCACUUUUGAAAGGAUACAACAACCAAUUAGCAGUAUAAAACAUUCACCAAACUUAACAAUUCAGGAUAUCAAAUUUAAUAAAAGUAAUCAAUCACCUCAAAGGAUACGGUACUGAUACGGACUCUAGAGGUGGCUCCUGUCCGUUCCAGACGUAGCACUUAGUUCCGUUCAGUAAUUCAGUGUCAUUUCAAUGUCAUUGCACACUCGUUUCAGUGUCAUUGUACAUUCAUUUUAAUAUCAUUGCACACUCCGCCAAUCCACCUCCUUAUGUCCUCUAAAACAAUAAACAAUCCCCUACAUUCAGUAAUCAGUUGAAUAAUCUCCCAACUUCAGGGUAAUACUCGAGUAUACCAAACAGUUACCCAAAGCUUCCGUCCUAUCCGACCAAGCCCUUUGCUGGCUCAAAUAGUCUAUUGAACAGAGGGUUUUGAGGCCCAUUUUAGCCGAUGCGAUAAAGUACACAUACGGCUUACAUUCAUACACACUAACAGUAACAUUUAGUCAAUUAUCAACCUUCAACCUCAACUAAGCCGAGUGCGAUAAAGUACACCAUCGAUUUAGAAGGCGAGAGACAAUUGAGAUACACUUUACAAUAAAUCACUAGCAAUAUACAUAAUAAGCACAUUUAUCACAUAAUUUCACUUAAAUAAACAUAAAUAGUUAAACACAUAAAUUCGGAAACACUCACCCUAAUCAAAAGUUACACUUCGAUCUCUUAAUUGCUUUCUUGCACACCGCUGUCUCCUGAGACAAGUUAUAAUUGCCAUAAUUAUUUAACUACUCAUUUGGUGAAGUUCUAAAGUAUAAUCAACAUACGUGUUGUAUGCCAGCCUUAAGUCACCAUUCCACCCGAAAUCUAAGUCAUUGCUAUGUUUAAAUGAGGCGACUAGUGCAUUUUCUCACACUCACUUGUUACUUCGACUUUUAAUUUCCAAAAGAAAGGAAGUUUAAGUAGCAAUUCCAGUAAUGUCACUUCACUACUUUUAUACUGUUAGAUUUAUCAUACUAAAACUCAACAUUAACGUUUAACAAGGUAAGUUUAGAAGUAGCUAACCUUAAAGUACUUUCUUGUCACAUAAUUCCAUCUGUUAUUAACCAAGACCACAUGCAUAACUAGUUUAUUACCUUAAGAUGUGUAUACAAUUUAUAUAGAGCCUAUUAAACCAAGUAAUAAAUGGAUAUCUUCUUAUAUAAGUUACAAGGCUCCUUUGAUUCCUAUAGUUGGUAUAGCAAACUUUCCCUUCCAUUUUAACUAUUUAGAUUUUAUUUCCAGCCACCAAUCACUCACUAACAAACUCAUAAUACACCAACAAGUACAAAUCAAGCAUUUCCAGCAAAUUUUAUACUAAAAUAUCCAUUCAAAUGCCAAGAAAUUCCAUUAACUAAACUGUAAAUGGUUUAUUAGCCUAACAGUCUUUCAAACAAGAAUCCAGCCGUAAAAAUCACAUUUUCACCCCAAAAUUCACAUACAUGACCAUCUAAUGAUAUUAUAAGGUGUAAUCAACCUUAAUAUGAAAGUUUACAGCCCAAAAUCUAUAGAGAAAUAUCAGAAAAUAUCCCUUCCAUCUCUCUCGGCUGAGGUUGAAAAAUUCCAGCAAGUAGGUAGUUUGAAAAACAAGUUUUCUCCAUAAAAUUCUUUAUUUUCCUCAUUCAAACUUAAUAUCUAGGUGAUAAUUAUUAUUCUAUGAGGUGUUUUGAAUCACAAUAUAGAAUUUAUAGCCAAGGUUUGAAGAGAAAAAAAGUUGGAGAAUACUCUCUUUUGUUCUCUCAGCCAAGAUGAAGGAAAAAAGUAUGAAAUUUCCUCUAAUAAUCUCUUCAUUUUACACUCAAAUCUAACUUGCAAUCAUAUAAACAUUAGAGUGAGAACAUGCAGCUUCAAACGAACAUUUCCAACUUUGACAACCUUUGUUUUCCAGAAAGUUUUCUUUUACUUGGUUCCAACUCAGUCUAAAAGACUAUUAGCUAAACGUAGAAGAAAAGGAAGAGAAAGACAGUAGUUUACCUCUGGUUCUUAUGGUUCUAAGUUAGGAAAAUAAAAUUCUGGUUUCUCUCUCCCAUUCUUAGCUCGAUAGACUGCAUUCCUGCUUUCUUUGUGGCUGGUUCUCACGGUUGAAGGAGGCCAGAAAUGAGUUCCUAGUUGUUGUUGUUGUUUCUUUCUUUUGGUCCUUCUCUCCUUUUCCUCCUAAUGUCUCUCGGGUAGCUAAACUAAGGACAAGAACUCAUUUCCUCUAGAAUUCAGCAAGUGCAGAUGGCUCCAAGUUGAGCUUCGGUUCCUCAAAAUUGCACCAACUCUCACUCUUUCUUCAAUCUACUUCACUCUCAUUCGAUUGAGCCCGUUAAGUGAAGUAUACCACCAGAAUUUCUCUCCCUCUCACUCACUUUGGCUCACGGUUUUGAGGUUACAAGCUGGAGAAAUAAAGCUAGCAAAUGUCUAACUCUCUUCCUCACUCUCUCGGUUGAAAACUGGAACAAGGAAGAACCAGAAAUAUUUUCCAUUCUCUCGGUUGUGCCUUGAGAUGAAAAGAAAUGGCUUAGUCUCUCAGUUUUGCUCUUGGUGUUUGGUUGGUAAGAAAAGAAUUGAAGCCUCGCUUCUCCACUCGGCCACCGCCCAACUUAGCAAGCCACUUUCUAUUUGUUUCCUCACUUCCACCGCUUGACUUAGCAAAUUAUUGGCUGUGGAUUUCUCUUGAUUUUUCCUUCAGCCACCGCUUGGACUUAACAGCUUAUAAGACUCUAGAAUCAGAAGGAACAGUGCACUCGGUGGUCAAUGUUUCCCAGUCGGUGCUACUUACUACUUGAGCUGUUUUCUUCCUAGUGUUCUCUCAAUCACCGCUCUAGUAAUUAAGCAUUUGAUUGCCUAAGUUCCUCGGUUGUCCAGAUGCUCAAUUCCUCUCUUGGUUGCAUGGUUAAUUGUCCAUCCAUUAAUGGUUAAAUUGGUCCUUUAGUUUAUUAUUUCAUACAUUCACUCCUAACUUAAUUUGUAUUUUCGUGGAAAAUUUUCUUACGUUGAUCUAGUAGAUUUUCACACAUUUAGCUUUAAGAAGGAUUUAUUAGACAUGUACCUAUUGAACUAUAUAGUAUAUGUUACGUGUCUAGUAAUAUUUGCAAAUGACAUAAAUUACGAUAUGAAUGCCAUAUAUUUAUUUAAUUCAUAAAAUUUUUCUACACUGUUCUAGGAUAUUUUCUAAAUUCUCAAUUUCAUAAGGAUUCAAUUAGGCAUUUAAUUUAACCAUUUAUUCGUUAUAUAUAAUAUUUCUAAUAUCAAAGUAAAUAAAAUGAAAUAAAUUUAGGGCGCACACAUAAUUUUCUCUGGUUCUCACACAUUUCCGUUAUAUAUAGCUUUUAAAACAAAAUUCGUUAGUUGCAUAUCGGAUUACUAUUUUACUACACCGGUAUCAACUCCAGCGCGAGAUGCGGGACUCAUCCCCAAAUGCAAAAUAAGUAGCAGUAGUAGGAGUAGCUUGCCCCUUUGUGUCAUUAAAGUUCACAAACAUAAUCCACACAUCAUCGAAAGCAAUGUCGAAACGGGCUGCCUUAUUUAGGAAACUUUUAUGCAUCUUCAAUUAACUUUGUACCUAGCCAAAUUCAACAAUAAAUAAUCCAAAUUCAUCAAUAAAUUACUAUAAUUUGAAUAAUAGCUUGAAUUUAUGAAUAAAAAUCAAUCAAAAAAGAGAAAAAUUUUUCACAAUUACCAUUAUUGAAUAACAUGACCUUAGAUAUUAAUGGACAACAAGAAUUUCACUAUCCCUCUAACAAGGUUUUUCAAAACAUUCCUAGAACUAAUGGCCUAUUUGGCAAAUGAAUUUUUGGCUAAGUUUGUUUCCUAUCAAUUUUUUAACAACUUUAAUUACAUAUUUCAAAAUAUCCAAAACACACAAAAAAAAUUUUCUUCCUCCUUUCUCCUUCCAUCUCAACCCACCACCACCUCGGCGCCGGCCGAUCUUUUUUUUUUCUUCCUCUUCUUCCUCUCCCCCUCUCCUCCUCUCUUUCCCGCCACUUCUCUCCCCCCUUCUCCCUCCCUCACCACCCUUCCCUUACCCCUUUGCCCGAUCUGGUCACACGACUAGAAAGCACCCGGGAAAGGGGCGAGAGGGGAGGGGAGAGAGAAGAGAGGGAAAGAGAAAAGAGCAAAAAAAUUUCUUGUUCCAGCUGGAAGGGAGAUGUGGCAGGGGACGGGGAAGGGAGAUGAAGAAGAAAGGAAAGAAAAGAACAAAGAAAGAAAGAAAUAAAAAGAAAAAGAAAAAGAAAUAAAAAGAAAAGAAAAUUUUUUUUCAUUUUAAAAAUUUUUCCUACAAUUUUUACAGUAAGUUAUAGUAAAAUUUUAGACAAACAUCCAAAAAACUUAUUCACCAAACGAGGCCUAAGUUUUACCCAGAUAUUUAUUGGGAGUUAUUUGCCAAAUAGGGCCUAAGUAAUAUCUCAUUCUCUUAUCAACUUUUAUCAAACUUUAUUGGAAUUGCCCAGUUUUUUAGAGUUUCUCUCUUUUUUUAUGAAUUUUAAUUUGUGAUUGGGAUCCGUUCAUAUAACAUUCCUCAUUGGGAGGAUGUUCAUGAAACCCCUUCUGCUCUUACAUGUUUGUUUAAAAGAUCAGGAGGCCUAGGACACAUUUUUAUUGCAUGUCUACCAAUUAUUGAUUGCAAGAAUUAGUUUCUAAUAGGACCAUUUAUGGCAUUCGAUGAGUUAGAAAUUUAAUUUAUGUUCAUUAGUUUUUCUCACAUGGCUUUAUGAUCACUUGAUUUGAAUCUUAAAACUACUUGUAAUUCUAGAUUGAAAAUCAUGAGUGGGUGAUGUUAUUGAAAAGGAUUAUAUCUUGAAGAAAUUUCUAGGUGGUUAUGUUAUAAUAUUUCUAGAUCCACUGUGAUGGCAUGUAGUAUGAAGUAAAUUCGGGGUGCAACUGAGAAUCUGGCAAAUCAGAAAGUGAGAGCACGGAAUUUACUAGUGGAGUUUUUAUUGAUAGUAGGUUACUUUAAUGAAUAGUAAGACAUGAUUAUCACUUUAGAAAUAACUAAAGUUCAAAUGAAAAUAAGGUUAAUUAAGUGGAAUUUCUUCUUGAUGUUUGGAUUUAUGUUGACGCAAGGGAAACGUAAUGGGCAUCAGGUGUUUGAAAUUUCUAUGGCCUUGUAAAAAGAAUAGCGGAUUUGAACAUGAAGCAACCCUUCUUUGGUCUAGUGAACCUCUUUGAUAUACAGGUGAGAUCUUCUUCCUCCAGCCCCAUUGGUCCAGUUGGAUCAUUCCCUAAUAUUGGUUAGAGUAGGAGUAGUAAUAGGAGUUGACGAUUGACCAAAAAGGUGAGGAGGGGAAGGAGAGAGGGGGGGACAUGAAUUGUCCUUGAGUAAAUAAUAUCUAUGCUCUAUGUGAAGGUGGAGAAAGCUUUUGUGGUAAAUAUAUAAAGGGGGAGAGGGCUUUUGGUAUACAUAAAAUUUUGUCAUUUUAUAUUAUUUUUUAACUACCCUUGCUAGCUACCCAAUGUAAUCAACUAUCGAUUAUGGUUAUGGAUUACUGCUAAAUAACUAUCUAUUUGUACACUUAUUUUCAUGAAUUUUCCAAUAUCCAUUGUCAAAAAUAUAAAACCAAUUCCUUUGAAAAUGAUUUCAACAAAUUUACUCAAAAUUUUAAUAAUAUGUUUUUUAUUAGGUGUACACACAUUGGUUUGUGCCCUAAAUACUAGUAGUUUAAUUAAUACUUGUUCAUGUAAAGUGAUAUAAUUGGAAGGGCAGUUUGUUUUUAUGCUAAUCUGGUCAAAUUAAGUUUCGAGAAUGAAACUUGGGUGGGUAGAAUUAAUGUAAUACCUGAAAAUCAUUAGUUGGUAAUUCAUAAGAGUUGUUGGCAGAAAAGCUAGAAUGUAUAUCAAUUAGAAAUUAAACAACUAAAUCAAUUAUUAGCAUAAAUAAGUAUAGAAUUCUUCUAAAGUGUUUAAAUCUGUUGACGCAAAAAUUAGAUCAGUAAGCAAGAUAAACAACCUAUAAAUUGCUUAGCAUAGAAUAUUUAUUGCAUACAAAUGCGAACAGAAAAAUAAUUAUUUCACAUCCUAUCAUCCUUAGAUCUCCGAGCGAAUAAGGAGGAACCCACCAGCAGCUCACAUUCAGAGCAAAUAAGUUUUCAGAUAGGUUCAAUAACUUUAGAUCUCCGAGUUUCGCAAAAUGGUUUUCAGAUAAUACUCCAGUUAAUGAGUUGGAAGAAAUGUCCAAUACUUGCAGCUUCGAAAGUUGGUAUUGACCCUUGCAUGUCAUUAAAACUCAGAUCCAAAUAAUUAAGACAGCUCACAUUGCAAAGUGACUUCAACGUUGAUGCAUCAAAGCGGUUUUCCCCUAGAUCGAGAUCAACUAGAGAGGUCAUUUGUUCAAAUAGGCCAUGAAUUGGACUAGAAAGAUGAUUAGAACUAAGACCAAGAUCAUAGAGACCAGAAAGAUUAUGGAGCCAAGGAGGGACCAUGUGGUUGUUGAAAUUAUUUUCAUCAAGGGAAGAAAGAGAUGAGAAAUUGACCUGUGAAGAUGUAGAUUGAUGAAAAGUUCACAACCAUCUAAUUCUAGUCGUGUUAGUGAAGGAAGCAUGUUAAUUGUCUGUAACCCAUUUUCAACGGCACUAAAAUUCACCCCAGGCAGAACUAGGCCCUCCAGAGAAGAGAGUCCAACAAUCUACCUGAGAUCCUUCAUUGUCAAUUGAUUCAGUGUUAAGGAGGGAGUUACACCUCCAAGUUCUAAAUGCCCUAAACAUGAGAGAUUUCCUAGAUGGUGGGGAAUUUCACCAUCAAACGCUGCAUUUGCAAGAUUUAAGUAUCUCAGGUUUUUCAACAAUCCAAGGAAUGUGGGAACUUGGAUUCCUGAAAAAUUAUUUGAUUGGGAGCCAUAAACGAUCCAAAAAAGAUUGAAUUGGAAAUAUAAUCACAGAUGGGUGAUAGGAUCGAACUGGAAAGAUAGAUUAUGGGAGUCCAAAGACUAGCAUGAAAUUAAAAAUGGAGUAGGCUAGAUAGACAAGCUAAUAAUGUCUUGACUUGAGCUGAUAAUAUCUUAAGAGUCUGGUCAUUCGAUCUGCAGAUAUAGAUUUAGAUGAAGUGAAAUUUAAACAAGAAGACCAGUAAACAAACAUGAUUAAUUUGUGUAGAAAACUUGACCAUCUGUUGCGUCCGACGACUGCAAAUCCACUGGCCAAUGGAAGUCCCGAUCCGCCGUAGAAAAUCAAUAUAUUAAUUCUUCGGCUUGGAUAAUUUAAGGACUACAUCAAAUAAUAUGCAUCAGUAAAAUUUUUUAUUUAUGUAAGUGCUAGCUUUUCUGUUUCAUGGAUUAUAUUCUUAAUUUUCCUUGUUAGACAGUCUAGCAAGGAAAUGAUUUAAUUGUGGAGUUAGCCUUUUAUACACCUGACGGAAUAUAUUCUAUUAUCCAACUUUGAAUGAAUGAUAAGUAAUGUAAAUUCGAAUUGAAAUUUUAAAUUUUAAUUAUGUGUCAUGCAUCUAACAGCAAUAAUAUAUACACUAUCAGUUUUACUCUUAGCCAUUUAAUUGACUGUGAUAUGGUAAAAGCCAUCUGCUUAAGAUGUAAAAAGCAACAGGGGUAAGCUAUGAUUAAACAAAGCUGAAGGGGCUAAUUAACGAUAUUGCUAAUCCUGACUUCAACGGGAAUGGAUUAUAGAGACUUCAAUGGGAAUAUGGUUGGUGAGGCAUUUGCGUUCUAAUCAACUCCAAUUGUGACGGAGGACUGACCUGUUAUUCGGAUGAGAAAAGCAAAUCUAAGCCCACAACUUUGUAUGGAUGGGAAUGAUAGAGUUUGUCCAAUGGGAUUCUGAAGAAUAGGACGAAACUAAUCAGAAUAUCAGACGAGCGGCUUAUAAUUGCAACUACAAGUUAAUUCUGAUUUAUGAAUUAACUGGACAUUUAUGCUGUAGGUUUUCCCGGUUGGAAAGAGACUUGUAACAGGAAGGCGACAAGUAUCGCAUUGGCAAUCAUAAUAUUGAUGAAUUAUUUACUGAUUUACGUUGCUACAUAAAUAAGUUUGGAUCCUCUCUUUUGCAGUUCAAUUAACAUGGAAGUUUCCUGCAAGAAAUCACCAAAUAAAUUGAAUAUUUUGCAGAAAUUCGAACCUAUAUUUUUUAUUAUUAUUAUUAAGGAGGGAGUUACACCUCCAAGUUCUAAAUGCCAUAAACAUGAGAGAUUUCCUAGAUGGUGGGGAAUUUCACCAUCAAACACUGCAUUUGCAAGAUUUAAGUAUCUCAGGUUUUUCAACAAUCCAAGGAAUGUGGGAACUUGGAUUCCUGAAAAAUUAUUCCAGCUUCAAUUCAGGUGUCGUAAAUUGGUUAAAUUGACCAAAAAUAGACUUAAUUGGUCUCCCAAGCAAUUUUGCAGUAAAUAAUUAUAUCAUUUGGAUGUAACGGGCUCGCAUUUUAUAGAUCAAGUUUCACCAGACGGUCAGUGGUUUGAUGGUAACCAACGUCUUCCCAUAAACAACAGUCCUCUCCUAUCCAAGAUGACAGACGAUUUGAUUCAUCUGUCAACCCAUCUCUGAAUUGAAGAAGAGCUUGUUGUUCACUCUCAAUACAAGAGACAUUAGAAUGAGUAUAAGCUUGUUUGCUGCUGCCACAUGAGAACUGGGAACUGGCUGGUGACAAGAAUAGAACUGAAUAACAACAGUAUUAGUAAAGAGGAAGGAGUACAAUGAAGAUGAUGCUCCAUUGGAUUUCUUUUGAUAUUGGUUUAUUUGACAAAGUAUGGUUAGAUGAGCGGUUUAAUUUAUACACGUUUAAAAGUAUCAUUUCGCCAUUUUGCAUUUGAAGAAACUACAUGAAAGUGAUAAAAUGACAUUUUGCGUUCAUGGAAAAGUCGAGCCAGUAAAGAUUUUUUGAGUGUUUAACUGACUACGACAUAGGAAAAGCAAUCUACUUAAGAUGCAAAAUUAACAAUAUUCUUCUACUUUUCUUGUCUUCGACUCUUUUAAUGGCUAUGGAUCAUGGAGUUGGCGAGGCAUUUGCAUUUUAGUCUACCCCAUUCCGAUGGUUUAAUGACUUGUUAUUCCGGUGCAUUAUUUGAUUGGGACCCAUAAACGAUCCAAAAAAGAUUGAAUUGGAAAUAUAAUCACAGAUCGGUGCUAUGAACUGGAAAGAAUAGAUAAUGGGAUUCUGAAGGCUAGCAUGAAAUCAAUAAUUUGAGGUGAGUAGCUUUCAUUUUACAAGUUAAUUCUUGUUUAUGUUUGCAUUCGCAUAUUCGUUUCCAAUUUGUCAUCGAACGUGCAACAAAAUACACCAAGCACCAUGCUUGGGAGAAAAAAUGAUAAAGGGUUAUUGGAAGACAGAAUAACUUUGCUAAAAUUUGUUUUCCUAACGUGGUGGUUAGAUAGGCAAGCUAAUAAUGCCUUGACUUAAGCUGAUAAUAUCUUGAUUCUGCUCAUUCAAUCUGCUGAUCUAGAUUAUGAUGACACGACAUUUAGACGAGAAGACCAGUAAACAAACUUGAUUAAGUUGUGCAGAAAACUUGACAACGUGUUGUGUCCGACAACUGCAAGUGCACUAUGAUGGCAUAUUAAAUCAAGGCUCAAAAAUAGAAAUUUUUGUAUUAUUAUUUAGUAGUAUUUUAUAUUAGGGUUUUAGUAAUUCUAUUUGAUUUAAAUUAUAGUAGUUUCAUUGUUUAUGAAUUAGUAUUUUAUUAGAAAAUUUUUUGUGGUUGUAAGACUUGUUUAUCAAAUCACCUAGUCUAGUCUUAUUAUUAUUAUUACUAUCAGUCAAGAAGAAUGAAUUUUGAGAACCACGUUAUUAUGUAUAAUUAAUAAUAUAUUAUUGAUUUUUUCCUCUUCUCCUGUGCAUACUUGUAUGUGUGCAAUUUGCCUUCCCAUCUACAUUGGUUCUAUGAAAUUUGUCUCCUAUAACUUUCCAUUGGAAUUUUUGUGGGUCCUGCACACUGGACAAUGACCCGCCAUGGAAAAUCAAGAUGUUCUUGUGGAGACAUAUUCUGCAUUCAACUAAUGGAAAUGUUCAUUCCUUAGCAGCAGCUAGUCGUAAAAUUGAUUUGUUGAUUCACGUUAUCCCACAGCUUCGGCCCUCUCGUUUGCAAUUUAAAUUAGGAUUAAUCUUUUGUAUCGUAGUAGUGUAUACAUUAACGGAGUUUGAUGCAUACUACAUAUGCAAAAUAUUUAUAUUUCGAACUCAAAUUCAUAUCAGUGGUCAUGCAUCCGAUCUUAAUGGUAUGUAUUGUCAGCAUAUAGAAAAAUAAAAUAUUUGACAGAAAAUCAGCAAAUCAAUUGAAAACUUUACAAAUGGAAAAGAUGACACUUUAUAACUCUAACUUAUGGGGUUACACCAUUUUCGCCUUUAAAGUUUUAUGAAUUUACAUUUAGUCCCAAUAAUUUAAUUUUUAACUAUUUCAAUACUAGUAACGACAAAUCAUUUAAUCUAGAAGGACAAAAAUAUUUCGCACGUAGUUCAUUUAGUCCUUUAAAUUAACCCUUUUUUUUCUAAAGCAUCUUUAAUCUCCAAUCUUUUAUUUUAUUCAUGUAGCCCUUUUAUUUUUAAUUCUUAGGCUUGGAUGGUUUAAGGAUUGCAGAAAAUAAUAUGCAUCAGUAAAAUUUUUAUAUUUAAUAGAAAUGCUAGAUUUUCUGUUUAGUGGUUUAUAUUGUUAAUUCCCCUGUCAGUCUAGCAAGCAAAUGGCUUAACUAUUUAAUUGACUGCAAUAUAGCAAAUGGUAUCUGCUUAAGAUGAAAAAACCAAAAGAGUAUCUGCUUAAGAUGUAAGACAUUAGGGUAAGUUAUGAUUAAACAAAGCUUAAGGGGCUAAUUAACGAUAUUGCUGAUCUUAACUUCAAUUGGAAUGGAUUGUGGGAUUGGUGAGGCAUUUUCGUUCCAAUCAAGUCCAUAGUGGUGAGUGCCGAUUGACUUGUGAUAUUCCCGGGCAUUAUUUGAUUGAGGCCCACAAAUGAUCCAAAAUUGCUGGGAGAUGCAGCCUCAAUUGUAAGAUUUAUUCAUGAUAAAGAAGACAGGACAAGAAGACAUCCUAUCUCAUUUAGAUCCAAGCAUUGAGGAUGUGCAUUUAGCUUUACUAGAUCAGCUUUAUAUUGAUAUUCAAUGAUUCCAAGAGAAGCAAAAUAAGGUAGUGCAUACUUAAUAAAAAGCCAUAGCAAAGACAAUAGAAGUGAACGAGCUGGUGUAGUAAAAAGUGUCGGCGCCGCAUAAAUUGACGGAACACUACGGACUUAGCAUGGCGGCCGCCAAGCCGCCGGAUAUCCAUGGCAGCGGUGCUGGAAGAAGCUUUGCUGCAGUUGUUGCCAAUGGGUCGCCAGAUGCAGUGUGUGAUGAAGGGAUCGGUGAGGUUUCGCUUUAUCGGGGGGAGCCUUCGCUACGUCUCUCCAGGCAAGAUAUGUGUGCUCUGGCGGCACCAUACCGGAACGCACUGGUAGGGAGAUUUGCUGCAGCCAGACCUUCAAUGGAGGUUGUGCGGAAAUUUUUUGUGUCGCUGGGACUCAAGGGAGAAUGCGAUGUGGGGCUGCUGGAUCAGAGGCACAUUCUGAUUCGGCCUGCUCUUGAGGAGGACUACACCAGGCUCUUCUUGCGUAGGGUCUGGUUCGUCAAUAACGCUCCAAUGGUGAUCUCGAAGUGGACCAUGGAUUUCAAGACCAAUCAGGAGCCUUCCAUAGUUCCGAUAUGGGUAGCUUUUCCGGGCUUGCCGAUCUUUUUCUUUGCAAAGAAUCUGGUUACCAAACUUGCGGCCACGCUGGGAAGAGUUCUCAAAAUCGAUUCUGCAACAUCCACGCUGCGCAGACCAUCUGUAGCCAGGGUGUUGGUGGAGAUGGAUGUUUCUAAGGAGCCGGCGAAAAGAGUCUGGAUAGGUGAUGAUGACUAUGGCUUUUGGCAGCCGGUGGAAGUGGAAAACUGGCCUUUGUUUUGUCACUUCUGUGACCGGGUUGGCCACAAGGAGGAGGAGUGCUUUAAGAAAAACCCAGCUCUGAAACUUGCUGGUGAGAAGAGGACCAAUCUGCAGCAGCAUGGGAUGAGGGAUUCACGACAGGCUUAUCGGGUAAAGGAGCGAGAUAUCACAAAGGAGCAUACAGCGGAGUUGCCAGGCAAUACCAGCACGAUUAAUGCAGCGAAACCACCAAAUGGGAAUAACUUGACAGAGACUAAGGAUACGGCGGAGGCCUUAACUAGCAGCAGUGAUGUGCGGGUGGUGGGUUCGGCCGCACUUGUGCAGCGCACGGAUGAAAAUGGGUUGGUCACAGCAGGAAGGUCGGAGCCACCAAGUGGAAAUAAGUUGAUAGAGUUCAAGGAUAAGCCCGAGGACUCAACGAGCGAUAGUGGAGUGCAAAUGGUGGACGCAUUUGUGCAGUUCGCGACUGGACAGGGCCUGGUUGCAGAAGGAAGGCCGGAGCUUGUCUCCCUUCCGGGUGGCAUGUCUGCUGGUGGCCAGCAAACUGCCCAGGAGGAGGGAGCAGAUGGCGGUGGUAGCAAGGCCAAGCGGUGUGGCCAGCAUGUGCAGACUGCUACGCGCGCUCUGCUGGCUGUGGAUGAUGGACAGAUUUUAUCUAGCAAGGAUGAGGAGGUGGCAGAGGCAAUGCAAGCAGUGGGGGAGAUUACGGUGCUUCUGCCUUUGUCAGUAGUUGAGCAGAGGGAUACUGGUGCCCACAUAGAGGUGGUUGAAGGGACGUAUGGCAAGUCGAAUCAGCCCUCUGCUGCCUUGUUUGGGAGUAGAGGCUCAGUGAGUGAGGGGGAGGAUGAGGAGAUAACGGAGCAAGAGGAUGCGAGAGGUGUUGGUGAUGGCUCGAGUAGGGAGGACACUUUACUCCGGUUACAUAUUGAUCAAUCCAAGGUGAUGGACAACGGUGGCAAGCGUGCGAGAAAGAAAGGUCUGGCCCCAUCAGAUAGACAACUUCGAUCGACGGUAACACACUCUCACAAUGCUCUACAAAGUUUAUCUCAUGAUUAAUGGUCUGUUUUGGAACAUACGAGGGAUUGCCAAACCCCCUAACUUGCGCAGAUUGAAAAGAUUGAUUCGUUUGCAUGAUUUUAAGUUUGUUGCUAUAUGUGAGCCAAAAAUGGAUGUUUCUCAAAUUGAUUCGAUUAAGAUAAGAUUACCCUUUGAUUCGGUCGUAGUGAAUUCAUCGACUGAUAUAUGGGUAUUUUAUAAUACCCCCCUAGUGUGUGCUGUACUUGGUAAUUCUUCACAGCACAUAACGAUAUCUGUCCAGCAUCCUUGGCUGGCCCGGUCCUUGUGUUUUUCCUUUGUGCACGCUAAAUGCACCUUGGAGGAGCGGAGGACUAUGUAGCAGGACUUAUUGGUGGAUAAACCUGAUUCAAUGGCAUGGUGUGUGUGUGGGGAUUUUAACGUCAUUGGGGAUCCUAUUGAGAAGCGUGGAGGUCGGCCUUUCACUAAUUCUGAAGGAUUGGAAUUACUAUCCUUUAUGGAGGAGGCCGAAGUCUUUGAUGCAGGUUUCUCUGGGGCUAGUUUCACUUGGUGCAAUAAUCGGCAAGGACGGGCUAGAAUCUGGAAGCGAUUGGACAGGGUACUCAUCAAUGGUGGGUUUGCUGAGGGGGCACAAAAUUUAGCGGUGGUCCACCUGGCACGUCACCCAUCGGAUCAUGCACCGCUCAAGAUUUCAUUCUCUUCACGCAUGGGUAAUAAACCCAGGGCCUUCCGAUUCUUAAACGUUUGGACUACGAAUCCUGGGUUACUGAAUGUGAUUCGUCAAGCCUGGCAGGAGGAGACUCCUGGAUCACCUUUGCGGGCUCUUUGCUCCAGGCUCCUGCGCACAAGGAGGGCCGUCCAAGAUUGGAAUAAGGGGGUCUUCGGGAAUGUAUUUGAGAAUGUUCGGAGGGCAGAGGAGAAGGUUUUAGCUGCGGAGAACCGCACGGAGGAGGAUGCCUCUACGGAGGCUCAAGUCGAGCUGAAUCAAGCCCAGGCUGAGCUACGGAAUGCACUUUUGAAUGAGGAGAAGUUUUGGGGACAGAAGGCUAGAGUCAAGUGGCUUCGUUACGGAGAUAGGAACUCUAGAUUUUUCCAUGCAACUGUUCAGCAACGUAGAGCUCAGGGGGCGAUCCACAGAGUGAAGAAUGAGGAUGGUGCAUGGGUAGAGGAUGAUGAGGGGAUAGCCGAUGUGGCUGUAAAAUAUUUUACGGAUAUGUUCUCGGUUGCUGCUGAGGGGACAUCGAACGAGUGGGCCCAUCUAAUUCCAAAUGUUGUUAACCAAGCAGAUAGGAUGGCUCUUGAAGCUUGUCCAACGAUUGAAGAGGUGAAGCGGGUGGUGUUUGAGAUGGACGGGGAUAGUGCAGCAGGCCCAGAUGGCUUCACCGGUCAAUUUUUUACAUUUGCAUGGGACAUUAUUGCGCAAGAUGUUUAUACUGCUGUUUUAAGCUUCUUUUGUGGGGCAGAGUUGCCUCGCUUUGUGACCUCUAUAUCCAUUGUCCUAAUUCCCAAAGUGCCUAACCCUCAGGAUUUUUCUAAAUUCCGUCCGAUUAGUUUGUGCAAUUUUUUUAAUAAGGUGUUGUCUAGGAUUUUGGCGGAUAGGUUGGCAGUCAUACUGCCCAAGGUUAUAUCUUCUCAGCAGACAGGGUUCGUCAAGGGCAGAAACAUCACAGAAAAUUAUCUCCUAGCCCAGGAGCUUCUGUCGGGGAUCAAACACAAGUCUAGGGGGGGUAAUGUAGCGGUAAAGCUUGACAUGGCAAAGGCGUAUGAUCGUGUGUCUUGGGCUUUCACUGUAAACGUUUUGCGUAAAUUUGGAUUUGGUGAAAGGUUUAUUGACAUGGUGUGGCGAUUGUUGUCUAACGUUUGGUUUUCAGUCAUUAUCAAUGGGGCAUCGUAUGGAUUUUUCAAAUCGAGUCGGGGCGUUCGCCAGGGCGAUCCGCUAUCGCCAGCGUUGUUUGUCAUUGGAGCUGAGGUCUUAUCCCGAGGGCUUAAUAGCCUAGCUUUGCAGUCCGGAUUCUUGGGGUUCACUGUUCCCAGGGGAUGUCCUACGGUUACUCAUCUAGCCUUUGCGGAUGAUGUACUUAUUUUUGCGAAUGGCUCUGCCAGAUCUUUAAAACACAUUAUGCAGGUAUUGGAGAUGUAUCAAAGGGCAUCUGGUCAAUUGGUAAAUCCCCAGAAAAGUGGAUAUUUAGUGCACCCAUCAGUGUGUCUCUCUCGCCGAAGGGUAAUAGAGCGUAUUACAGGUUUUCCAAGGCAACAGUUCCCGGUUCGGUAUCUGGGAUUUCCUCUUUAUGUAGGCAGAGUUAAAUCCGCGUAUUUUGGGGAGGUGUGUCAUUCCAUCUCAGCAAGAAUCCUUUCCUGGCGGUCAAAGCUUUUGUCACCUGGGGGGAGGUUAGUCCUAAUAAAGCAUGUGCUCUCGGCAAUUCCGACGCAUCUUCUAUCCGCUGCGGUCAUUCCGAUGGCUAUUUUUAAGGAUAUUGAGCGGUUAUGCGCUACUUUCCUGUGGGGAUCGUCUGACGAGCUGAAUAAGCAUCAUUGGAUAAAGUGGUCCCAGCUGUGUUAUCCGGAGGAGGAGGGAGGCGCGGGAUUUCGGCGGGUCCGAGACGUAUAUAAGGCUUUCUCAUGUAAGUUAUGGUGGAUCUUGCGCACAGGAUCGUCUUUGUGGGUAUCCUUCAUGAGGGCAAAGUAUUGCAAAGGGGUUCACCCAUGUCAGGUGGGCUGGGCUCAAUCUGCUUCAGCAACAUGGAGGCGCAUGCUUGAUGUGAGCCGCCAGAUGGAACUAUCAAUGUUAUGGUUGUUAAAUGAUGGGGACUGUGACUUUUGGUAUGACAACUGGGUGGGAAGUGGAGGUCUUUUCCUUAGAGCCCCAGUGGUGCCAGCCAGUUCAUUUGCAGAUGUUAUGACUAAUGGUGCCUGGGACAGGGGUCGUUUGCUGCAGAUUCUCCCAUCAGACACUGUGGAUUUGGUGAUGAAAACUCCGGUUCCUAGUGGGAGGGGGACAGAUCAAGUGGUAUGGAUGCCUACGAAGUCGGGGACAUUCACUUUGGCAUCUGCGUAUCAGGAGGUAAGGCAGGGACGCACUACCUCGCUGGAAUUGUCCCGUAUAUGGCAGGCUAGGAUACCGUUGAGGGUAUCUUUUUUCAUGCUUCGCUUGCUUAUGCGGCGCUUACCGUUAGAUGAUGUCCUAGGUGAGAUGGGUUUCAAGUUGGUGUCAAAAUGUUUUUGUUGUGUGGAUGCAACGGGUGAGACGUUGGAACAUAUAUUCUCCACGGGACAACUGGCACUGGAGGUCUGGAAUUACUUUCAGAGUAUAUGUGGUAUAGCUAGUGAUAGCUCUAGCAUUAGGUCACAUUUGUUUGCCUGGUGGUUGUCAUUGGCUCCGUCGGGCGAGCAGAGAUUCGUCUGUUCUGUUACCCCGAUAUUUAUUUGUUGGAACAUUUGGAAGGCUAGGUGUCGAGUGGUGUUCGAUGGGGCAAGGGUUCGGGCGAAGGAGAUAUGUGGUGCAGUAUUCCAGGAUGUGAAGGAGGCAUUUGAGAUCCACUUCAAGGUGGCCGUUCAAGGGAGUAAUUUCCAGGUUUUCUAUACGGUAGUGUCUCAAGCGCCGUAUUUGUAUGAGUGCAGGAUAGUCCGCUGGGAGGCAGGGGGAUAUGGAUGCACGACGCUUAAUACGGAUGGGUGUGCUAAGGGUAACCCUGGAGUGAGCGGUGGAGGUGGAGUGCUUAGGGAUUCCGGUGGCCAUGUAUUAGUGGCUUUUUCGGCUUACCUGGGUGAGGGUUCUAGUCUUCACGCUGAAACGCUGGCCGCCUUAUUGGGGAUUCAGCUGUGUCUUGAAAAGGGAGUUGCCCCCAGGGUGAUUCAGUCUGAUUCGUUGUUGCUAACGGAAAUCCUCCAACGACGCUAUCACUGCCCCUGGCACAUUAGGAGAGAAGUGGAGCAAAUUUGGCACUUGGUGGGGGAGGCUAGGUUCGUGCACUGCUACAGAGAGGCGAAUAAGGUUGCUGAUAUUUUGUCCAAUGUGGGUGUCUCUCAUUCGCAACUGUUGGUUAGAGUUUAUGAUAGUGAGUUGGAUCUUCCCGUGUUGGCUCGGGGGGAGGUUAGGUUAAACAGAUUGGGUUUGCCAUCAAUUAGACGUGUUAGGCUGAGAAAGGUAUAGGAUGGCCCAUUUUGGGUACUGCCCGAUGUGGUUGUAAUUUCGUUUUUAUUAAUAAAGAGCAUUAAAAAAAAAAAAAAAAAAAGGUAUAGAUAGAUUUCCAUUUAAUAUUUGACCCAUCUCGUUACUGUCAGAUUGACAAAAUUAUUUAGAUUAAAAUUCUAAAAAAAAAAAAAAAAAAAAAGGUAGUGCAUACUUUAACCCAGCACGCUAAGAGUGCUAAUCUUUUUUUAAUCUCUUUGAAAUUCCCUUCCAAAUUUCGUCAAGCAACUCAUGGACAAUUUCCUGUUACAUCAUUAAUAAAAUGUGUCAAUCUUUUUUUUUUUUUUUUAUCAAAAAAGGCUCAUGCUAAAAAAAUAAAAGAUUUACAUCUGAAUUAUUCGUAUGGACCGCUUAGUUACUGGCUGGUUGGAGUGGUCUAUGUCCAAGAAUAAAACCAACCAAAAAUUGAUAACUUGCAAAAUAGGAUCCACACACUUAAGGCACAUGCUAAAAAAAAAGAGCAAAUUAUCCGGAUGACCACUAAACUUUUGCAAUCGUCGAGUUUUGGCCACCCAAUUAUUAAAAGUCUGGUUUUGACCACUAAAAUGUAUAAAGUUAAGACUUGAGGCCAUUCUAUUAGAUUUAAUCGUUAAGUUUGCCGAUCUGUCUGUCCAAGCGAUUUCCAAGACAAAACAGAGGGUCAAUUUAGGAAGUUGAAAAUAGCACUUGCACCUCUUCUUCCUCUCCUAUGCAUCUGUUCUUCGUCUUCCUUUUAUUUUUGCUUAAACCCAAACAUCAAACAUUCGAGAAAUGAAGAAAAAUGAAACAACAAAGUGAAUGGGGGUAUUGAGAGUCAGCAGGAGGGGUUGACAAACAAGAUCUUAUUUCCUGGAACGAUGGAUUGGGUGAUUAUAACAAGAGGCCAGCAUUUUGAUCCAUUUGAUGCAUACGGUAAAGUUUUAAAAUCCCUAACUUUGAAUAAUGUAUGUAUGGCAAUUAGUGUUAAUUAAGGGUCAUAGGAAGAUGAUUAUUGUUUAGUUAUGGUGGUCCAGAAUAGAUUGUCUGUUUCCUGUAUGGUCCUACCUUUUACCAUUGUUUUGGUUUUUUGCAAUAAAGUAUAUAAGUAUAUAUAGUACACUGAUUAAAGUAUUCUUAAUGGUGGCUUAAGGGGUUAAUUAAUAAUUCAUUCAUUGAAUUUGGGUUUACUAGUUUUGACUAAAAUUUUAGUUUUUCUAACUAAUUGCAUAUCAUGCAGUGCCAGGUUCUUCUCUUUUCACCAUACGGAUGUAUCAUGGGGGUAAAUUCAAUUGGCAAAAUUACAGAUACAUUGAUGGGCAUGUAGAUUAUGUUGAUUUAUGUGAUGCGAAAACAAUGUCUGUGCAUGAAAUAAACUACAUGGUGGAUAAAUUAGGGUAUUACGGAUGUAUAGUGUAUUACUAUCUUGAGCCAGGAAAAGAUUUUCAAAGUGGGUUGAAGGAAUUAUCUACUGAUAAAGCCAUUAUCAGUUUUUGCAAUUGGGCUUAUAAGCAUAAAAUCAUAGAGGUGUACUGUGACCACAAGACAAAGAAUGAAAUCAAGAGGAUGGCCAUGAAGUCCCUUCCUUUUGAUAUGGAACUGAUUAAAAAACCUGGAGUCACCAUUGAGGAACUUGAUGAAAAUGGAAAUGUUAUUAGGGAACGUAGCUUUAAACUAGUGCCGUUGACAAGAUUGUUUGACAAGAUAGAUGCUGAGAACUGUUCUAGAGAGAAUGUAUUGAAUAAUGGGGAUGAUGGGGAUGAAAAUGAUAAGAGGAAAUAUAAAUGGCCAAGUGGAGACUGACACUGAUUCGGAUGGAGACUGUAAUCGUUUUAGUGAUGAUAGGGAUUUCUGUAGGGAUGAAGAAAUGUUAGAAGAAUUGAUUGUUGACGGUCUAAAAUCUGGUGUAGAUGAUGAGGCAUUCGAGUCUUCUAAUACAGAGCAACCUAGAUCUUCACAACAUCCCACUUCUAAUGAUGAUUGUAAUGAUGAUUCACAACAGCAAGAAUCAGUUGCAGAUGAGCAAUUCUCACAACAGCAACCAACAAGGAUGGAUCCAUGGUCACAACAAUCAGGACUUGAAACUGAAUUUGAACAUCAGCAGCACCCUGAGACAAAUGAAGAACAACCUAUACAUUUGGGAACUGGAAACCAGCAGUCUUGGAGGAAGAAGCAAGUUAGAAGGAGAAGAAACAUCUCUACAGCAUAUAGUGAAGAGGCAACUCCCCAUUUAGCUGAUGUCCAUGCAUUAGAGAAAGAUACAGUAGUGACCGAGUUGCAUAGUGAUGCUGGCUCCUCAGAUGAAGAGAAUAAUGAUGACUAGAAGAAUAUGUAUGCUGACUUCAAUCCGGAAAGAGAUCUAAAAGACCCAAAUUUUGAGUUUCACAUAGGAAUGAAGUUUGAAUCAGUUGAACAGCUAAGAUUAGUUGUAAGAACAUAUUCCAUCAUGAAAGGAAAAUCAAUAAAGCCAUACACAUAUGGAAAAAAAAAGGCUUAGAGCAAAAUGCAAGCUUUCUUGCCAAUGGUUUGUUUAUGCAUCAGCUGAGACUGCUCUUGGGACAGAUGAUUUGGUUGUUAAGAGCAUGAAUAAUGUGCACACAAACUGCAAUCAUGCAUGGGAGAACAAGAUUAUUUCUGCGAAGUGGCUUGCAAACAAGUACAUGGAAAGGUUUAGAUGCAAUAUUAAAAUGCCUCCAAGAAUGUUAAGACAAAUAGUUUACGAUGACUUCAAAGCAAAAAUUUCAACAUGGGUGGCAUACAAUGCAAGGGCAAUUGCUAAAAAGGAGAUUCAAGGGAAUGCAAAACAGCAAUAUAAGGAUAUAUGGAGAUAUUGUGCAGAAAUUAAGAGGACACACCCAAAUACCACAAUGGAAGUUAUGUUUACUCCCUUCAGACAACCUGGUUGCAACCUAAAGUUCAUAAGACUUUAUUGCUAUUUGAGACCAUUAAAACAAGGCUUUAAGGACGGUUGUAGGCCCAUUAUUGGGGUUGAUGGAUGCCACAUAAAGGCUGAAUAUCGUGGUCAACUAUUGACUGCUAUUGGAGUAGAUCCCAACAAUGGAUGGUGGGCAAUUGCCUGGGCACUCGUUGAGAGGAAAGCAACUGAACAGUGGAAAUGGUUUUUUGAGCUGCUGAAGAAUGACUUGCAGAUUGAAAAUGGGUAUAGCUACACCUUUAUUUCUGAUCAGCAGAAGGUAUUAACUCCAUCCCUUUGUACAUGCACUAUACAUAACCUAUAUCAGUUUACUAAUGCAUUUUGUUUGUAAUAAUGUAUAGGGUCUUGACCGAGCAUUGUCUGAGGUACUACCAAACAGUGAGCAUAGAUACUAUGUGCAACACCUUUAUAACAACUUCAAGAAAAAACAUCGCGGAUUUGCCCUGAAGACAAAACUAUGGAACAUUGCAGCAAGUACUACUGAGAAACUACUCAAGAAAGCAAUUGAAGAUCUGAAAAAAUUUGACAAGGAAGCAUAUGAAUGGGUGAAGAAAGCACCACAUCCCAGUCAUUGGUGUAAGACUUUUUUUUCGGAACAUACUCGAUGCGAUAUGCUGGUUAAUAAUCUGUGUGAAAGUUUUAAUGGUCAUAUCCUUGAAGUUAGGCAGCAGUCAAUUAUCACAGUGUUUGAGACCAUUAGGGUAUUUCUAAUAGAGAGGAUAUUUCUAAUGCAGAGAAGGAGAACUACAAUGUGAAUGUUUGAAUUGUCCAUUGGCCCACUAAUUCGAAAGAUAAUUGAUAAUAGAGUGAUAGAAUCAAGGCAGUGGAUGACUAUUUGGAAUGCUGUGGAUGGAUACCAAGUUAGAGGACCAAGAGAGGCCCAGUUUGCUGUUUAUUUAAAGAAAAAGUCGUGCACAUGCAAAUUAUGGAACUUAUCAGGUAUUCCUUAUUGUCAUGCUAUUGCAGUAAUUCACAGAAAUAAUAGUGACCGUUAUAAAGAAGUUUAUGACUGGUACAACAAAGAUCUGUUUCUAAAAAUUUAUGAUAAUAUUCUAUAACCUAUCAAUGGACAAAGCAUGUGGCUUGAAACUGAUGGGGUGGAUCUUGAUCCACCAGAAAGGAUAGUGCAACCCGGUAGACCUAUGAAGGCCAGGAGAAGAGAUCCUACUGAAACUCAAAAGAGUGAAAACAGGUUGCGGAGAAGGAUAGUCAUCCAUUGCAGAAAAUGUGGUGUUGCAGGCCAUAAUAUAGCUAGUUGCAAGUGGCAGUAACAAGACAAUCAACAAAAGCAACAAGGUUGCGAGGAACAACAAUUCGAGUAUCAACAACACCAGCAGCAGCAGAAUAUGCAGCAUCAACAGCAGAACCAGCAGUAGCAUCAUCAUCAUCAGAACCAACAGCAACAGUAGGAUCAACAUCAACAGCAGCAAAAUCAGCAUCAGAAACAGAACCAACAGCAGUACUAGCAGAAUCAACUACAACAGCAAAUCAAUAUCAACAGAAUCAGCAGCAGCAGCAGAGCCAACAUCAGCAGGAUCAAGAGCAGCAGCAGAACCAACAACAACAGCAAGCAGAAUCUGCACAGCAGCAACAGAAUGAAGAAGUUUUACGAAACCAACAGCACACAAGCCAAGGGGUGCGUCAACCCAAAAAGGCAGGGAAACGAAAAUUAACAGAUUCAGAAAAGGGUUACAAAUUAUGCAUAUUUAGGUAAAGAACCUCCUUUCACAAUCGAAAAUUGGAGAGGAAGAUGGAGUAGAGAAACAUCUACAAGAGGAGGAACUUCACCUGCAACUACCAGAGGACAACUAAGAGUUAAAAGAGGAUCAACACCUGAAAAUUGAAGAAGAAGUAAAGCUAUAGCUAGAUUAGGAUAUAAUUGAACUACAUUUUGCCUUUCUACUAAAUUCUAGCAGCUGCUGCUCUUUGUCGUAGAUGCCAAAAAUGGUCAUUGAACAUUAAUUACGUGAAACAAAAUACUUUUUGCCAGCUGCUGCUCUCUGUCGAAACGCCAAAAAAAGGUGCUUGCCUACUUAAAACAAUUUUGAACCAACUAAUUUGAAUCAAAUUUCGUGGCUUGCAUUCUUUUCUAGACUUCUUCUCUGAUUCUUCGUGGAUCAUUCCUCUUCUUUAAUAUAUAUAUAGAAUCGAAUUUAUCGUGUAGACAAGAAAAAAAAUUUUAAAUCAAUUUUGUUUUAACUCUCCGCCAUGUCUCAAGUCUCAACUCCUCCUUUCCUCACUUUCAGUUUCAAACACAACCCACAAGGCUUCAACAACCUACCACUCCCAUGUCCUCCUCCUCAUCAUCAGGCCUAGGAAUUCUUCCUCUUCUUUCUUAUCUUCUUUGUCCUCCAGAAGCCUACUUUAAUUUUUUUUGGGGUAAGUAGCCCACUUUAAUUAGUAUUAUCCUCACGAUAAGUUAGGUUUUGUUUGAAUUACAUUUUUCUAGACUUUUUGUAGAAAAAUUACUAUAAUAAUAUGAUAUACGUGAGAUAAAAAGAUAAUUAAAAAAUAUGUUAACGUAACAAUUUUUCUUUGAAAAAUUACAAUCCAAACACACCUUAGAUGUUUGAACAUCCCCGAUUAAUUUUGGAAUACAUUUUUAAAUUAAAGGAAUUAAAAUUAAAUCGAUGAUCUUACGUCAAAGAGAUUUGUCCAAAAUAAAAUAUAUAUUGCCAUCUCGUAGUCAGUUUUGGGAUGGGAAAGUCGAUUGGCUUAUAGCAAUAAAAUACUUCUACAAACUUGUCGGUGGUUGGUUAAAGGUUGAAAUAUCUGGUGGAUAUAAUCUGCAGAUGUGUUUGUGUGUCCUCUGAGUGAGAAAGAGCAAGAGGAGGAUGGUGAAACAAGGAGGAAACGAAGUAGAUAUAAAGAAUUAAGGACUCGGCAUAACUAAAGAAAAAACAGGUGGUAACAACCGAGUCAGCGAGGUUCGGGAUGGAAUUUGUUGGAGGGAAGAUGACUAGCUAAGAGUAGUGGAGAAGGUGAUGAUAGUGUUCGGUAGUUGGCAAGGGUUGAGUUAAAGUGCACUGUGGAGGAAGGAGCGAUUGCUCUGCCUUUGUGCAGAGUUACGUCAUCAAGGUUUUCCGACUCCAAUUGGUGUCGUUUAGCCUAGAAAGUGUUUUAAAAGGCGAAAACCGUGGGCAGGACAUUCUUUUAUUUUUUAAUAUUUUAAAAAUAUAAAAAUACAUACAUAUAUAUAUACAUCUGCGUAUAUAUAAUAUUAAAAAUACCCAAAAAUAAAGAAAAAUUAUAACCUUAUGUGAUUAAAAUAAAACCUGCUUGUGUAACUAAUGACAUCCUAUGAACAGAAACCCAAUAAACCACUGUAAACUUCGAUGAUUAUUUACAUAAAAAACUUUAUUAUCAUCCCGCAAACUAAUGAUCAUAGUUGCGAAAGCUCUUUUCUAAAAUACUAGCAAAUGAUACUUGUGAGGUUUAACUAUCAAAAAAAGUGUCUUUUUCCUAUUUCUUUAGAGUAUCCUCAAUGUGAGGGACAAAGUUUUGAAAUAUCUCCUCCUUUGUAUUAUCAAACUCCAAACUAACAUUUAUGUUUGCCAACUUAAAUUUAUAGGCUAAUAUAAGAAAAGUUUUCAGAAAUUGCAAGUUGAGUUUAAGGAUCUCAACUUCUUUAAGCAAGUAAAGGGAAAAUCCAGUUUAGAUUUUUGUUGGAACUUUAAAAAAUGGGAAAAAGUACUAGGAUUUUAAAUGUAUAUAUUUUUUAUGCCUCAAAAAACAAAACUUGCCCAAACGGUCUGGCGUUUGCCUCGAUCCUUAGGGCGAAUGUCCCACAACAAUAACGCCCCAUUUAACCAUCCAAGGGUAAUUUGAGAAUAUCUUGCCCUGGGGCUUGCCCUGAAACUUGCCCAAAUACGCUUUUCAAAACACUGAUAACACUGAUCUUCAAUCGAGAGUUAGAAAGACAACUCGGAUAGAGGAUAUGAACCACUUUCUUUCUGCCCCUGGCUUCUCUACAUGUAAAACCUUUUAAUUAUCCAUUGCAUUACUAUUACAUAAUAAUUUCUAAUUGUUGGGUCAAAUCACUAACAAAAACCCAAAGUUCAUCUUCAUUACGUUUCCAAGUCAGUGUUUGACUUGAGAUUAUAAACUGGUACCAGAGAGAGCCACGAGUUUCAUCAUUAUUGAAACAAGAAUAGCAUCAGUCACUAACCUUGUGAGAACGAAUUUGUAGUUUAUGGAAUCCAAAACUAAAAUUUGUAUUUGUAUUUUUUUUUAAUAAAGAGUUAUUUCAUUGCUAAAAUGUAGAGAACAAGGAGCUACAGGCUACAUCGGUCUCAAGGUGCGACAAGAGGGCUACUCCCUCCCAUCUUGGGUACGAACAAAAGGAGUUCCCCUACUAUCCAAAAGCAAAGUAGCUCUAACUUCCCGCGGGAGUUGCUGGAAAGCCGUGCUGUAAAAAUCACCCUGGAGAUCCAUCGUUGCUAACUUAUCUGCCGCGGCGUUCGCCUCUCUGAAUAUGUGCCUAGUGGUGGCACUGAAACUCUGAAGCAGGGCCCGAAUCUGCCGUAACGAGUUACAUAACAGCCAUUUUGCCAAGGACCCUGAGUCUAGCAAUUGAACGAGUCCCGUCGAAUCCACCUCCACCAAUAACCGUUGAACCCGAACUCUGUUACAGAAGAGUAAACCCUGCAGCAAUGCCCUACCCUCAGCAGUCAGUACAUCGACCUCCCCGAACUCUUUAUAGAAUGCAAAAAUCAACCUACCCUCAUGGUCCUGCAGCAAGCCUCCUCCUGACACCUUCCUUUUUGUCACACUGACAUCCGUAUUUAGCUUGACCACACCCUCCGGUGGCGGCAACCACGAGGUCACCAAGUGCCUUGUCACCUGCGGCCUCCAUGUAGCUAAACGAUCCCAUGGGUCCUCCGAGUCACCCUUGAAAUGCGCUAUGGAAAAGAUGUUCGACCUCCCUAAUCGCUCCACCAUACUGCCCACUACCCAAAUUAUCCCCUGCGGAUCUAUCCGAGCCCCCUCAAACCGUGCCUUUAUUUCGGGCUGGCCAUAUAUACCAUAGGACUAAACAUGGCGUAAUCGUCCGUAUAUGAUUUGCCGAGCCCACUGAUGUUGAAGAAAACCAAGAUAAACAGUCCGCCAAGACCGACUACGAGUUAGUUCGAAGGAUACCGAACCGUCCGCGGAAGAAGUCCCAAACCUGCUCCACCACUGGCCCACCUAGAAAAAGAUGCUUCGAGGAUUCCUCAUGCAAAGAGCAGCAGUUAUACCUAGACGCCAUCAUGAUGCCCCGCCUUUGCAGAUUCCCCUCUACCGGGACCAAAUUACACAGCACUUUCCAAACUAGGAAGAGGAUUUUGAGCGGAAGGAUCCUAUUCCAUACGAACCUAUCAACCAGAGAUAGGUUCCUUCUUCGGUGCAGAGCCUCCCACCCAUACCAUCUCAUCUUCCUGAUCUGGAUACAAGGUAAUCUCUUGGACCUGGCACACCAAACCCAUUGGUAGCCACACCUGUAGCAAUCCAGUGUUCCAUCCCCCCUCUCCAAAGAAUUCCGCCACUAGCAUGUGUGGCAGGUCAAUCUUGCCUAGCUCCUCAGCCAAGGGCAUCUCUAGCAACCACCUGUUAUGCCAAAAGUCGACAAACCUUUUACCCAAGCACCAUCGAAUCCUCGUCUCCAUAAAAUCCCGGACCUGCGCUAACCGACGCCAAAUCCCCAUGGGCCUACUCACUUGCACCAUAGACGGGUGCCCGCCUUUAAUGUACUUCACAUGCAUGAACUCCGCCCACCUCGACCUAUUCCGACGUAACUGCCACCACAGUUUGCAAGCAAAGGCCGCACUCAAGUCCCCAAAUGACCUUACCCCCAAACCCCUUUCUGGCGUUGGGAAGCAAACCCUAUCCCAAGAUGUCCAAUGAAUGCCCUUCGAGCCAUCGGCUUUACCCCACAAAAAGGCAUUACAUAUUCUACCCAACCUCUGGAAAAUCGCUUUCGGCGGAUGAAGAACAUGCAGCAAGUACAUUGGAAUGGAUUAAAGUACAUGCCGUAGGAGGACCAACUUGCCCCUUGCCGAGAGCAGCCGAGAGCUCCAAUGUGACAGCCGACUCUGCAUUUUUGUGAUACUGGAUCGAAGAGUGUGCACGCCUCCUUGCCCCUGGAGAUUGGAGCUCCCAAAUAUACAAAUGGGAGCGUUUGCUAUUGAAACCGUAACUUCUCUCGUACCAGAGCAACACUAUCCUCCGAGGCCCUGUUAGACAGAAUAAACGAGCUCUUACCCCCGUUUAUCCACUGCCCAGAAUAAGCCUGGUAGCGAGCGAAAAACGCCCCCAGUGAGUCCAGACAAUCCUUGGAACAGCGAGUGUUUGUAGUUUCAUCAUCAUUGAAACCAGAAUAUGUCAAAAAAAGUUGUAGUCUUAAAAAUGAAUUUGUAAUAGAUGCACUUGGUUGAUAUUGAUGAUGUCGUUGUCAUCUAGAUGCUCCAAUAGAGCAGUGUGUUCUUCGCUACACAGUUGAACUCCGGAUAGAUUAGUGUAUGUAUGUAUGUAUCUCUUUGCAAUCAUAUUUUAUGUUGUUAUUAUAGUAUUUGGCUUGAUUAUAUGUUAGAAGUUACUAAUCCUAAAAUUUAGACAAUUUUUAUUUUUUUCCUGUAAUUAAUUAUCUCCUUAUUUAUAUCCUACUUUUCCAUUCUCUUUUUUCAACAAUUAAUUAUCUUCCUUUUUGACUUUCUUAGUUAUAGCAACUUUUAAUGAAUUACAUAUGAGCCAUUCUAUGUAUGUAAAUUGUGUUCAUGAAUCAUCAAUAUCCAUCAAUAUUUCUACAAAUUUAUUGCACAAAAUGUUUACUACAAUUUUUUAGAUCUUCAAACUAAAUUCUUUUGCAUCUUCAAAAACAAAAUGUUUACUUUAAUUUUAUUGUUACCAAAAGUAAUUUUCAAAUUUAUAGAAUCUUUCAACAAAUUAUUUGUACUCCGGUUGAAGUAACGGUUAAGAACUAGUACGAUUAUGUUAUUGAAGAUCAGACUCUUGUUGGCUUACGUUUAAAGGCCAAGUUUUAAUUGAUCGAAUUAAAUUCCCAUUGAACAUGUUAGUUUCACUAGAACUUCUUGUUUAAUUUUCACCACACCUCCACAUAUAAAUUUGAGAUGCAGAUUGGAUGACAAGAUAACAUCAGCUGAAGUCAAUUUUUGAAGCUAUGCAUGCAUCCAUCAAAACGGUGUCCAUUUACUCGGAAACUUUUGAAAGUCUUAUAAUUAAUUUUGUUGAAUUAAAUGAAUUGUAUGCAUGAUGCAAUUGCAGAGAAUCUCUAUUCGAUUGGAAUUUUGAAUUUAACGUCAUCGCCCAAUAGGGUGGCUUUAUCUGUUUUCCUUCUAAAAUAACUCAUAUAAAUCAGAGGCAUGAACAGUUCAUUGCUUGGAAGAGAUCCCUUCAACAAUUGAAAGUAUUGGAACCCUAAACCUAUUAUCCUAACCCUUUUGAAAUGCUACACAUGGACUUCCUGAUCUUGAAGGCAACAUGCUUUGUUUGGAUUGCAUUUUUGUAGAUUUUUUGUAGAAAAAUUAUUGCAACGAUUUGAUAUAUGUGAGAUAAAAAGGUGAUUGGAAAAUAUGUUCACGGAAAACGUAGUAAUUUUUCUUUGAAAAAUUGUUGUCCAAACAAGUUUCUUCGUUUUUCUUGAUUUGAUAUCUUCAUUCCAGGUUGCUGAUCUAUCCUUUUUUCUUGAAGGCAACACUUUAUGAUGUCACAUUAAUGUCAAAGAAUGCCUUCAUUGCAGAGAGAAAUUUGGAUUAGCUCAAAAAAGUCAAAAAGGAAAAAGGAGUUUCAUACGUACAUGUCCUUUGAGAGAAACUAAUAGAGGUCAUCCAAUUAACGUGUUUGUCACACUAAAUGCAACUCACUUUAUGUAUAAAAUGUUUUUUGAAUGCUCAAAUAUCUUAUUCAACGAUGUAAACUUUUAAAUGAUCAAAUUUUGACAAGGAACAAGAAAAAAAAAAAUAAAAAAGAAAAAGAAAAAUCAAAGUCUGUACAAAGCUUUUUUUUUCACAAAGUGUGUACCAUUUUUGGUAGCCAUCCAACACGCAUUGCGGACUAUUUUUUUUUUUAAGUAUUAAUUUUGUCCCUCAUGCUUUAGAAUUUGUUAUUCUCAUGGAAACCUAAUUUACUUGCUUGCUUCUUUAACGUUGACCUAUCAACUUUAAGGUAUGUGACAAAUUUCCAAUCUGUUUAAUGAUUUUAUGCCAAACAAUUUUAAAUUAAUUUAGAUUACAAAAGAGGGGAUCGUAAAUCAAAAAAUCAAUUUCACAACUAAUUAUUUAGUGAUUUUAACAAACAAUUUUAAAUUAAUUUAGAUUACAAAAGAGAGGAUCGUAAAUUGAAAAAUCAAUUUCACAACUAACUGAUAGAGAAUCAAAAUUUCCAUGAAUUCAGCACAAAUUUUCCACUGUAGGUCAUGACUUCCAUUGAUGGAUGGACUUAGACCCAACACGUCGGCGAAAUUUCUACCCAACUUGGAGCAUUUUAUGUGGCAGUUAAGAUUUUGAAGGCUCUUUAUUUUGGCUUUCUUUACUUCUCCUAAUUUUAAAUGCACAUUUGAAAUUCUUGAGCUGUUUAUUCCUCUUUUGGCCUCAAUCUUUUUAUAGUUUAAAGACCACCCAAACUUUUAUGCUUAUUAAAAAUUUAUCAAGUCAAAAUAAAAAGAGUUUAUCGAGUCUCAUUGAAUGCGUUAAACAAGGUUUUCACGACAUAAAGAAGUAUAGAUAUACACAACUAUACAUUAAUGUUGUAUAUAUUAUUACUAUAAAGAUUUUUUAUACUAACAGAUCUAAAUAUAUGACAUAUGAGGAAAAAUUGAAUUCAAAAUUUAAAUAGUGAUAAUAUGACAUUUAUCUUAACCUACUUGUAUAAAAAAAAUCUCUACGCUUCAUAUAAACAAUGUAAAGAGUUUUCAAGAAACAAAGUUUAAAUUUCUUUUUAAUGUGUGUACCAGCCCAUUUUAUUGAAGAACAACCGCAGGCUCAUCUACUUAGCAAAGUGUGUGGAUCCUAUUUUGUAAGUUAUCAAUUUUUGGUUGGUUUAUUCUUGGACAUGGACUAAUCCAACCACAAGCGUGUUGAUCCUAUCUUCUAAGUUAUCAAGUUUUUGAUUGGUUUAUUCUUGGACAUGGACUAAUCCAACCAGCCAGUAACUAAGUGGUCCAUGCCGAUAAAUCUAAUGCAAAUCCUUUUUUUUAAGCAAAUUAUCUGGAUGGCCACUAAAAUAUAUAAAGUUAAAACUCAAGGCCAUUAUGUUAGAUUUAGUUGUUAAGUUUGCCGAUUUGUCUGCCCAUGCGAUUUUCAAGACAAAAGAAAGGGUCAAUUUAGGGAGUUCAACAUGCAUCUUCUUCUUCUUAUUGUAUAAACCUAAAGAAGGCUCUGCUUCUACUGCAACAAGAGAGAAGGAAAUGGAAGAAACCCAGUUUGAAUUAGAGGAAGUAGGACCAAGCUCAACGUCACCAAGAGCCGUGCCAGCAAGAUCCAUGCCACCUACAUCGAUGCCUCAUCUGCCUACUUGUGUUUGUGGGAUUAAGACAGUAAUGAUAACUUCAUGUAUUGCACAAAAUUCGGGAAGAAGAAGCUUUGCCAAAUGCGCAUUGGGGGAGGUUUGUAACAUCUUUCUAGAUACUUAAUUUAUUAUUGUGUAAGAAACAUAAUGAAUUUGUUUAUUUUUGAAGAAUGGAUGUGGCUAUUUGUGACGAUCCCACCUCCCCCUAGGGCGUACCCCAGGGUUUAGCGGACCGCCUGCCCAACUCUCGUCAGGACUCACUCACUCGUAGCUCGGGAACCUAACUUACAUCCAGAGAAACUAAAUAACACAAUAAAUUCAAACUUGAUAUAUACAUUGAUGCUCAAACCCAGAUACAAAACUUCUACACACCAAGACACUUUCAAGUGUUUACAAUUCAAGUACAAUCAACCCUAGUCGGGUGCUAGCACGAGUACAAUUACAAAAUUUUCAAAAACUAGACUACGCUAACCUGUACCAGUCUCACGCCUCGCUCGUACCCCCUGUUAGGAAAAUAAAUGGAGUGGAAUGAGCUAAAAACCCAGUGAAGUUCCAAAUAGCAAGUUGACAAUUAUUGAAAAGUUCACGUAUCAAAGUGGCAAAAUAGCGAGCAUAACCAGUCCAUAAAAGUGAGCGAUAACACUUCAGGUAACAAAUCUCAAAAUGAGCGACUGUAAAAUUCUUUUCUAAAAAAAACAAUAACACUACGAAUAACAAUCAAAGUAUAAGGAUACAAAUGGCUCUCAGGAGCCAAUUUUCCGUUGCUUCACCAAAGUUUGAUCAAGUAUUAGUUGACACUCCAUCAACCUUCAAGUAAAGGAACCAAUCUAGUAGUGCUUCGUUUAACACCAAUCCGUCCACCAUUCAACCCCCUUACCUGGCCCGAACACCAACUAAACACCGGUGGUAAUACUCGAGCAUACCGAUUAGUCGAGGAAAUAACACUCCACUCGACAACACUAGAUACCCAUGGUUCGUUAUCUAAUCGACUAAGCCCUUGCCGACUCGACUCGAAUAACUAGCCAGUGAGGUUUGGGUCCCCAAAAAGUCGAUGAGAUAACACUCCAAUCGACUGAAUCAAGAUAAAAGUAAGGAGACGGGAAGGAGAGACACCUCCCACUCGGAUUGAGUGUGGUACAUGCAGCCACUCAACAUUUACAAGCACAAGUACAAAUACAAGUAUAUCAAAUCAAUUGCAACAAUAAAUGAGUACAUAUCACAUUAGGGCAAGUGCGAUAAAGUACAUCCUUGCCCGGCCAUACCAAUCACAUAUCAUUCGAUCACAUUGGUUAAGUAUUGGAAACAAGUGUCAAGUUCAAUCAGGUAUUUGGAAGCACUCACCAAAGAUGUAGUGCCUUUACGGAUCACGUUCAGGUAUUACUCCUUGUUGGGAGUCCAAAUCUGCGAUAAAACAUCGUUUAAGAGCUUUGAAAUCACUAAGGUUCGAAACUUAAACGUUUCGUUUAACGAGGAUCAAGUGAUUGAAAGUCAUUUGAAGAAUAUUCAUAAAACUCAUGCUCACUCUUAAAACUUUGAAACUUUGAAGCGAUUAAACUUUGAAAUCACCAUUUGAGUCGAAGAGACGAGGAAAAUGUAUUUCUAUUAGUCGUCACUUUCAUUUUUUCAAGGGCACAAGUUUCUGCCGAAUUCUAUCUUACAUACCUCCAUGAAAGAGGAUUUGAAUAAUCUAGACAAUUCAACCCCAACUCUUUGUUCAAACUACAAGUGCACACGUCUAGUCCUCGAAUGAAAAUUUGGGCAACACGCCAUUUGUAUUUACUUAUUUUUCAACCAUUUAUGGCUUCAUUAUUUUUCUCAGAUCAGCCCCAAAGUCUCACACAAGCAAUGUUACCAUUAUAGCCCGUCAAUUAGGCUCCGAAAUCAUCCAAUUACAACACUUGUCUAAUAAUACAACCGGAAAUCAGUUUUGAAGACAAAAGGCUAAACAGCAGAUUUGACAUCUUAUAGCAUUUUGGUCACAACUGGAGCUACAUUUAUCGGAUUAGGGUACACUUUAUGACGUUUCGAAACUAAGACAAAGGGUUACAACUUUUAUGAAGACAAGUCAACCCAGUUCACAUUUGAUCUAGGUCAAAUUUGCAGAUUACAAAACCAGAAUUUAAAUGUCAGUCUGGUUAUCAGCACUGGAUUUGAUGACAAUAACUCAAACUACAAAUUUCUGAUUGAGGCGUUUUCAGAUGCGUUGGAAAGCUGAAAUAUAGGGUUAAAAUUUUCAUGUUUUGACCAAAUGCUGAUUUGAUAUGGAUCAAAGUGAAAUGAAGCCAAAAAUAUGAAAUCUCAAAACUGUCCGCGGAAAAAAAAAACAUUUGGCAGUCAGGGGUAUUUUGGUCAUUUCACAUGUUACAGUGCUUCGAUUGAGUUAAAAUUUUACAGACAUCUAUAUAACACCAUUUCCUACAACUUUCAUGUUUUGACCUAAGUCUAAUUCGGCCUUUAACAUGGACGAAUGAAGUUGGUCAGAAGCAGGGCAGAAUUCUCUACUAAAGCUGGAAAAUGAAACCCUAGGCUGAAAUUCCAUCAAUCUUCACCAAUCUAGGUUAUCAUCCAUAAAACUUCUAAGUUUCAAGUCAUUUAUCCAAUAAAAUGCAAGAUAAGAGAGAGAAGAAGAGUUUCUUAACCUAAUACCUUCAAACCUCAAGGAAAAACACAAAACCAAGGCUGCCUAUGUAAAAUCAUUCCACCUCAAACUUCCUUGUCACCUUGUUGCAUCUUUGUUCGGAUUAGAUUUGUGGUUCUUGUUGAUUUCUCUCCAAAUCAAUCAAAACCCAAGAUGAAAUGUGAAGUUUCUCUGCUCUUUUAUCUCUCUCUAGUUCGGCCAAGGGACGAAGAAAAUGAAUAGGCUUUGAGGAGAGUUUACAAGAUAAAGACUAGAAUGGUCUUUGGUCAAAGUUGACUUGAUGACCACCACUUGUUGCUCUAUCAUUUUUCCUCUUAUUUUUGUUCUUUUUCCAUUUUUGGUCAAAAAUUUCGGCCAUCUUAAGAUAAAAUUAGGGAAAGAAAAAAUAAAAUAAAAAUAAGGAGAUUAUGGUAAGAAAGUAUUGGUCAAGUGUGGUACUUCACCGGUAACAAAUGGCUCACGUCGGUUCAAGCCUAUUUUCCUUAACUCUGUUGCACUUGUGUUUUAACUUAUGAUUCACUAAUUUAUUAUUAUCACUUCUAAUCACACACUUUCUCUUAUUUAAUACUUCUUCUUAUCCACCAAAUUUAGUACACAUACCUCACCAAUUAAUCACACUAUCAAAAGAUGUAAAAAUCCUAGUUUACCUUAACGAUGAAAGUAAAGGAAAAACCCUUGGUUCUAUGAUUAAUUGUAACUAUUGAGGAAGUGAAUGAGUAGUAAAACUAUUGUAAAAUAAUGGAUUCCAAAUAAAAGGAAAUUUUUAAGAAAAUAUAAGGGAUUUUACAAGUUCUCACAAUCACACUACCAAAAUGCACACAAAAACACACACCAAAACCCUAGUAUGCACAAAAACCCUAACUUAUGCCCUUCUUUAGAAAACUCAUAACUUGAGUUAUAAAUAUAAAAAAUUUAUACAACUUGUCUUGUUAAAAACUAGACUUCAAAUACUAAAAAUCUUUAGAAGACACCUCAAAGAGAUUUAGUUCAUAAGUUGGUCAAAAUGAGCCAUAAGCUACUACAACAUUCCUAUGUUUACUUUGUGAUACCCCGACUUUUAGGAUAUUACGGUUUCUAUAUUUUAUUUUUUGUUUUAAGAUAUUGUUUUGUUUUAAAGAUUAGAAACCCUAAAUUCUAAUCUAAAGGAAAAAAAAAACCCUAGUUUACUUGUGACUACCCGAUUUUCCUAAAUCCCUUAUAUUUUAAUCGAAACCAUAAUUGUAACCAAUGGAAUUGUAAAAUCCCUCAUAUUUUCUUAAAAUUCCUUUUAUUUAGCAUUUAUUCCUUUUUAAUAGCUUUACUACUCAUUCACACCCUCAGUUAUUACAAUUCACCAUAGAAUCAAGGGUUUUCCCUUUAGGUUAUUCGUUCGAGUAAAUUAGGGCUUUUUGCGUAUUUUCACCGUGCGCUUACUUGGUGAGAUGUGUGCACUAAAUUUGGUGAUUAAGAGUGAGUUUGAGAUGAUAUUAAGUGUUUGAUUAGAAGUAAUAACCAUAGGAUAGUGAAUUAUAAGUGAAAACCCUAGUACGUGCAAAAUAAGGAAAAUCGGGUUGAACCGAAGUGUACCGUUCGUUACCGACUGAGUGCAUCACUUGACCCAUACUUUAUUACCUUAAUCUCCUUGUUAUUAAUUGAACAAAAACAUACCUAAAUAUCUCCUUAAGCCAACCGAAAUUGUGGACCAAAAUAAGAGAGAGAAAAGAAAAUUUUAAAAGCUAAUCUCAUCGCGACAAGUGGCAACCAUUCCAUGGUUGUUUGACCAACUUAAUUCCUACCUUCUUAUCUUUUUUCUUAGAUGAUUUUUCUUCAUUUCUUGCUGGUCUUGGUCAUGGCUUUGGAGGGAAAAAACAAGAGAAAGAGAGCUUCAAUCCAUCUUGGGUUUUGCUUGAUUGAGUGCAAACAAGAAAAACUAAACCGAUUAAUCACUAGUUUGGAAGCUUGGGAAGCUUAAGGAACCAAAAAUUUCAAGGAGAGGUGGAGGAUCAUUCUUGCAAGCUCUUGUCUUGUGGUAUAAUGGCUGAUCAACCUUUCUUUCUCCAUUAAUCAUGAUUAAGUUGGGUAUUAAUGGUAGUAUUGUGCUUGUGAUGCUUGUUUCAAGUGAUUUUGAUGAUUAGAUGGAAGACUUUUGAGUUAGGAUUUCUUGUGGGUUAGGUGUUAUAUGAUGUGUAUAUAUGGUAUAUAAUCUUGUAAAGGAGAAAUUAGUAGUAGUUUAAGGUAAAAAUAUGAAUUAUAGCUUGCAUAUAACAAAAUUCCAGAAUUGAGAUUUCUUAUGGUUCAGUUCUGCCUGUUUCUGUUUGAGUAUGUUAGAGGCUGAAUUAGGCUUAGAAUAAAACAUGAAAGUUGUAUAGAAUGAUAUUUUAUAGUUGCCUACAAAAUUUCAGGCCAAUCGGAGUAACGUAACCUGUGAAAAGACCAAAAUACCCUUACUGCCCUAGGAUGCAUCCAGUGAUCAGUUUUAGACAGUUCAUCCAAUUGACCGUGUCUAUUCGCUAUGAUCCGUGCUGAUUUAGCCAUUUGUCAAAAUAUGAAAGUUUUAGUACUUUGUCUUAGUUUUCAACGCCUCCAAGAACGCCUUAAACGGACUUUGGUAGCUUGAGAUAUGGCCAUUUGGAAGUAGUACGGUUAACUGGCCGGUUAGUUGGAAUUUGGUUCUGUGAAUUGGGAAUUUGACUGGAUUACACUGGAAAUUAGACUAGGUGGUCUUCACCAAAGUUGUAGCCCUUUGUCUUAGCUUCGAAACGGUAUAAGUUACACCUCAAUCCGAUAAGUGUAGCCUCAGAUGUGUCCAAUCCGUAAAAACCCGUCAAAUCUGUCUUUUGUUAAACUUCAUUUCCGCACAUUUCAUUAGCUUGAUUUUUGUACUUGUAUUACCUUGAGUCUAUUGAACGGCUAUUGAAAUGAAUUUGUGCUGUGUGUAACUUUGGGUUUGAUUGAGGAAAAGAAUGAAGGCAUAAAUGGCUGGAAAAUAGGUAAAUACUAAGGGCGUGCUGCCCAAAUUUACGCUCGAGAACUAGGUAGAUAUGCUUGCAACUUGAGUAAGGUUUGAGAGUGAAUACCACUUGAACCAUCUAGGAUAUUUGCACCUUCUUUUAUCAAGGUAUAUAAGUUAGAACUUGGCCGACCUUGUACCCUUGAAAAAAAAUGAAAUUUAUGACUAAUAGAUAUACUUUUCUCCAUUUCGUCGACCCAAAUGGUAUUUCAAAGUAUAAUUGUUUCCAAGUUUCAAAGUCUUAAGAGCGAGCAUGAAUUUCUUAGAAUUUGAUAAGUAUCUUGAAUACUACUUAAACGAGUUGCAUUUACUUGAUUUUCUUGAAGCGAAACUCCUAUAUUUCGAACUCUAGAAAGUUUUACAUUCGUAAAUAAUAUUUUAUCGCAGAUUUGGACUCCAACCAAGGAGUUGGACCUGAACGUGGGUUUUGAGAGGCACUAGACUUUUGGUGAGUGCUUCCAAAUAUCUGGUUGAAUUGGACACUUGUUUUAAUACUUGAUCCAUGAAAAUACAUGAUACGAGAUUUGUUGAUCGGGCAAGGGUGUACUUUAUCGCACUUGCCCUAAUAUGAUAUUUACUUGUUUAUUGUUGCAAUUGAUUUGAUAUACUUGUACUUGAGUUGUAAGUGCGGAGCGGCAGUAUGUACCACACUUAAUCCGAGUGGGAGGUGCCUCUCAUUCCCGUUUUCGUACUUUUAUUUUAAUUCAGUCGAUUGGAGUGUUACCUCAUCGACUUUUGGGAACCCCAAACCCCACUGGUUAGUUAAUCGAGUCGAGUUGGCAAGGGUUUGGUCGAUUAGAUAACGAACCAUGGGUAGUUAGUAAUGUCGAGUGGAGUGAUAUCUCCUCGACUAAUCGGUAUACUCGAGUAUUACCACCAAUAUUUAUUGAGGAUUUUGGGCCCAGUAGGGGGUGUGAAUGGUGGACGGAGAGUAGUGUAAGUGGUGCUCUACUGGAUUGGUUACUUACUUGAAGGUUGACGGAGUGUCAACUAUUACUUGAUCAAGCUCUGGUGAUACAAUGGGAAUUUGGCUCCUGAGAGCCAUCCGUAUCCUUAUACUUUGGAGUGAUUAUUGUUUAUUGGAUUAUUGUUUCUUUUGAAAAACUUUUACACUCGCUCACUUUGAGAUUUGCUACUUGAAGUAUUAUUGCUCACUUUUAUGAACUUUUCAUGCUCAUUACUUUGCUACAUGAUACUUGCACUUUUAAAUAAGGGUUAACUUGCUAUUUGGAACCUCACUGGGCUUUUAGCUCAUUCCACAUCAUUUGUUUUCCUUAUAGGGGGUACGAGCGAGGCGUGAGACGUACAGGCUAACGUAGUCUAGUUAUUUUGACUUUUGCAAUUGUACUCACGCUAGUACCCGACUAGGGUUGAUUGUACUCGUAUUGUAACCACUUUGAAGUAUUUUGGUGUGUUGAAACUUUGUAUCUGGAUUUGAGCAUCAAAGUAUGUAUAUAUUAAAUUGAAAUGGGUAUGUUAUUUAUUUUCUAAGGAUGUGCGUUAUUUUUUUCCUUGAGCUAUGAGUGAGUGAGUCCUGACGAGAGCUGGGCAGGCGGUCCGCCGAACCCUUUGGUUUGCCUUAGGGUGAGGUGGGGCUGUCACAUACUUGUGCAAGGCAGAAUUGUCAGUCAACUUUGCCAAUUUCCUAGAAUUUAUAGAGAUUGAAUCAAACUCUAAAUUUUACACCGUAGAAAGCUCUAUGAGUCUAGUUUCAAACGCAAUAACCGGAACUCAAUUCCGACUUUCCUAUACGAAAUUAUAGCCAAUUUCCCAAAACUGUGCAGAGCCUCCUGCGAAAAUUUCUAGAAUUUCUAACAACUUGAGAUUAUGAAACUUUUCUUAGUAAAAUUCACUCCCUUGGCUCAUAUUCAACCAGGAAUCUAAGGCAAGUAAGUUCAAAUAAGAGCUAUAAAGACAAGUAAAAUUUCGGGGUCUUACACUAUUGGGGUUGGAUAGAUGAUGAAAUGUGCGCUCGAUCUAUAAUGAUUAUACCGGAUCUACUCGGAAAGAUCAAUAUAAUAGAGGCAAAAAUGGCUGAAUUUGAGAAAACUGCAAGAAAGUGGGAAGCAAAAACUAUGAAAUUGGAGGCCAAAAUGAAGCCACUUGAAGCUGAAAUUACCAAGUACAAAUCAACCAAUAAGAGACUCAUUCGAUGUACAUUGUUGCCUUGGCUAAUAGUUGUUUUAGGAAUGUUUGUUAGAAGAAUAGAUAAAUCUGGUGGCAUGCUACAAAUUUGUGGAGUCGUUAAAAAUCACUGAAGAAUAGGUACUCAGUUGGAUGUAAUGGUAGCAUAUUGAAAGGGCAAAUGGCUUUAUAAAGCCCCUUUUAUACCCUCAGUUAUAAACAAUGAUGUAUAAAAGUUGACUUGUUCAUGUGAAAUUAAGUAUAAUUUGGUGUCAAAAAGGUUUCAAACAACACAUUUCAAUUCUACUAAUUUCAUCAAUGACAGAGAUAUAAGAACUAAACAGACAAGUGCUGCAUUAACAUAGACCAAUUUGCAUCAAAACGGAUAAAACAAAUUGUUUGUACAUGUGGACCAUGUUCCUAAUAGGUCAGCAUAUCAAAAGAAAGAUUACUUAUAUUGUUAUUUAAACCCAAAACAAACAAGAUAUUACUCUCUUGUUCACGCAGUUAAGAUACCCUCUAGUUCAUAAUUCCAUACCAAAACUCAGGCUCUUACCGAAAAUCCACCGUCCUACACAAGAACCUACAUUCUUAACACAAUCCUCAAGAAGGAUUAUAUAUGAAUCAUUUAUGCUUGCCUCUUGAGGUUCAAACUUCAUUCCAAACUUAUUAUCAUAUGAAAUGAAUAUUUCUUCAUUAAAACACACAUUAGAUGCAUCACUUUGAUCAAAAUAUAAUCCAUUGUCACAUACAGCAUUCCUACCAUUCAUAAUUGGGUCAUUUUGCAUAUUAUUAGAAGAAAUAAUUCCACACAAUACAUGUAAUUGUUCUUGUAUUCUACAAAAGUGAUAGGUUAAUUCAUCUAAUCUUUUCUCAACCCUAUCAAAACGAUCGGAACUCAUAUUAGCUAGUUUUUCUAUGGCUAAAUCAAAUUAAUUAGAAGAAUUUUCUACAGCUAGCACUUUCUAAUUCCCAAGGUAGAGGUGCAUUAGCUAACUUCUCUAUUGCCAAUUCUAAAGAUGGUUUUGAUUCACAGUGGACACAUUCGGAUUGGUAAUCAUAUAAACAAAGAAAAGCACUAUUAGCAUAUUGAUUAUCCCAACCAUAAGCACAAGAAUUGCUCCAAUUAAGACCAUAAAGAUUGCAAUGCCCAAAUUCAUCAUAAUAAUCCACAUUUUGUGUUUGUCUACAUGUAUGAGAAGCAUGAUAACCUCCACACAGAUCACAAAUCAUAUGAUUAGAAUUAAAAGUAUUAGCAUUCCUCUUUUACUCAAUCUCAUGCAUAAUAGUGUCCAUUUGUUUUAACAUUAUACCAUCAAGUUUAGCCUUUAAGCUUUUUAAACCAUCUUCAAAUGACAUACCUUCGAUAAUUUCUUGGUUACCUCUAUUCAAGGAGUUUUGCACGUAGUAACCAUCCAUUGCCAAUCUUUCACUUCUCAUGCAUUGUCCUCCAAAUUGACCUACCCUCCUCAUCACUUAAAAUUACUUUUAAAUAAUCUCAAAAGCAAGAUUAGUCAAGAAGGAUAACUACUAAAACACAUACACACAUAAAACACAAAAAUAAAAUAAAAUUCAAGACUAACACAACAAACUAGACUCAAUUAAUACAUAAGAAAAACUACUAAAAUGCCUAAACUAAUAAAGUUGUUCUUUACACCGAUAUUGUCACAAAUCUUCCUCGACAAUGGUGCCAAAAACUUGACAGAUUUUUUAUAUAAGUACAAGUUUAAAUCCAAUUUAUACCCGUUUUAACUGCAACUAUACAGGUCAACUAGUAGUUUAGCACAUAUAUCGGGUCGAUCCCACAAGGAAGAUUGGAUAAUUACCAACACUACUAAAGCUUCUCUAUUAUUUAGACGAUCAAUGAAUUAAAAGAGAUAAAACUAUGCUAAACUUAUGCAAGAAAAUAGUAAAUAAAAGCGCCUUAGGCUAUGGUAUUCCUAACUACUCAGGCAAGUGCUACCUUUGGAUCAUUGAGUACUACUAUCUUGGCUAGUUAUGGCGUAAUUUCCUUACGCAUGUGAAACCAACUUUCGUAGUGAAUCAACUAUAUUUAUAACUAAUCCAUACCUACUCUCGUGAUUAUGAAAUUAGUUACAAGUUCAUUUCUUCAAUGAAAUUACAUGAAAUGAAUCACUAAAACCACAUAGGUGCACCUCUACUCUCGUGACUGUACUCCCUAGGUUUACCACUUCUUGAACUAGUAUUAAAUCUCAAUUUCCAUUGAAGAAACAACACCUUUAGAUUAUCACAAUUAAUAGUACCAAAUUAAUCAUGAUUUAAAGAACUAAAGUUCUAAAUAACUUGCUCAAAAUAAUAGCAUCAAAUAGCCAAAUAAUAAACACUAACAAUCAUAGAAAGUUCACCCAAAACCAAGGCAUAAACUUUAGAAUGUCAUAACAAACAUAAAAUCCAAACUUGUAUAUUAACCAAACAAUAGAAUCAAGUACAAAAGAUAAAGAGUUUAGGAAGGAAUGUAACCCUUGUCACAUGAGUUCAUCUCCUUGCAUUCUUCAUUCACCAACCUCUUCUUUAUCUAGCUAAUAAACAAGAAAGAUGAACUAACUAGCUAAACUAUCCUAUACUAUACUAACCUAACACUAAGAAAAUGUAAGAACUAUAUUUUUGGUAGUAUUCUUGCACUCCCCAAGCUCUCCUUGAUCUUGAAAGUCCAUGGCUAUAUAUAGAGGACUCUAGUCAAGAAAUGAGGCUUCAAACAUCACUUUUACAGUUGCAAAGUUGUUGUCACACGUCCAUCAAUAACUGUCAAUUAUUGGAGAAGGAAACAAGCUGUGCAAGUGGAGAGCAACCAUUUCUGACCAGAAUCCAGCCAUAAAUCCGGCCGGAUUGCUCCCCUGCCAUUCUUAGCAAUUUCUGUCCAGUGUUCAAUGUUGCUCCAAUUCUGCUUCAAUUUCAACUGAACUUUUCUUGAUAAUAAAAGCUGAAUUAACUCCUGACCAAAACAUAGAACUUGUAGCCUUUUGAGUUAGCUUUCCAAUGCAUCAAGAAUCACCUCAUUUGGAUUUGUGUAUGCUCAAAAAUGACUGAAAUACCCUUGACUACUCAUUGCCUUAUCUCAGCUUCGACCAUAGAAAAUUAGCUACUGUCAUUUGGCUUUUUGACCAGGAAAACCUUCAAACUGGAUUUCGAUGUCUUCAUAAGAUUUGUAUAUCUAUCUCUUAUCUUCAAAAUGGUUCAAGAAUCAUCUCAAUCCAAUCAUUGUAACUCAAGUUAUAGCCGAAAUACGAAGAUGUGUCUAAGCUGUCAACUUGCUUUUCAUCCAAAUGAAGUAUAUUUCCAACUCCUGUACAAAUUAUGGACAAAAUGCGAGUAAAAAGUGACAAAAACCUCAUUUAAUCACUUAAUAGUAUUUUACAUCAAUUAUAGCCAAAAUGAUCCAUUUUCUUCCUAUAAUAUUGUCCAAGUGACUAAAAAUAGCAUAAAAUAUCAUUCAAAUGUAGCUCAAAUUAAUCACUUAUCAAUUACCCCACACUUGAAUCAUUACUUGUUCUCAAAAAAUUCAAACGUAAUCAACUACAAUGAUUCACGAGGUGAAACAAUAUAUGCAUUUUUUUAAAAUUUAAUUCCUCAUAAUUUGGCAAACACUAAUUAUACAAUUGUUCAAAUUACACUAAAUACUUAUAAUAUCAAGUAAAGGAAAGAUAAUUAUAUCCUAAUUUUAACAAGUUAAACUUAAUCUCUUUCCCUAACCUAAUUUUACAAGCAAGCAAAUCACAUAGUCAAUUUAUAACUUUCCUCCUCUCAAAAUCAUCUCUUUCUCUAAUUUUUUAAUUAAGAGAGAUUUAUUCAUACUUGAUUUUUACUCAAAUAGUGAAAAUGCCUUUUGACACGAAAAUCGACACUUUUAGAUGAAAAUCCCCGGUUACUCAAUAUUUCACGUAUUCAAGUUGCUAUUUAUACUCUUAAUUCAAGUACCUUUUUACACGAAUGUCGACAUUUAUAGAUGCCAACCCCUGGUUACUCGGUACAUGAAUCAUUAGAGUAGAACAAAAAACUCUUAUUCUUCUUUUGUUUUCUUUUAUUCUUUUUAUUGCUUCUUUUUCAAGAGUAAAAGACAAUAAAUAAAUAUUCCCUCUUAACAAAUACACAAGAAUAAUCAAAAGAAGAGUAUGGCCUUUAUUGACUAUAUCAAUCACUUACUUGCAAAAUUAAAUAAAGAGGAGAAAUCUCAUUAAACAUGCAAAAUUAUAGGCAUAAUUUUCCUCACUUUACCGGAUAUACUUUCUAAAAUGCAAAAAUCCUAAUUGCAUAAUAACCAUUUCUAAAUCAAAUGAGGACUACAUCUUUCAAAAUACAUAUAAAGUUUCAACAAGUGGAAGAAUUAGACACUUAAAGUUGGAACAAUUUGGUCAUUUUUAAAUAAAAGUGCAAAAAUUUGAAGAAUUUUUGGGUCAUAGUGAAAAUAUUGGAAAAGAUUUUGAAAAAUUUUUGACAGAGUUUCCCCUUAUAAAUGGACGAAACUCCCUGCCAAUAAAUCCAAUUUCAAGAAAAUUAUCCACAUGGCAAGUAAUUCAAACACAAUUCCAACAUUUCUAGAGUAUUUAAAUCCACAAAAUGUCAUCACAUGGCAUUAGAAUGCAAGUUCAAAUAUUUUCCUCCCCCACACUUAAACGUCACAUUGUCCUCAAUGUGAGAAAAGAAAAUAAAUAAAGAGUAAAAGAAAAUACUGCCCAUAUGAACUUGCGCUAUCCAAAUCCAUGGGCCAAAUGAUGAAUUUCCAACCUUAAGAAGUCUGAAAGCACUAAAACCACAACAUAAAUGAAGAUCACUUGGAUGAGUUUAUACAAAAGAAAUAAGAAAAACCACUAAAAGAUAAACAUGAAAAGCACUAGGAAAAACAAAAGAAAAAUAGUAGCAAUGUCAAGUGGUGAUGAGCACUCCCUCAAUUAGCCGUUUGAUCAGGUGAAGAGGGUGGAGUCGGAGGAGUUUCGAUGCCAAGUUUGGCCUCAAUGCGACGAAGACGCUCGGAAUUCCGUUUGUUCUCUUGUCUACUCUUCUUCACCUCGGUCUCGACACAAAGCAAUUUAUCCAUGAUCUUCUUGAGAAAUGACCGAGUGUCUUGAGGUGAAGAUGGGCAACGUGAGAAGGACGGAUCAGCUGAGACCGGGGGGGUAAUUGUCUCGACCCCUUGAGCUUCUUCAAUACGUGCAAUUUCAGUUUCUUCCUCUUGCCGAAUGUCACUUUGAGCAUCUCCUUGAGUUGAAGGACCACUAUGUCUUUGCUCAUCAAAAGAAACCUGCAAAAAUCCAAUGUGAAGAUGUCCUUCUUCUUGAGGUCUGUAGGGAUAGCAUUAGAGAAAUCAACUCCAGCUCUUUGAAACACCAAGGUCAAGAAGCGAGCAUAUGAAAAAGCAUGUUUGACAUCAUUAUUUCGAACCACAGCCCACAUGUGGUUGGUGAUAAUGCUUCCCAGUGGAAUGCCUUGGAUGUUGCCUAGACUAUGCUCCAUUUUAUCCAAGAAAUAGAUGUCGCUUGUGCGCGCCUCAUUGGUACUGCUUGCUCUUAGAAUUAUAUUGGAGGCAAACAAGUAGAUGAGAAGGCGAUGCGACUCCGGAAAUGAGGAAGUCAACACGGAAUAUCGCUUAGUCUUACGAGUAGACUUGUACUCAACUCCCAAGCGUACAAGUGCCUCUAGCAUGUUCCAAGAGUCCAAAUCACGCGGUUUGAAUGCUUUUUUCAAAUCAACCUUAUACCCAACGUCAGAAACUUGAAGAUAGCUUUCCAAAUGAGCUCUAUGGAUUCGAACUCUGGUUCCUCGCGCUGUACUUGUAAUCACUUCGGACUGUACUUGUAAUUACUUCCGUGUCGAAGUGAAAAGCCUGUUUGCCCUCCACAUUGGCAUAAAAUUCUCGGACAAGCUCGUCAUAAUAAAUGUUCGGAAUGUUGAAGAAAUUCUCCCAUCCCAAUUUGGCAAAGUAGGCCUUGAGAUGGUAGACCUCCUCAACAUCCGGAGUGACAUCCUUCUCAACCAACACCUUAGCUCCCCUCCUAAAAUUAUACCAUACUUCAUUUUCGGCGGAGGUGAAGUGCGACCUAUCAUAAGCAGCUUGCUCCUCUUGUUCCUCUUGUUGCUCCACUUGCGGUUGAGUUUCCUCUUCGGAUGAUGGUUCGUCUUCAAGUACAAGUCAUCUACUUGCUUUUCUUUUCAUCUGCAGUGGUCUAGAAGUAGACGUAGAGGCUUCUCCUUUUCUCUUGGGAGGAGGAGAUUUCACCCCGACUUUCUUGGUGCGAGCCAUUGUACCUAAAUAAAAUUAUUAAACAUUAAUUUCAUUUAAUAGGUACAUUGUCAAAUAAGGAUAACAAACACUCGUUCACGUUUACCUUUUAUCUUUAAAGAGACAAACUCAUAGCAAUUAACACCACAAGUAAGUAUCAAAAUCGAUUAUCAACAACAAGUGCUCUUAUAAUUUCUCCAAAUAAAACAUUUAAGCAUAUAAUGUCCAAAUAAUUAGAGGAAGCAAUUAAGCAAAUACACACUGACUCCCAUCUUAAUGAUCCAAACAAUUAUAAUUAAAUGCUAAAUAGCACAUUAACCAUAAGUUUUACGCUUUAAAAAGUCAUUAAUUCACCUUUCACCAAAAAUUCUAGAAUAAACAUGCCAAAAAUCAAGAGAUAAGCAAAUUAAGCCUAAAAUUAGCAUGUAAAUAUUCUAGAGCAAUCCAUCUAUCUCAUACAAUUUUCUUCAAUUCAAUUAACUCAAGAAAUUAGCUAAUAAUUAUUAAGUCACAUUAAUCUUCAAAAUUAGCUAAAAAUUUUCUAAAUUCACCAAAUAAUCACAAACCCAUGAGUUAAACAUCACCAAUAAUCAUUAAUUACCUCAAUAAGCACAAUGAAAAGCACCAAACUUCAUAAAAUGAAGAAAUUAGAAAUUGCCCAAAAAUUAGAAAAAAAGUGAAAAAUGGCAAAAUUGAAAUGACAACAUUUGGUGAAGAUUUGUUACCUCAAACUUGUUGUUUGAUGAUUAUAGAUGCAAAUGGUGAAGAAACCCCUGAAAAUCUCACUCCAAUUCGGCUUCAAAUGGAGAGGCUUGUUUUUUAAGAAGUUUAAGCUAUGAAAUAAUCUCUAGAAGUUAAGGGGAGUAUUUUGGUGAAGUUAGUUUGAAGAUUGGAUAGUGAAAAGAGUGAUCUUAGUGAGUAGUGUGUGUUUUAGGUAUGAGUGUGUGUAGGUUGAAGAAGGAGGGAAAGAAGCUUUAAUCCAGCCACUAAUCCGGCCACUUUAUAGUCGGAUAUACGGCCAGAUUGUUGGCCGGGUUCUAGCCAGAAGCUGGAAAUUUUUUUUUUCAAAGUCCCUUGUUAAUCCGGCCUAAAAUUGGCCAGAUUUGUGACCGGAUUUACUGCAGAAAUUUCUGAUAUCUGCAGUUUUUCCUCCAGUUUUCUACUUGAUCAAGUUUACGCACUCACCCGAUUUUCAACUGUUUUCAUGUUCUUCAAGAAAAAUUCACUUUAAACCAUAAAAAUGUGCUUUUUUCAACCAAAUACACUUAAAAAUACAUGAUCAUGCAUUAAUAUAACACAAAUAUAAAGCACUUUAAAUGCAUGAAAUGCAUCAAAUGAACAUGAAAACUCCCUUUUUGUUUCAAUAUAGACACUUUUGCAAUUGAGAUCAUUUGCAUGAAUCAUUGCCUUUGCCACCUACAAAACACACAAAAAUACUAAUCAAACAACUAAAACAUACUAAAAACAAGAAAUCGUUGGGUUGCCUCCCAACAAGCGCUUCUUUAUAGUCAUUAGUUUGACUAUAGCACCUCAUUAUCAAGGAGAUUUAGUUAAUGAAUAAUUCACUAUUAAAGGAUGUGAUGGAUCAUUAAAAGGUGGCUUAACAACUAGAGCCACGUGUUCUAAUGAUAUGAGAGGUGGAAAUGGCUUACCCAUCUCAAGCGAUUCAUAGAUAUUACCUUGUACACGUGUCACUUGAGUAUUCACCAAAGGAACGUCCAUAUGACUUUCUUGGGCUAUAAUGACUUUUGAACCUACAUUCUUAACACAAUCCUCAAGAAGGAUUAUAUAUGAAUCAUUUAUGCUUGUCUCUUGAGGUUCAAAUUUCAUUCCAAACUCAUUAUCAUAUGAAAUGGAUAUUUCUUCAUUAAAACACACAUUAGAUGCAUCACUUUGAUCAAAAUAUAAUCCAUUGUCACAUACAACAUUCUUACCAUUCAUAAUAGGGUCAUUUUUCAUAUUAUUAAAAGAAAUAACUUCACACAAUACAUGGAAUUGUUCUUGUAUUCUAUAAAAGUGAGAGGUUAAUUCAUCUAAUCUUUCUUCAACCCUAUCAAAACGAUCAGAAGUCACAUUAGCUAGUUCUUCCAUGGCUAAAUCAAAUUGAUUAGAAGAAUUUUCUACAGCUAGCUCCCAAGAUGUAUUUGAAUCAAUAACUAAUGGUUCACUUUCUAAUUUCCAAGGGAGAGGUGCAUUAGCUAACUUCUCUAUUGUCAGUUCCAAAGAUGGUUUUGAUUCAUAGUAGACACAUUCGGAUUGGUAAUCAUAUAAACAAGGAGAAGCACUAUUAGCACAUUGAUUAUCCCAACCAUAAGCACAAGAAUUGCCCCAAUUAUAACCAUAAGGAUUGCAAUGCCCAAAUUCAUCAUAAUAAUCCACAUUUUGUGCUUGUCUACAUGUAUGAGUAGCAAGAUAACUUCCACACAAAUCACAAAUCAUAUGAUUACAAUUAAAAGCAUUAACAUUCCUCUUUUGCUCAAUCUCAUGCAUAAAGGUGUCCAUUUGAACUUUUAACAUUAUAAUAUCAAGUUUAGCCUUUAAGCAUUUCAAACCAUCUUUAAAUAACAUACUUUCGGUAAUUUCUUGGUUACCUCUAUUCAAGGAGUUUUGCAUGUAGUAAACAUCCAUUAUCAAUCUUCCACUUCUCAUGCAUUGUCCUCCAAAUUGACGUACCCUCCUCAUCACCUAAAAUUACAUAAAACAUAAAAAUAAAAUAAAAUUCAAGACUAACAUGACAAACUAGACUCAAUUAAAACACAAGAAAAACUACUAAAAUGUCUAAACUAAUAAAGUUGCUCUUCACGCCGAUAUUGUCACAAAUCUUCCUCGACAACGGUGCCAAAAACUUGACAGAUUUUUUAUAUAAGUACAAGUUUAAAUCCAAUUUAUACCCGUUUUAACUGCAACUAUACAGGUCAACUAAUAGUUUAGCACAUAUAUCGGGUCGAUCCCACAAGGAAGAUUGGAUAAUUACCAACACUACUAAAGCUUCUCUAUUAUUUAGACGAUCAAUGAAUUAAAAGAGAUAAAACUAUGCUAAACUUAUGCAAGAAAAUAGUAAAUAAAAGCGCCUUAGGCUAUGGUAUUCCUAACUACUCAGGCAAGUGCUACCUUUGGAUCAUUGAGUACUACUAUCUUGGCUAGUUAUGGCGUAAUUUCCUUACGCAUGUGAAACCAACUUUCGUAGUGAAUCAACUAUAUUUAUAACUAAUCCAUACCUACUCUCGUGAUUAUGAAAUUAGUUACAAGUUCAUUUCUUCAAUGAAAUUACAUGAAAUGAAUCACUAAAACCACAUAGGUGCACCUCUACUCUCGUGACUGUACUCCCUAGGUUUACCACUUCUUGAACUAGUAUUAAAUCUCAAUUUUCAUUGAAGAAACAACACCUUUAGAUUAUCACAAUUAAUAGUACCAAAUUAAUCAUGAUUUAAAGAACUAAAGUGCUAAAUAACUUGUUCAAAAUAAUAGCAUCAAAUAGCCAAAUAAUAAAUACUAACAAUCAUAGAAAGUUUAACCAAAGCCAUGGUAUAAACUUUAGAAAGUCAUAACAAACAUAAAAUCCAAACUUGUAUAUUAACCAAACAAUAGAAUCAAGUACAAAAGAUAAAGAGUUUGGGAAGGAAUGUAACCCUUAUCACAUGUGUUCAUCUCCUUGCCUUCUUCAUCCUCCAACCUCUUCUUUAUCUAGCUAAUAAAUAAGAAGGAUGAACUAACUAGCUAAACUAUCCUAUACUAUACCAACCUAACACUAAGAAAAUGUAAGAACUACAUUUUUUGGUAGUAUUCUUGCACUCCCUAAGCUCUCCUUGAUCUUGAAAGUCCAUGGCUAUAUAUGGAGGACUCUAGUCAAAAAAUGAGGCUUCAAACAUCACUUUUACAGCUGCAAAGUUGUUGUCACAUGUCCAUCAAUAGCUGUGAAUUAUUGGAGGAGGAAACAAGCUGUGCAAGUGGAGAGCAACCAUUUCUGACCAGAAUCCGGCCACAAAUCCGGCCGGAUUGCUCCCCUGCCAUUCUUAGCAAUUUCUGUCCAGUGUUCAAUGUUGCUUCAAUUCUGCCUCAAUUUCAACUGAACUUUUCUUGAUGAUAGAAGCUGAAUUAACUCCUGAUCAAAACAUAGAACUUGUAGCCCUUUGAGUUACUUUCCAAUGCAUCAAGAAUCACCUCAUUUGGAUUUGUGUAGGCUGAGAAAUGACUGAAAUACCCUUGACUGCUCACUGCCUUGUCUCAGCUUCGACCAUAGAAAAUUAACUACUGUAAUUCGGCUUUUUGACCUAGAAAACGUUCAAACUGGAUUUCAAUGUCUACAAAAGAUUUGUAUAUCUAUCUCUUAUCUUCAAAAUGGUUUAAGAAUCAUCUCAAUCCGAUCAUUGUAACUCAAGUUAUAGGCUAAAUACCAAGAUGUAUCUAAGCUGUCAACUUGCUUUUCAUCCAAAUGAAGUAUAUUUCCAACUCCUAUACAAAUUAUGGAGAAAAUACAAGUAAAAAGUGACAAAAAUCUCAUUUAAUCACUUAAUAACAUUUUAUAUCAAUUAUAGACAAAAUGAUCCAUUUUCUUCCUAUAAUAUUGUCCAAAUGACUAAAAAUAGCAUAAAAUAUCAUUCAUAUAUAGCUCAAAUUAAUCACUUAUCAUUAGGUUUUGUUGAAUUAUUGCUUGAAUUUUGACUAUGAAAUAGUAGUGAAUGCAGAAACGUGGUGCUUGUAAAUUUUUUUUUUUUUUUUGUGGUAUGAUCCACCCAUACCCUAAAAAAUGAAGAAUACGCUGGCUACAAUUUUGAGGGAACUGAGAAGUGCCGAGAGGGAGAAUGUAGCACUGAACAUUGAAAUCAGUAAAUUGAAGGAAAAAGUGAAAAUAUUGCUCUUGGCUUGUACUUGUUGCUGCAUUUUAGUUAUUGCUAUACUCGGGGGCAGUCAAAGGCAAAAAGGUAGCUUGUUAAAAUUGAAGAUGUUGCAAUAGUUUGGACAUCAUAUGAAAGUUUAUUAUUCACAUAUUUUGGACCAUGUAAUGCUGCCCUCUUCGAAUGAAGUAAUUCCCGAGGUUUCAUGUAAUAGUUUUGGAUAUCGAUUAUUAUGGAUUUGUAAUAGUUUUGAGUUCCCAGUUGUAUGUUUACAAAUUCAAUGUUGAAUAUCAAAGACAACAGCUUCAUUAAGUGAGUUUUUGGUGAUGUAUAUACGUUAUUUGGUCAUUGUUGGUUAGAGUGGAAGAAUUGCUCAUCAGAUAUUAGAGGGGCAAGAAGAAGGCAGUCAACCCAACAUGUGUUGAUACCACAGCGCAAGGGAAAUGGUGCAAGUAAAAGAUUGACAGCUAGAAUUUCAUCCAAAAUUACAAAUACACUGUAUCAUGUAGCCACUACGUAAUAAUCCUCACUUUCUAUGCCUUUGACCUGUACCCUAAACCCAAAUCUCUUUUACUCAGAAGGAGUUUUGAUUACAUCCAACAUUUCUAUGUAACUUUUCCCCAAUGGAAAGGCUCCCUACAAAAAUCAUGUCAUGCAGUAUUUUGAAAGUACACCUCUAUAGAGUAAAAACAAAUCCUUGGUAAAAUCCCCUUACUUCUUUUUAAGCCAUCUUCACCAUGUCCAAUCGAGUCCUUGACUCUAGCCCAAGUUAAAUACGCAAACACAAAGCAGGAAUGUUCAAUUUAGAGCUCUCAACUAAAAGUUUCUGGUCAGCUGAUACCUUUGGGAUGGCUUUCAGUAAACGAACUUCGUUGUGUUGUAAAGCCACAAGAAUCUGUGCAGCAUCGAAAAAUCUGAGGUCAAUUUCCCCUAGCAACUAUAUGAUGCCAUCUCCAAGCAGCAUCCAUAACCUAGGAAAUCUAACAGAUCCAGAACUCAGUCACAACACAUAAAAAAAAUUUUAAAAUCCAAAAUUCAUUAGAUUCGAAGUCUUAGUAGCAAAAAACAAUAAGUUCCAGGAUUCAUUACAAAAACAAGUGAAUCCCAUGAUAUAAAGUUCCACAUACAUCAACUUGCAGUUGUUACUACCAAAAAAGACAAAAGACAAAAAACAACAAACUUGAUCAACUACAACUAUUUCAGCAACUCGACAGUUUUAGCAGCCCAAAAACAGUCAAAACAACUUCAUCAGCAACUUCAUCAUCCAGUUGCAUUCAUUUUCACUAAUCAUCUGGCUCGUCGAGUAUCCUAUGAGACUGCAAAUUCAUAUGUAGUGAGAACCUCCAAGAGUAAAUAACAAUUAAUAAUUUAUAUACAAUUUCGUGGCUGCAAAAAAGUUACCCUUUGUUUUCUCCUUUUCACAGUAACCAUCCUGUUUCUCCACACUUGUGCUUGGCAACAAGUGCAAGUUCUUUUUGUCUGGCCCGAGGCAUGACAAAAAAAACAACACAUGGUCCUACACAGCCUCUGAGAGCUUUCAGUUGGAGCAGUAGGUUGAACAUCAAUUUCUUCAAGCACUUGAUCAACUUGCAUUAUAAAAACAUGACAAAUUUCAGAUGUAUUCAACAAAAUGACCAAACAAACAAAAAAUAAGGAGCUGCAACAACUAUAAAAUAAAAAAGGAGCUGCAACACAGGUGGAAAAAUAAAGAGCUGCAACACCUUCCAAUAAUAAGGAGUCGCAACAACAGCCAACAACAAUAACAAUAGUACUAAAAAAACUUAAAAGCAAAGAAUACAUGUUGCCGAUUCUUGCAAUAUAGCAGAGUAUUGAAAUGUCUCAUUGUCACGUGGUAAGCUAGUAUUCCCAAUCACAGAAGGAGCUACAACAACAUUUGAGAUUAGUAGCUGCUAACUACAACAGUGCAAUAUGAAAGAAGAUAGGAGUUCAACCAUACCAGUUUCACCGUGAGUUCCGUCUUUUCCCUUGGCAUCCAAUGGAUAAGUUCUUGCAUUAUGUCCAAGUUUCUUGUAUUUUCCACACCUAUUACUAUUCACAGGUGGUAUUCUUUCAUUGCUAUCCACUCCUUCCAUGCUGAGGUGCCAUCUUCUUUUAGUGUGGCCCUUUUGAUGACAAAAAGAGCAAGUCAUACGUGUAAUACCGUUUCUAAACAGUCUUGUGCACCCUUUGGAAUCACUUCAUGGCGCAUCCGACUCUCUCCUCCUUGCCUUCUUAAGCCUACCGGGAAGUUUUAGUCUCUUAGAUUCAUACAUAGGGACCUUCUUAGAUCUUUUCCAGUUAUUAGGUCCAUUAAUUGGACCAAUAGCUAGCUCGUAAGCCUUUAGAUAUGCAUCCCUUGAGUAAUAUGGAUGCACUAGACUUUCAAGUUCAGCUCCGAUCAAAGCAAUGCAGCCUAUAGCAUGAGAGCACGGUAAACCAGUGAGUUCCCAUUUUCUACAUGUACAUAUCUUCGCCUUUAAGUCAACAACAAACUUGGUUCUGUACAUGUGUCACCUCAAACCUGUCAUUAUUAGACCACCUGGCUAUAUUUGAUCUAGCAUCAUCCUUUGCCUUGUCAAGUUUUUUUUUGAACUUUUGGACAAAUAAUAUCAUUUAUUUUUCUCAUCCACUCCUUUUUUGUCCUAAGUCUUUCCAUUAGGUAUAUCCUAAUGUUUUCAAGCAUACCAAGGAUGGGCUUUUCUCUUGCAUCUAAUAUGACAGAAUUAAAGCUCUCGCACAGAUUAUUAAGAAGAAUAUCACACUUCGCUGUGGUUAUAAAAUGUGAUCUGGACCAAUGGUAUGGUGAUGUGUUGUCCACUAGCCAAUUGUGUGCUUUCUCAUCAUACUGCCUUAACACAUCAAUUUCAGCUUCAAAUUUAUUGACAUACGAGAAUCUUGCACAAGCCCAAAACAUACACUUAAGUGUUUCCCCGGGAUGGACCUUUUUGAAAUUGUUGUGUAAAUGCCUAACACAGUGUCUAUGCUCCACUCCAGGAAGAAUAUCUUGGAUGGCAGAACCUAAACCCUAUUAGAUAAAAAUAUGAAAAAAUUCACUAAUUAGUCAUUAUAAAGUAGUUUUUGAACAAAAAAAUUUUGUAAUUAAUUACUAUACCUUUUGCCUAUCACUGAUAAAUGUCCAUUGUUUUUUAUGCUGGAUCGUGAGAUCAAACUUUAAGAACUCAAUGAGCCAUGUCAAAGAUCUCUUGUUCUCGGUCUCAACCACUACAUAUGCAACAGGAUAGUUGCAAUCAUUAGCAUCUAUCCCAACAGUUGUCAAAAGUACUCCCGGAUAUGGUCUUCUUAGGUGGCACCCAUCCACACCAAGUACAGGCCAACAACCUUCUUUAAAACCUUUUUUCAAGGCUGCAAAACAAAUGUAUAGUCUUUUGAAUCUCUCUUUUCCGCUAAAUUCAUCAGCUUCCGUCUCCAUAUGCACUGUGGAACCAGGAUUUGAGCUCAACAAUUCCUCACAAUAGUCCCAAAUUCUUGUGUAUUGCUGCUUAUAUUUUCCUUAGAUCAGAAUUUUGGCAUUCCCAAAGGUUUUAUAAGCCUGAUCUUCUGUGAUGUUCACGUUCAGUUCUUCAUGCACCUUGUCCUUAAAUGCACCAACCAUAACCUUCCUAUUCGUCCGCAGGAACUCCAUGUAAUGCCUAGCCAAAAAACCUGAAUUUGCAUGUUUGUGAUAGAAAGUUCUACCACAUUGAUGUUCUGGUCCCAUCGUUCUUAUCACAAAUGCAUCGCAAUCUAGUUCUUUUGCAGCAUAAACAAACCAGUUGCAUUUCUCUUUCUUGCAUUUUGCUCUGAUCCUAUUCUUAUCAUUAUUUUGCCAACCAUGCUUCUUGCCCCACUGCACAGAAUAAAAUUCAACAGCUCUUUUAAACACCUUCUUAGUGUCAAACAGUAAACCAACAAAUAAUUUGGGGUCCUUUAUAUCAAUUUCUAGCUUGAACCUUACAUAUUUCAGCUUCUUUCUUGAGGUAUUUUCAUCCAAGCUACUAGAGCAACUAUUAAAAUCCUCUGUGUUGAUGGAAUCAAAUUCCUCUUGGAUAGGAAUCUGGUCACCAUCAUAAAUAUCACAGUCAUGGUUAGUAGCAAGAGUUCCUUUUGCUUUUGCUUUUGCUUUUUGUGGUUGCUCUGAUCCUUUCUUCUCUUCACCAGCUAGUAUGGCAUUUUCCCCUCCAUAACUAGCAUCAUCUACACUCCUCUGACCAUCAAUUGCCAUAUCAACAGUAGUUGCACAAUUCUUGUAUAUUAUGUCAUCUUCGUCUUCCCUAAAAUCAUAGUCACUAUCAUGAAAGUUUUUACCACUAUCCGUUGACUCUAAUUCUGGUUCAUUUUCAUCAUCUACACCAUCAUCUUUUUCAUUCAUAGUAGCACCUCUCCGUUUACCCUUUUUUAUUUCCCCCCAAUCUACUUUAGUUACAUCAACUGCAAGUUCUUCAUUCCUAAGGAAUUCAUCAAAUGUGAUGUCCACAUACAGUAGAUCUUUUUUUUCAUUCUCACCGUCUCUCUCGAAAACUUACAUGAUCUUGCUAGGUUCCAUGGAUCUAAUAUGAAACUCAUGGACAAUGUAAAGUUCAACUUUCCCAAUUUGUUUACCUAUAGCAGCUAUGUCCAUGACAUCCUGUUCACUGUCUAUUUGUCUAAGUCUCAGUCUCCCAUCUAUGGUAGGGAUUCUAUAUUUGUAACUGGCGUUUUCAUCACACCCAAGUAAAUGACCAAAGCUUAACACAGAAGUUAUGUUAAUCUUGGAGGCUAAAACCCCAUCAAAAUUCUCCAUGGUACCCCCCACGUAUUUUGGUUCUGGUUCUUCAAUGUAUGCCCCACCAUAGUAGAUAUACAGAGUGAAAUAAAAAAAAUUACUACCAUAAUUUGUAAUUUACAGUCAUUGUCUGCCUUUUAAGAAACAUGAAAACAACAUGACAAAUUAGUUUUAUAGUCAUGGACCACAUGAACCCCUUUUCAGAAAAAAAAAGGAAAAACAGAAAACAAAGCCCUUUUUCCCACGACAUUUCAAUCAAUCUUGCUAUUAAAGUACAAUACUUGCUGUUCACAACAAGACAAACCCACACCGAACUUCAUCAAACUAUUAACAUAACAAAUCAAAGAGAUUUAAGUGGCUCAACUUACUCAAUUUGCUUGACCACUCUUUCUCAAAAUUUCUUCUUUCGCGCCUUUCGUCACUUGCUGCCUCCAUCCUUCGACUUCCUACGCCACUACAUUUCCUUAUUCAUCAUGAUUUCAGUAGAUUUUGUUCAACAUAUCAUUCACUAAAGCUUUGGGUUUUUGCAAGAAAAAGUUGAGGUUUCAGGUUUGGAUUUUUCUCAGUGAUAAAAAUGUGCCGAUAAAUUUUCAUUUUGGUUUUUACUUCUGAUCUUACAGCCCCAUCAGUGAAGUACCCGAAAUACCUCUGCUUAAGUGUUCAAUUAGAAGUUUGAUCGAAAUUACAAGGUGGCACUGCUGCGGCGUUCCUCAAUUGGAACCGAUAAAUAAGUAUAGGGAUUAAAUUGGCAAAAAAAAAUUAAGCAAGGAUCAAAUUGACAGUAAAAAAAGUUUAGGGACUAAAUUGGCCAUUUUUCCAAAUGGAGCCAUACUUUGUGCAAUAUUUGUGAAUUGUCGUUCCUAAACUAAUUUUCAUAAUAUUAAUAUUUUCAAUUGGAAUUUCAAACUUUGAGUAGUUUUGUAUUAUUGCGUAAAUUUAGCUUCCUUUAACUUUUCCUACAUCUCCACAUCGCCACCUUCCUGCUUCCUUCUUCCCUUGUCCUCACACUCUACCUCGCAACAGCCCCAUUCCAUGCUGAAUGCAAAUCGUCCUUUCUGUAGAUGCUUUUUGCAUCCUUUAUGUAGAUGCUGCAUCUAUGGAGCCAAAUUUUGUGCAUUAUUUUCAUAUUACCCUUUCUAAACUAAUUUUUGUAGUUUCAAUAUUUUUUUAGUUCAAAUAAAAAAAUUUAAGUAGUUGCAAAAUAUCCUUCUCCAUUUCUUUAGUCAUAACUAUGACAUAAUUUUGAUUUUGAUUGCUCAACAAAAGAAUAGGUAAAAAUAUUAUAUUUCUUUUUUAUACUCGAACAAAAUCUAACAAUUCUAGUAGCAGGGAUAACGUCCGAUUAUAUAUAAUUCAGGUCCAAUUUUAGAUCUAGGUCUGGGCCGAAAUUUAGAGCUAUUUUUUUUAUUUUCUGUGCAUGAUGAUUCUAAAAUUGAAGUAUCUGAUAAGUCUAUUUCAUUUUUUUUUAUUUUGGGUAUGAUUUGUAAAUUUUAGUUAGGAACGCAAUACAAAAAAUAUUGAAAUUUUUGUUGUUCUCUUUUUGUAUUCUUUUCAGUCAAUUUUGCUAAUUCGCUAAAUUGUUCAACUAUAUGAUUUGGAAUCUUGUUAUAUCUUUGGAGGAUAGGAACUUAGAUAAGUUCCCUUUUUUUGGGUAUGAUUUGUAAAUUUUAGUUAGGAAAAGAAUACAAAAAUGUUGAACAUUUUGUAAUUUUGUGUUGUGUUUGUUAGUCAAUUUUGCUAAUUUGCUAAGCUGUUCAACUUGUAUGAUUUGGAAUAUUGUUAUUUCUUUUGAGGACAAGAACUUAAAUUAUUAGUUUAUGUUAGUCAAAGAUUGUAUUUUAGUCAAUUUUUUAUAUUGAUUAUUAUGGAUAUAAUUAUUUUUAGUUUCAACUAUGUAUAGAUAUUUUUGGUAUAUUUAUUUAAUUGCAUUAUUAGAGGGUUGAAUAUUGUAGGGCAUGUUUGAAACUAAGUAAAAUAGGGAACAGAAUAAAACUAAGGUAUGCUACAAUACCUAAUCCGAACGUUAUGUUUGGUAUGAUUAAUUAAUUGCAUUUAUUAAGGGAGUGACUAUUAUAUGCCAUGUUUUGGGCUACGUUAAAAUUAAGGAAUUAAAAGCAACAAAGCAAUGCAUGACAUUAUGGUGAAUCCAAACAGAAGACGUGAGUCAAUUUUUGAAAAAAAAAUAAAUUAAAAUUCUAGAAAAAUAGGAUGAGUAGUUGAAGGCUCAAUAUGUUUUGAGCCUUCAAUAACGCAUGAUGCAGGGUGGAAUUUAAGAAGCAAAGAGAGAGAAGAGGGUUUUGAGCCUAAAAGAUCUCUAAUUAUUGAAUUCUUGACCUUAACCAUUAAACUUUUUUCUCCGUGUUGUAUCACAACGCGGUUGCAUUUGCACCUGGACUGCCACUCAAACUCACUUGUUGAUCAGGUCAGGGGAUUGGCUUUCAAUGUUGUGGCUAUGGACAGCAAGGAAUUUUUCUAUGUUUCAGCAGAGACAUAUCUCGACUACGGACAUAGUUUCUGCUGUCUUGGCUUCUGUAAAGGAAAUGACGGCAGGUUAGAGGAAGAUCCCUUUAACUAGAACCAACCGGGAAUUGGCUUUGGAGCUUGGCUUGCCUCUGCGUCUUAGCUCAUGAUGGUUAAUUCGUGUGCUUAAACAAUGAUUAGUUGGAUGUAACUGGAAUCUAUACAUUCCCAUGUACGAGCUUCACUUCUGGGAUCAGUAAGAACAUAUUUUGCUAUGAGAUUAUUUAUAUAUGUGAGUCACAUUUCACAUUGACGUCGAGGAAAAAAAAUUCUUUCUUGCUCAAGACCGCACGUAACAGCACCAUCACAGCUGUUGAAUGAAGGAUUGAGUGGGAAAAUCUUAACAACUUAAACAUGAUUAAAUAAGGGGUGAUUUGAACUCUACAUUUCUACCAGGAGUUAUAUAUUUUUAACAUAAUUAAAUGGUGUUGUAGUAUUUUAAUAAAAUAAUAAAUUCUCAAUUAAAUGUGCAUGUUACAAGCGAAAUAAAUUUUCUAAAAUUUAUAGGUAUUUGAAUGGUUUUUACUAAAUAUUUAUUGUAUGAAGUUAUGGCUUUUCAAUUACAUUGAAGUUUUGUAACUUACAAUUCAAAUUUUGAUUUGAAUGGGUAUUGUCCAAAGAAUCAUUAUGUGAAAUUAUGAUUUUUUAAUUACAAUAAGUUUUUGUAACCUACAACUUUGAAUGUGUUUUGAAUGGCCAAUAAUUUCAACAUUUACUUGGUGUCUUAUUAGUAACAUAAGUUAUAUGUGUCUAACUUUUCUUCACCUAUAUAUAUGCAUAGUUGAGAUAGAAAAGUUUCACUACAACAACAUAUGUCUUUUUAGUACAAAUUCACUAUUUUCUAUCUCAUAGUAAGGCAAGAAACAGAAGGUGUUUAUAGAGCUUUACUCUCCUAGUUGUGCAAUCUAGAGAGAGUGUUAGCAAGUGUGGUUAGGCUGUUGUAUCCUGGGGGUGACAAGCUAGAGAACCUGUUGCAUCGGAGUUAAUUCUUCCGCGGAGGCUUGAAUCACCUUAAAGAGAGCGAGAUACCCGUGCCUCAACCCUCCACACUUGAGUACUAAUAUAUUGUUAUUGUCUAAUCUUUUUUUUUGCAUAUCUGUUUUUAUUUUUUGUUCCAGAUGAACAACAAUUUUAAGGUGAUUCAAAUCAAAUGGAGACCAACCCGCAAGUUCAUAUCAAAGACUCAAGUGAUUUGAACAAGCCAUUUCAUUUUAAUGGAGUCCACUUCAAACGAUGGAAGGGAAAAGUUCUCUUCUAUCUUAGUUUGAUGAAAGUGGCUUACAUUCUAACGGAGAAAAAUCCCAAAAAAAUUUCAACAAUUGAGAUGAGUGAUGAGGACAAGAAAGUUCUUGAAGAAAAAAAUCAAGAAAUGGGAAAACAAUGAAUUUCAUUGCAAGAAUUACUUGUUAAAUUGUCUUUCUAAUGAAUUUUAUGAGAAUUCAUAUCCUACUGCUAAAAGGAUUUGGAAAGCUUUGUAGAAAAAAUAUGACACUGAAGAAGCAGACGCAAAGAAAUAUGCCGCAAGCCGCUACUUCAAAUUUCAAAUGGUGGAUGGAAAAUCUGUGGUGGCCCAAACUCAUGAACUUCAAAUAAUUGGACAUGAGUUAAGGUCCGAAGGAAUUCAGAUUGAUGAACAACUUCAAGUUGCUGCGAUAGUGGAUAAACUUCCACCAUCUUGGAAGGAAUUCCAAAAGAGCUUGCGACACAAGCAAAAGGAGUUUUCAUUAGAAAGUCUCAUCACUCGUCUAAGGAUUGAAGAAGAAGCAAUAAAUCAAGAUGCCAAAAGUGGACAAAAUGGUAAUAAUUGCUACCAAUGAAAAUGGUGCUAGCAAGGUAAAUUUCAUUACUUCCAAUGACAACAUGUCCAAUGAGAAGAAUGCAAAAAAUAAUGCCCUUCUGAAACCAAAGAAAAAGAAUACGAAACAUGGGCAUAAGCAUCAACACUCAAACCAGUAUAGAAAUAACUUCCAUCAGAAAGGCAAAAAUCAAAGGCCCCCUUUUAAAUCAGUCGCUUUUCCAAAUGAUGGUUGUUAUGUGUGUGGAAAGUAGGGACAUUUUGCUAAAACAUGCAAAUACUAGAAACGUGGGUCUGUACCACAGGCCAAUGUUACCGAAGAAUCUUAUGUGGCUAUGAUCACGGAAGUUAACAUGCUUGGGGGUUCUAAUGGUUGGUGGAUAGACACGGGUGCUUCAAAAUAUUUAUGCUUUGAUCGCACUUGCUUCAAAAGCUACACACCCGUCGAGAAAGAUAAGCAAGUCAUGUUUGGUGACUCUCAUACUAUCAAAGUUUUGGGUUCUGGUGAGGUUGAACUAAACUUUACUUCUAGUCGAACACUUCUUCUUAAAGAUGUGCUUCAUACGCUUCUUAAAGGAAUCUCCUAAUUUCCUUACGAGCUAAAAGGAGCUCUUGUUGUCCUUUAGUGAAGGGACUAUCGGGUAACUCCUUUUGAGUUUUGGAAACAUUAUAAACCUAAUUUAAAUUAUUUAAAAGUUUGGGUUGCUUGGCUUAUGUAUGAUUAAAUGAUCCUAAAAGACUAAAGUUGGGUGCUAGAGCUUCUACAUGUGUUUUUGUUGGUUAUUCUUUAACAAGUAAAGCCUAUAGAUUUUUAGAUUUGGAAAAUAAUGUGGUGAUUGAAUCUUUAGAUGCUAUUUUUCAUGAAGACAAAUUUUCCUACGUGUCUAGAAAUAGUGGGGGUGAAGAAAUUACUAAAGAUAAUGCAUUUGCAUCAACAUCUUCUUUGGAAGACCAACAUAUGAGUGAUAUUGAACCUAGAAGAAGUAAAAGAGUUAGAAAAGAAAAAGAUUAUGGUCCAGAUUAUUAUGUUUAUAAUUUGGAAGAAAUUCCUAAUACUAUAGAAGAGGCUUUAUCAUCACCUGAUUCAAUUUUUUGGCAAGAAGCUAUUAAUGAUGAAAUGGAUUCUUUAAUUUCUAAUAAGACUUGGAAACUAGUUGACUUGCCACCUAGUUGUAAAACUAUUGGCAGCAAAUGGGUCCUUAGGAAAAAAUAUAAACCAGAUGGAACAAUAGAAAAAUAUAAAGCAAGAUUAGUUCCUAAAGGUUUCAAGCAAAAAGAAGAUAUUGAUUUCUUUGAUACUUUCUCAUCAGUUUCAAGUAUAGUAUCAAUUAGAUUUUUAAUUUCCAUUGCUUCUAUUCAUAAUUUAGCUAUUCACUAAAUGGAUGUAAAAACGGCUUUUUUGAAUGGUGAUUUAGAUGAAGAAAUAUAUAUGGAUCAACCAGAAGGAUUUAUUGUAUCUGGCCAAGAAAAUAAAGUGUGUAAAUUAAAUAAAUCCUUAUAUGGUCUUAGACAAGCUCCUAAACAAUGGCAUGAAAAAUUUGAUACUUGCUUGCUUGAAAAUGGUUUCAAAUGUAGUGAAUGUGAUAAAUGUUUAUAUUUUAAAAAUAUUGAUGAUCGACAUGUGAUUAUUUGCUUAUAUGUGGAUGAUUUAUUGAUAUUUGGUUCCAAUUUAGGUGUAGUUGAGAAAAUAAAAACGUUGCUAAAAAGCUAUUUUGAUAUGAAAGACUUGGGUGCAGCUAAUGUUAUACUUGGAAUGAAAAUUUCUAGAUUGAAUGACGGUAUUUCUUUAGAUCAAACACAUUAUAUUGAAAAAUUACUAAAGAAAUAUAAUUAUGGUGAUACUAAAUAUGUUACUACACCGUUUGAUCCUAGUGUCCACUUAUUUCCAACUGAAAAUGGAAAUGACGUGUGCAAUCAAAAAGAAUAUGCUAGUAUAAUUGGAAGUUUACGUUAUGUAGCCGAUUGCACAUGGCCUGAUAUUGCAUAUGUUGUAGGAGUACUUAGUAGAUUUACUAACAAACCAAAUAUCACUCAUUGGCAUGCAAUUGACCAUCUAAUGAAAUAUUUAGCUAAGACUAAAUCUUAUGGUUUAUUUUAUCAAAUUACCCUACUAUUGUUGAAGGGUUUUGUGAUGCAGACUGGAAUACAUUGUCUGGAGAUUCAUUAUCCACUACUGGACAUAUUUUUACUUUAGCUGGUGGUGCUAUAUCUUGGAAAUCAAAGAAGCAACAAAUUAUAGUAAAAUCUACAAUGGAAGCUGAAUUAAUUGCAUUAGUUUCAGCUUGUGAAGAAGCAAGUUGGCUAUGGGAUCUUACACAUGAGAUUCUAUUGUGGGAAAAACCAGUGCCACCAAUAUUAAUACAUUGUGACAGCACUGCAGCUAUUGGCAGGGUAAAUAAUCGAUACUACAAUGGAAAAUCAAGAGCAAUAAGAAGAAAGCACAGUAUUGUGCGAGCAUAUAUUGGAAAUGGUACCAUCAAUGUGAAUUAUACAAGGUCAAGGGAUAAUAUAGCUGAUCCCUUGACAAAACCUCUAGCUAGAGAAAAAGUUUGGGAUACCUUGAGAGGGAUGAGAUUAAAGUUCAUAAUUACAUAAAUCACAUGUAAGGAUACCCAACCUAAUGAUUGGAGAUCCCAAUAAUUAGGUUCAAAGGGAAAAACGAAUUACAUAGUGGUUUGAAUAAAAAUGUGCACAACCUUAUUAAUAUUCUAUCUCUAUGGUGUAUGUGCAUAUAUCCUGUAAUGUAAGUAAGGUUCAGUUUCUUUACUAUAGCUCUUAUGAGUGAAGUGUUUGAAUUACCGGAGCACUCUUGAUAGAUUUCACCUAUAUGAGUGUUAUGGGUGGGGCUGCCCUAAAGAGAAUUAGACUUAUUCUCUAAUACACUCAUGAAACUGGGAUUGAGCACAUGGCCGAAAAGUGCCAGUUUUGAGAGCUCAUGAGAACACCUAGACUAUUAUAUGUGUAAGGUAAUAUCUAAUAUCCCAUAAGCAGCCAUAGUUCAAGACUGUAGUUCACUACUGGCUAUGGUAUUAGAAAUUACUGCAACACUAAAUAUAGGUUCAGGGCAUUACUACCUAUAUUAAGUAUGAUAGUCUUUUCUUGCCAUUUAAAUUUUAUACUAUUUUAUUAAAAUAAGUGGGGGAUUGUUGUAGUAUUUUAAUAAAAUAAUAAAUUUUCAAUUAAAUGUGCAUGUUACAAGGGAAAUAAAUUUUCUAAAAUUUAUAGGUGUUUGAAUGGUUUUUACUAAAUAUUUAUUGUAUAAAGUUAUGGCUUUUCAAUUACAUUGAAGUUUUGUAACUUACAAUUCAAAUUUGGAUUUGAAUGGGUAUUGUCCAAAGAAUCAUUAUGUGAAAUUAUGAUUUUUUAAUUACAAUAAGUUUUUGUAACCUACAACUUUGAAUGUGUUUUGAAUGGUCAAUAAUUUCAACAUUUACUUGGUGUCUUAUUAGUAACAUAAGUUAUAUUUGUCUAACUUUUCUUCACCUAUAUAUAUGCAUAGUUGAGAUAGAAAAGUUUCACUACAACAACUUAUGUUUUUUUAGUACAAAUUCACUAUUUUCUAUCUCAUAGUAAGGCAAGAAAUAAAAGGUGUUUAUAGAGCUUUACUCUCCUGGUUGUGCAAUCUAGCGAGAGUGUCAGCAAGUGUGGUUGGACUAUUGUAUCCUGGGGGUGACAAGCUAGAGAACUUGUUGCACCGGAGUUAAUUCUUCCGCAGAGGCUUGAAUCACCUUAAAGAGAGCGAGAUACCCGUGCCUCAACCCUCCACACUUGAGUACUAAUAUAUUGUUAUUAUCUAAUCUUUUUUUUUUUUUUUGCAUAUCUAUUUUUUUUUUGUUCCAGGUGAACAACAAAUGGGAUCAUUCCAACUGACAUAUUUUGCAGUUACUUUUGAGGUGGAAGUAUUGAACUUUGCAUUUCUACUAUUAUUGAUACAUCCAACUAGCAAGGGCUUGUUCUGCAAGUUACCUGAUUUUUAAAGUUACAGAGUGAUGGUAAAAAGUGGACAAUAGUAUAGUUGCCCCAACCAUUAUUGCACAUUGAAAGGCGCUUAUUUCACUUUAUUGUACCAUAGUUGAAGGAUUUCGUAGACUAUUUGAACACGCUUUUCACUUCAAGAAUGUUCAUAGAAAUUUUACAAUUCAAACAAAACUCCUAGUUUGCUCUCUGAUUGAUCCAGGGUUCAAACUUUGCCUUCCAUUAAUUAUCAUUUGAUAUUCAAUUUCUUCUAAAAUUUAGUUGAUGUUUAGAACAUCCGUCUAAUUUAAUAGUGAUUCAGUUCUCGUUGGUUUCAAAUGUUCAUUUUUACCUAUUCCCCUUCCCCCAUAGCUGCCAUGUAAUGUCCAAAAAAAUUCAAAAAAAAAAAGAAUCUUUCUUCAUCCAGUUGCGAAUGAGGUUAGGCGAGUACAACGGUAGUCUCCUGCAAAAUUAAAAACACAAAAAUAAUACGAUUGACCUUUUUGAGCACGGAAAUGAGAAAUCAUGCCAUUCACGUUUUCUUGUACGCAUGUUUGGAUUUUCUAGAUGCUGAACAUCCACUUGAGAUAAACUCAUCUAUAAAAUGGUCAGUCAUUAUGCAAGUGAACUCACCAAAGCAAAGCUGCAAAAAUCACUGAAAAGAAAGAAAAAAAAAUUGGUUGCCUCUUUGCAACCACAGUUCUCAGCAAUAACAUUCCUGUUGAUUGCUUCUCUGAUUGGGUCCUCCGAAACUGCUGGAAUUGUUUGAUACUGGGGCCGAGGCCAUUCAGAACCAUCAAGUUUGGCUGAGUUCUACAGGCAAGAAUUCACUACCGACGUCAAUAUUGUCUGUCUGGAAGAUUUUGGCAGUGGCCAUAUGCCUCAAUUGCACAUAAUUCAUCCUUGGCCGAGCGCAGCAGACAUAGAAUCUUGCCAGAAAAAUCAGACCAAAGUGUUUAUUACUCUCGCAGGACAACCGAUGCUUUCUUCCGUCGAAAAUGCAAAAGAAGUGGUAGCCUAUAUCUAGAACACUUACUUAGGCGGUGAUUCAAGCGACCGUCCAUUCGGCAAAGCUGUUGUAGAUGGCGUAGAGCUUCACAUCCAUAGCGGAAACACGACUUACUUGGAUGAUCUUGCCCGGGCACUUAAGGGAUACCCAAAUGUGAUCUUAGCUGUAGCAGCGGAAUGUCCUAUUCCUGACCCUACUCUUGAGGCAACUAUCAAAACUGGACUCGUCGAUCUUAAUGCAACUAUUAGCUGUGCGGGUGGAAUUUUUCGACAACCCAUGAUAGAGUCAUUAUUGGGCACAUUUUGUACUGUUAUUUUGUCCUAAUUUUAGCUACUUACUGUGGUAAAUAUUGAGAUUUUGGUCAUAUUUCAUAUUUUGUAUAAAUUAUAGGUGGUUGGUAUUAAAAGUGAUAUCGUGAGGCAAAUUUUCAGAAGACUCUUUAUUUCAUGGCGUGCCCACGCCAGAAACUGAAGAGAUACACCUCAAAGAUGGACCCUGCGGGAUUGGUAAAAGGAGUGGGCAAUUAGGAAAUCAGAUUCACGUGGGCUGCGGAGUUGCAAAGGAUUAAAACUCCUAGAGAAAGUUUUGCCCUUGGACAUUUUUCCUUCUGCUGGCGGCGCUACUUGGAAGAUACAAAAAGAGGAAAGCCAGAUUCACGUGAUAAGAAGAGAUUAGCUUUUGCUUUUGUUCUGGAGGCGUUUUCUUUCUUUUCGGCGGCCAAUAGAAACAAAGCCAGAAUCACGUGUGAUAUAUAGCUUAGCUUUUAGUUUUCCUUGUCAGACGAUUUUAUCUCGGCUUUCUUUUAGACUUUGUACAAUUUUGGCUAGACUUUUUCUUUUCCCUUCGUGGCUCCAGUACGAACACGAAACCCACAAAGAAAAGCAGGACUUUUUGUCUGUUCUGUUGUUAAUUCAUCUUUCCCAAUUCUUUGGCAAUUGUGUGGAUGGAAUUAAUUAAACCACGCGAGAUCAUUAUGAUGAGGAGCAGCUAGAUUUGUCCUCUACACAAGGGUUAACGCGAAGGCGCGGUCCAUAACAUUUGUGAGAUCUAAUCGAACUUUCACUAUUUCUUCCAAUUUGUUACUAUUCAUGCGUUUCCUGUAUUAAUUGUUCAUAAUUUUUUUAUUAAUUGAGUAUCAAUGGCCGAAUAUUUAAUUUAAUUUAAUAGCCUAUUGUCACGUUAGCUAAAUUGAAUCCGUAAUUAUUCGUUUAGUUGACAACUAAUGACAACCAUCAUAAUUGACUUUGUAUUGGGGAAACGUAAGAUCUAGUUUAAAUAAACCCCCUUAGCGUGUUUAUUGGUUAGGGUUGGGUUCUUCUAGUUUUAAUACAACUGGAUAAUUAAAUUCCUCUGAUCGUACCUAGAAUUAUUUUCUGGUCAGAGAAGCAGUCAAAGGUCGUACCUUGGCUGUCGAAAAAGUAAGCAAGAAUUGGCUGUCAGAACUUGUUGGUGGCUAUAACCAACCUAGUGACGAAUGAAUGAAACAUCUUUGCAUCGAUAAUCAGUUAAUUGGACCAUGCCUGAAGAGUUGAUGCUUUUGGUAGAAUUUUAUUAAUUGCUAUUUUUAGUAAAUUGCACUUGUUGAGUUAGCUUUUGAAUUUUGUUUAUUUUAUUUUCAUCUUUAUUCCCUUAAAUAUCCCCCAAUUUUGUUCUAUUGACUUGGAAAGAAACAACCUCCUAUCCGUUCCCUGUAGAAUUGACUCUACUUGCCAUUGUAUGCAAAUUUAAUACUUUUAUAGACAAUUCUGGUAUAUCGGAUCAAGAAAACUCUUCGAGAACAGGGUAAAUCAAGUAACCCAUUGCACAUCUAGGGUCCCUGCUCCACUACUUGGAUUUGUUCUAUAAUUAAUUGUGGUGGUAAUUAGGACUUUUUAGUAUUAUUAUUGCACAUACUCGACACCUGUCAAUUUUUGGUGCCGUUGCCUGGGAACGGUGUUUUGGUUAAUUUUAAUUUUUUCUAAGUUGUUCUCUUUGGAUUUUUCUGGCAUUUUUCUAGUUUAUGCCUCGUUCUCUCGUAUAAGCGAAUUGAUUUUCAACCCGGAAGUAGAGAAGACUGCGCGCCAAAUUAGGAAAGAGACUAGACAACUCAGAGAGGAGCAAUCUAGCACUGCAUCUCAGAGACUGGAUCCUGAGGUUGAAUCAACAGAUUCGAGUGGUGAUAAUUCAAGUGACCCAAGUCAAAAGGACAUCCCUAUGGCGAAUGCAAGAACACUAAGGGAGUUAGCUGCUCCGGAAUUGCCCCAACAGCCGUUGUGCAUCACAUUUCCAACUCUAGCUGAGAAUACCUCCUUCGAACUGAAGUCGAGAUUAAUUCACCUCUUACCCACAUUCCAUGGCCUCUCGGGUGAGGAACGCCAUAAAUACAUCCAGGAGUUUGAUGUGGUAUGCUCCAGUAUGAAGCCUUCAGGAAUUACUGAGGAGCAGAUCAAACUUAGAGCCUUCCCUUUCUCCCUCAAGGAUACAGCAAAGGAUUGGUUGUACUACCUACCUGUAGAUAGUAUCACAACAUGGGCCCCACUGAAAAAGAAAUUUUUGAAAAAAUUCUUCCCUAUAUCCCGCGCUGCAAGUCUAAGAAAAGAGAUAUGCAGCAUUAAGCAGUAUCUUGAAGAAUCCCUAUAUGACUAUUGGGAAAGGUUCAAUAAGUUGUGCACUAGAUGCCCACAAUAUCAAAUUAGCGAGCAACUAUUGAUCCAAUACUUCUAUGAGUGACUUUAGUCAUCUGACAGAAGUAUCAUUAAUGCUGCGAGUGGGAGAGCACUGGCAAAUAAGACGCCGAGAGAAGCAUGGCUGCUCAUUGAAGUUAUGGCAGAAAAUUCUCAACAGUUUGGCUUUCACGAGAGUAACCCUAUCCGUAGGGUCAAUGAAGUAGAGACGUCGUCCAUUCAACAGCAGAUAUCAGAGUUAACAUCUUUUGUGCGCAAAUUAGCUAUGGGGAACGUACAUCAAACAAAGGUUUGUGAAAUUUGCACAAACGUGGGCCAUCCCACUGACUCAUGCCCUAUUUUACAAGAGGAUGGGGUUGAAUAAGUAAAUAUGACUGGAGGCGUACCCACACCUCGUAAGCAGUACGAUCCAUACUCUAAUACGUGCAAUCCGGGGUGGAGAGAUCACCCCAACUUCAGUUAUAGGAAUAGGCCAUAGAAUUUAUUCUCAAAUCGCCCACCAGGAUUUCAGCAACCAUGGCAACAAAAGUCUCAACUUUUGUCCUCUAAUUCAGGAAGCUCUCUGAAAGAUAUUGUCAAGAGUCUGGCCACGAGCACCACUCAGCUCCAGCAAGAAACGAGGCCAUUGGUCACGAGCACUGCUCAAUUCCAAUAGGACACUAGAUCGGGUAUGAAAAAUCUGGAGACUCAAAUGAGUCACAUGGCGACUGCGAUUAAUCGCUUAGAGUCCCAGGUUUUUGAAAAAUUGCCAUCGCAACUCGAGGCAAACCCUAAGAAUGUAAGUGCCAUGACAUUGAGGAAUGAUAAAGAAGUAGAAAGGCCUAAGGCCACGAACCUAAAGAGCAAAAGUGAAGAAGAGAUCGAGAAGGAGAUGGAAGAAGAAGGACGCAUCCGUGGAGACCCUGAGGUAACUCUUACUCCAUCGGUACCCAUUAAAUCUAAUUUACCUCUUUUUCCAUGCAGGUUGGAGAAGACGAAGAAAGCGAAGAAAGAGAAAGAGAUCCUGGACGUAUUUCGCAGAGUAGAGAUCAACAUCCCCUUGUUAGAUGCAAUUAAGCAAGUAUCGAAGUACGCAAAAUUUUUCAAGAAUUUAUGCACCCAUAAGAGGAAGUUGAGAAGCGACGAAAGAGUAGUUGUGGGAGAAAACGUAUCGGCCAUACUCCAAAGAAAGCUCCAACCCAAGUGUGGGGAUCCACGUGUGUUCACGAUCUCUUGUAAAAUAGGAAAUACAUCGAUUAGAAAAGCUAUAUUAGAUUUAGGGGCGUCAAUCAAUGUGAUGCUAAAAACCAUUUAUGUGUCCCUAAAUCUCGGGCCAUUAAAAGAAACGGCCAUCAUAAUCCAACUAACUGACUGCACCAAUGUUUAUCCAGAGGGGCUAGUUGAGGAUGUCUUGGUUCAGGUAAAUGAGUUAGUUUUUCCAGCAGAUUUUUAUAUCUUAGAUAUGGGGGAUGAGAAAUCGAUAAAUCUGUCACUUAUUUUGUUAGGUAGACCGUUUCUUAGCACUGUUAGAAUUAAAAUAGAUUGUAAUGAGGGUACUUUAUCAAUGGAGUUUGAUGGUGAAACUGUAAAUUUAAUAUUUUUGAGGCGAUGAAGUAUCCAGAGAAAUCUAACUCAGUCUUUGUUUUGAAUGUCAUUGAGCCCCUUGUACAGGAAACUUUCGAAUUGGAUGGUGAAAAUACAUUGGAAGUGGCCUUGAUCAAACAUCUUGGGUUGGGUGUAACCCUUAAUAUGGAUAUGAGAGAUGAGUUGCACCACGCAUUUGAAGCAUUACAUUUACUUCCAACCAUUCAUCCAAGGUAUGAACUUACUUCUCUUUUUGUGCCAGAAUCUCAUACAAAAUUGUUGCUGUCAGUUGUGCAGACACCGGAACUAGAACUUAAAUCUCUCCCGAAACAUCUAAAGUACGCAUUCCUGAGAAAUCGAGAGACACUUUCGGUAAUCAUGUCUGCACACUUAUCUCCGAGCCAAGAGGACAAACUGGUGCGCAUCCUUAGGGAUCAUAAGGAGGCGAUUGGUUGGAGUAUAACAUAUAUCAAAAGGAUAAGUUCGUCCUUAUGCAUGCAUCGGAUAAGGCUCGAAGAUGAUGCGAAAUCGGUAAGACAGACACAGCGGAGGUUGAACCCCAAAUGAUGGAAGUUGUGAAAAAGGAGAUACUUAAACUCCUAGAGGUGGGGAUUAUCUUUACUAUCUCGAACAUUCCUUGGGUGAGCCCCGUUCAAGUGGUCCCGAAGAAGGCGGGAGUGACUGUAGAGGAGAACAAGGAAGGUGAGAUGGUCCCAGUCAGGAAAGCUAUAGGCUGCCGCCAAUGCAUUGACUACCGAAGACUAAAUUUUGUGGCAAAAAAAGACCAUUUCCUCUCCCUUUUAUUGAUCAGAUGAUAGAAAGGUUAGCUGGUCGUGUUUACUAUUGCUUUUUGGAUGAUUUUUUAGGGUACUUUCAGAUCGCGAUAGCGCCGGAGGACCAGGAAAAGACUAUAUUCACCUGCCCAUUUGGUACAUUCGUUUACCAUCGGAUGCUUUUUGGUCUCUGCAAUGCUCCAACAACUUUCCAAAGGUGUAUGGUAAGUAUUUUUUCUGAAUAUGUAGAAAAGAUUAUUGAGAUGUUCAUGAAUGAUUUUAGUGUAUACGAGAACAACUUUGAUGAAUGUCUUGAUAAUCUAGCUCUAAUUUUGAAAAAAUGCAUAGAAACAAACUUGGUUCUUAACUAGAAAAAAUGUCAUUUUAUGGUACAGCAUGGUAUUGUCUUAGGGCACGUUGUGUCGGUUAAGGGAAUAGAGGUAGAUAAAACUAAAAUAGAUCUUAUUUCUGCUCUAUCUUAUCCGGUAUGUGUACGAAAAGUACAUUCCUUUUUGGGUCAUACAAGAUUUUACAGGAAGUUCAUCAAGAAUUUCUCAAAGAUAGGAGUACCCCUGUUCAAGUUGCUGUAAAAGGACGUGGCAUUUGAUUUCACCGGUGAAUGCAAGGUGGUUUUUAAUAAAUUAAAGAAGUCAUUGACGUCGCCGCCCGUCAUUCAACCCCUAGAUUGGAGCCUGCCGUUUGAAAUCAUGUGCGACGCGAGUGAUUAUGCCAUAGGAGUCGUGUUGGGGCAAAGGAUAGGCAAGGCGGCGCACACGAUCUACUAUGCGUUGAGAGCAUUGAGUGGAGCCCAACUUAACUGCUCCACGAUGGAGAAAGAAUUACUAGCCGUUGUUUUUGCACUAGAAAAAUUUAGGUCAUAUUUAUUGGGUGAAAAAGUAAUUGUUUUCUCUGAUCAUGCAGUCUUGAGGUACCUGCUGGCGAAAAAGGAUGCAAAAUCGAGACUCAUAAGGUGGAUCUUACUCCUGCAGGAGUUCGACUUAGAAAUUAAAGAUCAGAGCGAGGCCGAGAACUUAGUAGCUGAUCAUUUGAGCCGACUGCUUACGAAUAAGGAGGAUCCGCCGUUGAGAGAAUCGUUUCCCGAGGAGCAAUUACUAGCCAUUGAUUCGUCAGUACCUUGGUAUGCGGAUAUUGUCAAUUUUUGGAUAACGAAUCAGUUAUUUGCAGGUUGGCCAAAAGUUAAGAGAGAUAAAUUGAAAAGUGAAGCCAAACACUAUAUUUGGGACGACCCUUACCUGUGGAGGCAAUGCUCGGAUCAAGUGCUAAGAAGGUGUGUGAGUGCAGGUGAGUUUCACUCUAUUCUAACUUUUUGUCAUUCAUUUGCAUGUGGAGGACACUUUGGGCCAAAGCGAACAGCUCGUAAGGUGUUGGAAAGUGGUUUCUAUUGGCCCACUCUGUUUAAGGAUGCAUAUUCAUUUUGUAAAUCUUGUGAUAAGUGUCAAAGGGUGGGGAAUAUUUCUCGUAAAGACCAAAUGAGUCAAACCCCCAUGUUUUUUAUUGAAAUUUUCGAUGUUUGGGGUAUAAAUUUCAUGGGUCCCUUUCCCUCGUCUUUUGGUUUCUUGUACAUUUUGCUUGCUGUCGAUUAUGUUUCCAAAUGGGUGGAGGCAAAGGCCACCCGGACUAACGAUUCGAGAGUGAUUGCAGAAUUUAUAAAAUCUAACAUUUUUGUCCGCUUUGAAAUGCCGAGAGCUAUAGUGAGUGACAGGGGCACUAAUUUUUGCAAUAAAAUGAUCGCUGCCUUGUUCCGUAAGUAUGGCGUGCUCCACAAAGUGUCCACAUCCUAUUAUCUGCAGAUGAACGGUCAGGCCGAAGUAUCGAAUAGAGAGGUUAAGUCAAUCUUAGAAAAGAUGGUGCGGCCAGAUAGAAAAGAUUGGAGUUUGAAGUUGGAAGAUACUCUAUGGGCUUACCGCACCGCAUAUAAGACGAUGAUUGGAAUGUCCCCGUACAAAUUAGUUUUUGAAAAACCGUGUCACCUCCCAAUAGAAUUGGAACACAAGGCUUUCUGGGCAAUUAAGCGGUGUAACAUGGAUCUUGUGGAGGCCGGGGGACGUAGAAAACUCCAAUUACAAGAGUUGGAGGAGCUAAGAAAUGAAGCCUAUGAAAACGCCACAAUUUAUAAGGAGAGGAGCAAAGUCUUUCACGAACAACAUGUCUCAAGAAAGUCAUUUGCCGUAGGGCAAAAAGUCCUACUUUAUCACUCGAGAGUUAAGCUUUUUUCGGGUAAGUUGUGUUCGCGUUGGAUUGGUCUGUUUGUCAUUUCUAAUAUUUUUCAUUAUAGUGCAAUGGAAAUUCAAAGUUUGAAGACAGAGAAGAAGUUUGUGGUGAAUAGUCACCGUCUAAAGCACUAUUAUGAGGGGUUAAAUAGUGAGCAAGUGGAGGUCAUAUGUCUUGAUGAUCCAAAUUGUGUGGCUUAAACAACCAUUACUGUGUUUAGCUAAAAACAUUAAAGAAAGGUGCUACUUGGGAGGCAACCCAAAGACUGCAGUAUUAGUUAUUGCCAAUUUUCGUUACUUUGCAAUUUUGCUGGUCUAUUCUUCUAUUAUAAGUGUUUUUGUGGUGAUUAACAGAAGACUGAGAUUUUCAAGGCGUGCCCACGCCUUACAAGGGUACGCCAGGAGCACUGUGCAAAGUGGAGACUAUCGGUUCCAAGACCUUGAAGGGAACUCUUUUGGACAUUUUUAUGCGAUGGUCAGAAGACCAUAUCCUCCAAGGCGUGCCCAGGACUUCCAACCCUUCAAAACGAAAGUCAAAGGAAAAAAUUUUUUGACCGAGACCUUCUCUAGCCCCAUUUUUUUUUACUUUUUCUUUUUCUUGUCUUGUCUUGUCUGAUCUUGUCUAAUCCCUUUCCAAUUUGUUUUGUCCUAGUUUCAGUCUUCUUCUUCCUGUUCUUGUUGGUCCGCCGCCAUCGCCCUUCGUUCGCCGUCGCCACCUCCCUCCCAACCGCGGUUGAACGCCGCCCUUGCCCACUAGAUUCACCACGCACGAGCACGCAGCGAGUCCACUAACGCUGCCCAGGGCGGAUCUCCCCCAACGAGUGCCCGCGAGCUCCCUCGCUCGCACCCGGCAGCCUCACCGCUCCAUCGGCACAGCACGAGGCCAUCUCCUGGGCGCGAAGUACGUGUGCGCGCGAGCGUCAACCCAGCAGCACGCGCAAUCGGGCUCGAGCAGCAACAAGCGCGCGACUGUACGCAUGCCUUCACCAGUGCACCUGCCAGGACCGCCCAGAUCAAGGGCGCACUUGCGCACUACAGCCAGCUUGCGCUUCACAGUGCUCCACCCACCAGAUUAGGCGCGACCAGCGCGCCUCUGCACGCUCGCCCUUUUCAUAGCGCAAGCCCAGCCCAGCCCAGCGCGCUUGCCAGCGUCCCAGCCAGCACGCGGCCUUCGCGCAAGCACUUCCCUACCGCAGUCGCGCGCUUAGCAUGCCUAGCAGCACUCACGUGCGCCGCGGGCCAGUCAACCGCACACCUUGCCCAGCAAGCGCGCACCUCCCUCGUGCGCCUCUCUCGUCGUGCGUCACCACCACGGUCUCCUCCAGCGUGGCAUAGUGGUAUCUCUAUUUUACUAUAUUUUUGUCACUAGUCGUUAAAUUUGGAAUCUGUGCUAUAUUUGACUCGAAUUUGGACUUGAAAUAUCCGUGGGCUCUGGUGGAUCUGAUAUUUGGUACACGUGGUCAGUGACUCACCGAUUGUUAACUAUUAUUGACUGAUAUUUUAAUUUGUGGGGUGUUGGAUCUGUUUUCUUUAUUGUUGCCUGCCAAGUGACGCCAGUGGGGCAUUUUUGUGUUUGUUGCCUUGUCGUUAUUCUGGUGGGGUAAUUGUGUUUCUCUCUGCUGCUGGGUUGUUGAUUGUUGAGUAUUAUCUGUUGACUGUGGUCCCCUGUCCCCCUUUGGUGGUUGCCUAGCUGUUUCUGUGCUUAUUUAUAUUCAUUUCUGUGGUCUCUGAAUGCCUCCCGAAAAAGGCAACAACUUCUGGGCCAUCUGGGUCCCAGCCUCGUAAGAGACGAGCCCCAAUUCAACCCCCCACUCGGUCCCGUUUAGGUCUCUCUAAGAGUACUAUAGCUCCUAGCAGUUGGGGGGAACCUAUCACUGACCUUACAUAGGAACAAAAGGACCGUUUGACUGGCUUAUUGUCGCGUCCUUUUGCUCCGUGUAAGUGUUUCCAUGCCCCAACCCUCGAUCAUUUGCAAAUUGCACGAGAGGUUGAACAGUUGUUCACUGCAAUUGGUUGGGAGCGGUACUUGGUCCUUGACUAUCCUACAUUUGAGGAGCUGUGUUAUGAAUUCUACUCUACUUUUGAUUUCACUAAAAAUGAAUUCAUCACUUUGGAUGAGCAGAGGGUGAUUAAAUUUAAAUUAAGAGGUACCCCACAGGAUAUGUCCAUUAAUGACUUUAAUCUACUUUUGGGGUUUGUCAGUGAGGAUACCAUUUCCUCCGGGAUGUAUAGAAACAGUGCGUGUGAUUACACUAGAUCUUUUUCUAGUGAUUACAUUGACAUAUGGAGAGAGUGGUCUACGGACCCUCAACUUUAUGAUUUGAGCCAGUCCAAGGCCUCUUAUCUUAAGGAUCCGGUCUUGAAGGUCAUCCACAGGUUCUUAGCCUACAAUUUCUCAGGCCGGAAGGACGCCUCGGGCAACCUUGCCAAGGCCGAAUUUUAUUUUCUUUGGUGCAUGCGCAAUAAGAUACAGGUCAACUUUAGGUGUUGGGCAGCCACACAGAUGUAAUCAGUCAUUCAAAAGCGGCAUAAGCCGGUGAUUAUGGGCUCGCUUAUUACUCACAUGACCGUUCGGUUAGGAUUGCUUGACCUCGACAAAGAACACAAGUUCACUCUAGCUCGAGAGAUUGAACCGUUGGAUUUGCGUAGCUUGGAGAGAAUGGGAGUUAUUUUCAAAAUGGGAGAUGUAUGCCAGAUGACGCCUGCUGGCGAGGGCGGGCCAUGACCUCGGGUUCCUCUGACUGUCCCUCUUACUGAUUCACUAUGAGGGUCUCAAAAUUUCAUUAAUUUCUGAAAAUUAAAAUAAAUAUUAUUUAAACUUUAAAAAUUAUUAAAUAAUAUGAAUUUAUAUUUAAAAAUGUGUAUUUAUAUUAUUAAUGAUGUUUUCACUUAUAUAAAUGUUAUAUUUUAAUUUACAUGAAUUUUCAAAAUUUAUUUGACGGUUCGCGUUCGGCUAAACAUUAAGUUGGAUUUUCGCACUCCCAUACGCAAUAUAACUCUAAGUUGAACUGUAUGAUAUGUAGAGGUUAUAAAAAUGUAUAAUUAAGUUGAGAAAAUGCUAGAUGAGGAAUUUCUACUAGUAGAUAAGAAUUUCGCGCUUAAACGCGAUUUAAAUUCGAAAUUGUCACCAUUAAUGGCAUGCCCAAAAAGUCUUCAAACCUAUACCUCUAGCUUACCUUCAUUUUCAACCCAUCUUAUCACCAACUACCAGCCGUUUCUCUUCUCUUCAAGCUCGAUCAUCUGGUGCAAGAAGAGGUAAGAGCCACGGCCAUUCCCAGCUUCCAACAGCCCUCCAUCUUUAACCAUUCCCAACCCCAACGUUCACCUUCCAUUUCCAGCUUCAACCUUCGAUCGUUGCUGUGCUGCGGCGGACUAGUCUGACCGAGAGAAAAACGGAGUGCAAGGGGUGCCGACUGACCUCAGUGAUUCUAGGAGCGAACUUGGGGAACUAGGCACUUCAUUUAGCUAGUAAACAACCACCAAAGGUAACCCAAAAACUUCCGCUUCACCCCUUAGCCAAAAUUUCAGAUUUGUUGCAGCUUUUGGUUCUUGAAGUUUUAGCUUGUCUUGGUGAAACAUGUUGGGUUGCUGAUCCUCUAAGCUAAUGAUUGAUGAAGCUAGAGGUGUUUUAUGUGCUAUAUGUAUGUUUUGAGGUGGUUAAAUGUUGGGAAAUUUUUUUUUAGAAUGAAGCUGGGGUGCUGCCGAAAGAAGGGAAAAUUUUCCAGAUUUGUACCUGUUGAUGUUUUGCAAAUUUCGCUUAGGUAAUGAACUGGAUUGUUUGUUUGGGGGCUAGACUAGUUAGUGGUGAUUGUUAGGGACUUAAAGUAUGAAUUAUAAGUUGGAAAUGGUUGAUCAAAAAGAAGAGAAAAAUUUUGCUCUGCAACAGAACCAGCAGGCCUGUUUUUCUUCCAACUUUGGCCAGAUUCUUGAACUGGAUUUUGUGAAGUUAUUGAGCUAUUUAAAUCAUGUAUAUGUUCACCUAUAUGUGUAGAGCAGUUUUGGUGAAAAUGCAGCUUUGGUACAAUGGGAAAUUCCAUUGAAAAAUCAAAGAGAAAAAUGCCCUUGAACUGUCCCAAAAAUUCUGGAAAUUUCCAGAUUUUUUGGCGAAUUUGGGGUUUGGUUUUGACAAGUUUUUGAACCAUUUGAGCUGUAAACAUGUUAACCUAUAUGUGAAGUAUUGUUUGGGUAAAAAUGUAGCCUUUAAGUAGUUGAAAAAUUUUGGACAAAUUGAAGAGAAAAGGGACUACUUGUACCGAAUGCACUUGGAAAUUUGUCCAGCUUUGCAUGAGACAUGUUGAAUAAUCUUCACGUUAACAUGAACCCAAUUUGACUUGUGUUUAGUUAAGGGGUGUGUAUAGCCCCAUUUGGGGACAAAAUCUAGUAGAGUUUACGUUCAAAAGUGGGCCAAAAUUUUAUUCUUCACGAGGCUACCAAAACAGAAAUUUUGUUUGAAAUUAGAAAUGAUUUUGACAUUUGGAUUUCAUUUUGAUUAAAUGUGGACUAAAUUGUCCCGAAAAUGUUUUCUAGCAUUAACCUUUGUUGCUAGGUCCACUUCGAGUCAAUAACCUUGAAUUUUAUUAGACCAAAUGCCCUAUUUCAAGAAAUAUGCCAAAUCUGGAAACUUUCUUGAAAACUCAAGUUUUUGCUUUCAUAAAAAUCCUUGAACCAAGUUGGUCAAUGGAAUUUGGCAAACUUAAGGAGUUUCUAUUUUAUAGAAAUUCCAACGACUAGUUUUACUUGGUUUAUAUGAUUUCCUCUUAAAGGAAUUUCCCAAGAUAUUUUUGGGAAAAAUUAGAAGGGAAAAUUCCUCUAAAUGGGUAAAUGUGAUUUUUCUCAACCUGUGACACCAAAGUGGUGUUAAUUGCUUAUAUGACUCUAGAACUUGGUUAUUGAAAUAUUUGACGAAUUUAGCAAGUUUUUGGUUUUAAAGAAACCUCAAAAUUUAAUUUCACUCGAAAUUUGAGGAUUUCACUUUCAGAAAACGAUUAAUACUAGUUUGGGAUUUUUGAGUGAAAUUAAAUGCUAGUUGACUCGAGUUAAAUUCGCCAACUCAAAAGUGGAAAUUUAUGUGAAAUAUUUGUAUGAUUUUAGGAGUUGGUGAAGAGCACAAUCUCGAUCAAAGUUUGGAAUUCUAGACUCUUCACUUGAGGUGAGUGUCUCUUGCAUGAAUCGUGUUUAACUGCUAGUUGAACUACUUGUUAAAAGUACUUGCUAGAGAUAUCAUGAAAUGUUACAUGCUAUGUGAUUGCGUGAAAUAUCACAAGUACAAGUGUUGCAAUGUCGAUUGGAGCGUGGUCUCGUCGACUAAAUAAACCAAACGGAUGCACGUACCACGCUCUAUUAGAGUGGGAGGUACCUCUCAACCGUCUUGGUAAAAGUGCUUGCAAAAUUCGUGUUGGAGUCGGGCCCGAAAAUAAGGGGGAAGUCGUUGCUAGGAGAUAAGUAGAGUAGGAAAUAUUCUACAUGGAGGUUAGGUAGUGAAAGUUGACGGAGUGUCAACUACUAAAAAUUUCCUGAUCAAGCGCAUGGACUUUGGCUCCUGAGAGCCCCGUAUCCUUUUCUUGUCAUGUUACUUUGAUUUCCUAAAUUGUUAAUUGCUUAUUUGUCCAUUUGUACUUGUUAAAUUGCCAUAUGUGAAUUGCAUGUUUCGAGGCACCACUGAGCUAUUGGCUCAUCCCUCCCAAUUUGUUUUCCUUGACAGGUUCUGAGUUGCAUGAAGUCUUGGAGAACUAGAAAAGAAAUGUUAUAUUUUGAAUGCCCACUUUUGUAUAUGUCCUUAGGGGAAAACUUUAGUAUCUUUUGGAUGACUUUUGUGUCUUUGGGAAAAUGUGAAUCCUGUGGUGCUUCUGUGCCCUGGUUUAGAAAUUUUAAAUUGUAAAUUAAGUUGAAUUUAAGUAUUUUAAGUUAGACAUUUUCUUUGAUGCUUGAAAUUGUACUUUUGGAGAGAGUAAAUUGAAUGGUACGGUUUGUUUAAUUACUUGGCUUAUGCGAGAAGUAAAGUUUAUUUACGAAUUAUAUUUGAUGAUGUUGGAUGAUUGAGUGAGUGAGUCCCGGCGAGCGUUGGGCAGGCGACUCGCCGAACCCUCUGGUUCGCCUUAGGGGGAGGUGGGGCCGCCACAGGUGGUAUCAGAGCAUUAUGUUAGAAUGUAUUUGAGAGAAUUGUUAGGUAUUUUAUUCCUAGAAACAGGAAUGAGAUAUUUAGAUAUAUUUUAAGUGAUAAUUGAUCAAAUUAAUGGUGCUAAGGCUUAACUUUGAAAGUUUUGGCUGUUUUGUAGGUAUGGAGAACCCUAACGAGAAUGGACAUGCUGCUAAUGGUAACGGGCACGCGAAUGGUCACGCGCCGCCUCUUAGGCCUAUUUUUUAUCAAGUUCAGGGUGGUGGAGCUCGUGUUCAGUACUCGCCCGCCACCAGGGUUCCUAGGUGUGACUGUAGGUUGACCUUCUCUUACCCCAACCGCUUGGUUCUGGCUAUAGACGAUGAGCGUCGCCAGUUGGUGAAUUCCAACCUGGCCCUGAUUCAGGACGUGGAUGAGUUAGGUGCCAUGGUGACUCAUCUGUAGAAUAGGGUAACAGAGCUGACUGGACGGGUGAUAGAGGAGAGAGCUAGGGCUGAGGCAGACCGUGAAGAGCUGCAGAGAGCGAGGGACAGCUUGACUAGGAUGAGAGACAUAGUUCGUGAGCGAGCCUCUGGGAUACUAGCGGAUGCUACCAUGCUGGUGGAUGAGGUGAUGGACGAGAUCUUAGAGGUAGCUCCUAGUACUGAGGAGGAUGCAGAGGAGGACCCGGAGGAGGAUCCAGAAGAGGAUCCUGAUGAGAGGAAUCCAUCUGAUGGUCCCGCUGAGGACUAGGCUUAGUUAAACUCUCUUUUGACUUGUAACCGGUAAACAUUGGUUAGGAUGGUGCUAACCUUGGGCCAUUGUAUUUUUGUAACUGUAUGACUUGCUUUUGUGGUGUUGCACUUCUUUUGAUUAUGAAUGACUGGUUGCACCUUGUAGCACGUUUGUGCUAUAUUUUUGUAAAAUCCCAACGAAAUGCUAAUUGUAGGAAUUUCGAAUGUUAAUAUAUGUGUUAGUUGUGGUUAUUUUUAUCGCCCUCAAGUUGAUCUUCAUUUGGCAUAAUUUUCUGCUUUGUUUCUCAAUUUUACGUAAUUUUCCUGCGUUGCUCUUUAGACUUUGCGUAAAUUUCUGCAUACUUACUUCUUGUCUUGCGUUAGGCAUAACUAGGUAUGGAUCCCCGUGGUAGAGGUCGAGGCCGAAAUCGAGGCCGAGGUCGAGGGAGACGGGCUGAACCCCUUCGUGAUCAAGGGGGCGAUACAGUAUCGGAAGUGAACCAAAAUCGGGGACCCGAGGGCGGGGGCGGAGAUCAAAUGGCCACCGCUAUUAAUAGGAUAAUCGAAGUGCUAGAACGUUUGACGGACCGUCAAGGUCCUGGACCAGUGCAUCAACAACCUGGUGGGAAGUUAGAUACUGAAGAUAGGGCCUUGGAGAGGUUCCUAAAGUUUGGACCGCCUAAGUUUCAAGGUGGGCCAGAGCCUGAAAUAGCUGAGGGAUGGUGGGAGAGAAUAUCUGAUAUUUUUGCCACAUUGGAUUACACUGAGACGCGGAAGGUGACUUUUGCGUCAUUUCAAUUUGAGGGAGCUGCACGGUCUUGGUGGAAUUUGAUUAAGGAUAAGUGGAAUAGAGACCGUACCCCUAGUACUUGGGCAAACUUCACCCGUGAGUUUAAUGCCAAAUUCCUUCCACCUCUAGUCCAAGAGAAAAGGGAGGACGACUUUAUUAAGUGCAAACAAGGGGCCAUGAGUGUAGCAGAGUAUGAGACCCACUUCACUAAAUUAGCCCGAUAUGCCCCUGACCUGAUAGCCACUGAGCAGAGACGCAUUAGGAGAUUUGUGCAAGGGCUCAAUGUGGAGAUUCAAGAGGGGCUAGCAACUGCUCAAAUUAACACGUAUAGUGAUGCCGUAGAGAAAGCUCAGAGGUUUGAGACGGCUAGAGCCCAAUCUAAGUCAUUCUUUGCUAGGAAAAGGAAUGCCCCUAGUGGUAGCAGGGACCCAAUUUCUACAAGUGCCCCACCGCCUAAGAUGGGUAGAGGAAUUGGGGUAGUGAAUAUCCCUAGUGCAUCAAGAGGUGCUUUAGCAAGGGGUGCUAGAACUAGAGGCUCUGUGGCGAGAGGAUCUGGAGUGAGAGGAGGUAAAAGUGGAAGGGGACCCGCUAGGAGUGCUCCACAAGGUGUACAAGUGUCAACCCCUCAGAUAACCUGUGGUUACUGUGGAAAAGCCAAUCAUACCGCAAAUGAGUGCUGGAGAAAGGAAAGCAAGUGCCUCAGGUGUGGGAGUGCUGAGCACCAAAUUGCUAAUUGUCCUAAGAUUUCCGAGAAUGGGGGAAGCCAAGGAGGUGCCACAAGUUCUAGGCAAACUGCUUCUGGAGAGAGUCGGCCAAAGGUCUCGGCCAGGGUUUAUGCCCUAGAUAGUCAACCUGUACCUGACCCUUCGGAGGUAGUCGAAGGUACACUUCCAAUCUUUCAUCGAUUAGCUAAGGUUUUAAUUGAUCCUGGUGCGACUCAUUCGUUUGUUAAUCCUGCUUUUAUGUGUGGAAUUGAUGUAAAGCCUGUACGAUUACCCUAUGAUUUGGAAGUUAGGACUCCUACGGGUAAUAAAAGCAUACUUACUAGUUUGGUGUAUAAGGAGUGUGAAUUUUGGGUUGGGGAGCGAAAAAUGCUAGUUGACUUGGUGAGUUUGGACCUUAAGGGGUAUGAUGUGAUUAUAGGAAUGGACUUUUUGUCUUACCACCAUGCUAAACUAGAUUGUAGGGCUAAAGUGGUGAAAUUUUGCAUCUCAGGUGAGGCAACUCUCAAGCUAGAUGUAAAGGGUAGAUUAGUUUCGUCUGCUUUGAUUUCAGGGAUUCGAGCUAGGAAAAUGCUUCACAAGGGAGCCCAGGGUUUCUUAGUUUUCUUAAUUAACGCCCCUAGUGAUCAAGUGAAAUUAGAAGAUGUGCCAAUCGUGCGAGAUUUUCCCGAUGUCUUCCCGGAAGAAUUAACAUCUUUGCCACCUGAAAGGGAGAUAGAGUUUAAGAUUGAUUUGGUUCCAGGAGUAGCCCCAAUUUCAAAAACUUCUUAUAGAAUGGCUCCUGCGGAGUUGAAAGAACUAAAGAUCCAGUUGCAGGACCUACUAGAAAGAGGUUUUAUUAAGGAAAGUGACUCACCGUGGGGAGCUCCAGUUUUGUUUGUAAAGAAAAAGGACGGGAGUUUGAGAUUGUGCAUUGACUAUCGAGGUUUGAAUGAGGUGACUAUUAAGAAUAAGUACCCUUUGCCCUUGAUUGAUGGAUUAUUUGACCAAUUGCAAGGAUCGGUGGUGUACUCUAAGUUAGAUUUGAGACAAGGGUACUAUCAAUUGAGGAUUAAAAAGGAAGACAUACCUAAGACCGCUUUUAAUUCUCGAUAUGGGCACUUUGAGUUUGUGGUAAUGCCUUUUGGGUUAACCAAUGCCCCAACUGCUUUCAUGGAUCUAAUGCAGAGAAUCUUUAAGAAAUAUCUGGACCAAUUUGUGGUGGUAUUCAUAGAUGAUAUUCUAGUAUAUUCUAAGACCCGAGAGGAUCACGCCAAGCACUUGGAGAUAGUUUUACAAGUGUUGAGGGAACACAAGCUUUACGCUAAGUUCAGUAAGUGUGAAUUUUGGCUGGAAGAAAUUUCUUUUCUGGGUCAUAGAAUUUCUAAGAAUGGAAUUGCAGUGGAUCCAACUAAAGUGGAGGCAAUUACUUUGUGGAAACAACCAGAGAAUCCAACUGAAGUUAGAAGUUUCUUGGGAUUGGCGGGUUAUUACCGUCGUUUUAUAAAAGAUUUCUCAAAAAUUGCUGGGCCAAUGACGGAGUUAACUAAGAAAAACCAUAAGUUCAUUUGGAGCCCUAAAUGUGAAGCGAGCUUUCAAGAAUUGAAGAGGCGAUUGACUACGGCUCCAGUAUUAGCCCUACCUGAGGGAGUUGAUGGGUAUGUAGUAUAUUCCGAUGCUUCUAAAGAAGGGUUAGGUUGUGUUCUAAUGCAAAAGGGAAAAGUUGUGGCCUAUGCUUCUAGGAAAUUGAAACCUCAUGAAAUGAAUUACCCGACCCAUGACCUAGAGUUAGCCGCUGUUAUUUUUGCUUUGAAGAAGUGGAGACAUUACUUGUAUGGGGUGACAUUUGAGGUAUUCACCGACCAUAAGAGUCUUAAGUACUUGUUUUCACAAAAGGAGUUGAACUUGCGAUAGAGGCGUUGGGUAGAAUUUCUUGAGAAUUAUGAUUGUUCAAUCAAUUAUCACCCUGGAAAAGCAAAUGUGGUUGCAGAUGCACUAAGUAGGAGGGCUCAAGUAGCGGGUCUAAUGGUGAGAGAAUGGGAUAUGUUAGAAGAAGCGAGUGGUUGGAAUCCUCGUUUAGAAAAGUUGAAAAUCUUGUUUGGAAAUCUAUCCUUAAAAUCCCCUUUGUUAGAAAGAAUUAAGGAGGCUCAAAGGAAUGAUCCGAUAGUACAAGGUUAUUUGGAGAGAGUGGGAAAGGUGGAAACCCUAGAUUUUAAGCUAGGACCUGAAGGCAUUUUGAGAUUUAGGGAUCGAUAGUAGUACCUAGUGAAGAGGGUUUGAAAAGAGAAAUUCUAGAGGAGUCACAUCGGUCCAAGUAUACUAUUCACCCUGGAGUUAACAAGAUGUAUCAGGAUGUGAAAGGGCUUUAUUGGUGGGAUGGCUUAAAAAGGGAUGUGACGAAAUUUGUACAAACUUGCCUUGUGUGUCAGCAGGUUAAGGCAGAACAUCAAAAGCCUUCUGGUUUGUUACAACCUUUAGAAAUCCCUGAGUGAAAAUGGGAGCAUAUUACCAUGGAUUUUGUGACGGGUUUACCUAGAAGUCAAAGGGGACAUGAUGCUGUUUGGGUGAUAGUGGAUAGGCUUACAAAAUCUGCACAUUUCUUACGGUGAAUAUGAGUUACUCUUUGGAGAAACUAGCCAAGUUAUACACAGAAGAAAUUAUGAGAUUGCAUGGGAUUCCUGUAAGUAUAGUCUCCGAUCGAGACCCUAGGUUCGUUUCCCGCUUUUGGCAGAAAUUUCAGGAGACUUUGGGGACUAAAUUGAAGUUGAGCACUGCAUAUCAUCCACAAACAGAUGGACAGUCGGAGAGGACCAUACAAACCCUAGAGGACAUGUUAAGAUCCUGUAUAUUAGAUUUCGGAGGGAGUUGGAGCCAGUACAUGACGUUGGCAGAGUUUGCUUAUAAUAACAGUUAUCAGGCUUCAAUCCAAAUGGCACCGUAUGAGGCGCUUUAUGGUAGAAGGUGUCGAUCCCCUAUUCAUUGGGAUGAAGUAGGAGAAAAGAGAGUUUUAGACCCGACAGCUAUUCCAUGGAUCGAGGAAGCUUAUGAGAAGGUUAAACUGGUUAGGGAGAGACUUCAAACUGCUCAAAGUCGGCAGAAGAGUUACGCAGAUCCCCGAAGAAAAGACUUGGAAUUUGACGUAGGGGACAAAGUCUUUCUAAGAGUGAAACCUAUGAAAGGAGGGGUAGUAUCCAAGAAGGGAAAGAAAUUAAAGCCGAGGUACAUUGGACCCUUUGAAAUUCUUAAACGAGUUGGAAAAGUGGCUGUGAGGGUCUCAAAAUUUCAUUAAUUUCUGAAAAUUAAAAUAAAUAUUAUUUAAACUUUGAAAAUUAUUAAAUAAUAUGAAUUUAUAUUUAAAAAAUGUGUAUUUAUAUUAUUAAUGAUGUUUUCUCUUAUAUAAAUGUUAUAUUUUAAUUUACAUGAAUUCUCAAAAUUUAUUUGACGGUUCGCGUUUGGCUAAACAUUAAGUUGGAUUUUCGCACUCCCAUACGCAAUAUAACUCUAAGUUGAACUGUAUGAUAUGUAGAGGUUAUAAAAAUAUAUAAUUAAGUUGAGAAAAUGCUAGAUGAGGAAUUUUUACUAGUAGAUAAGAAUUUCGCGCUUAAACGCGAUUCAAAUUCGAAAUUGUCACCAUUAAUGGCAUGCCCAAAAAGUCUUCAAACCUAUACCUCUAGCUUACCUUCAUUUUCAACCCAUCUUAUCACCAACUACCAGCCGUUUCUCUUCUCUUCAAGCUCGAUCAUCUGGUGCAAGAAGAGGUAAGAGCCACGGCCAUUCCCAGCUUCCAACAGCCCUCCAUCUUCAACCAUUCCCAACCCCAACGUUCACCUUCCAUUUCCAGCUUCAACCUUCGAUCGUUGCUGUGCUGCUGCGGACUAGUCUGACCAAGAGAAAAACAGAGUGCAAGGGGUGCCGACUGACCUCAGUGAUUCUAGGAGAGAACUUGGGGAACUAGGCACUUCAUUUAGCUAGUAAACAACCACCAAAGGUAACCCAAAAACUUCCGCUUCACCCCUUAGCCAAAAUUUCAGAUUUGUUGCAGCUUUUGGUUCUUGAAGUUUUAGCUUGUCUUGGUGAAACAUGUUGGGUUGCUGAUCCUCUAAGCUAAUGAUUGAUGAAGCUAGAGGUGUUUUAUGUGCUAUAUGUAUGUUUUGAGGUGGUUAAAUGUUGGGAAAAUUUUUUUAGAAUGAAGCUGGGGUGCUGCCGAGAGAAGGGAAAAUUUUCCAGAUUUGUACUUGUUGAUGUUUUGCAAAUUUCGCUUAGGUAAUGAACUGGAUUGUUUGUUUGGGGGCUAGACUAGUUAGUGGUGAUUGUUAGGGACUUAAAGUAUGAAUUAUAAGUUGGAAAUGGUUGAUCAAAAAGAAGAGAAAAAUUCUGCUCUGCAACCGAACUAGCAGGCCUGUUUUUCUUCCAACUUUGCCCAGAUUCUUGAACUGGAUUUUGUGAAGUUAUUGAGCUAUUUAAAUCAUGUAUAUGUUCACCUAUAUGUGUAGAGCAGUUUUGGUGAAAAUGCAGCUUUGGUACAAUGGGAAAUUUCAUUGAAAAAUCAAAGAGAAAAAUGCCCUUGAGCUGUCCCAAAAAUUCUGGAAAUUUCCAGAUUUUUGGGCGAAUUUGGGGUUUGGUUUUGACAAGUUUUUGAACCAUUUGAGCUGUGAACAUGUUAACCUAUAUGUGAAGUAUUGUUUGGGUAAAAAUGUAGCAUUUAAGUAGUUGAAAAAUUUUGGACAAAUUGAAGAGAAAAGGGACUACUUGUACCGAAUGCACUUGGAAAUUUGUUCAGCUUUGCAUGAGACAUGUUGAAUAAUCUUCACGUUAACAUGAACCCAAUUUGACUUGUGUUUAGUUAAGGGGUGUGUAUAGCCCCAUUUGGGGACAAAAUCUAGUAGAGUUUACGUUCAAAAGUGGGCCAAAAUUUUAUUCUUCACGAGGCUACCAAAACAGAAAUUUUGUUUGAAAUUAGAAAUGAUUUUGACGUUUGGAUUUCAUUUUGAUUAAAUGUGGACUAAAUUGUCCCGAAAAUGUUUUCUAGCAUUAACCUUUGUUGCUAGGUCCACUUCGAGCCAAUAACCUUGAAUUUUAUUAGACCAAAUGCCCUAUUUCGAGAAAUAUGCCAAAUCUGGAAAUUUUCUUGAAAACUCAAGUUUUUGCUUUCAUAAAAAUCCUUGAACCAAGUUGGUCAAUGGAAUUUGGCAAACUUAAGGAGUUUCUAUUUUAUAGAAAUUCCAAUGACUAGUUUUACUUGGUUUAUAUGAUUUCCUCUUAAAGGAAUUUCCCAAGAUAUUUUUGGGGAAAAUUAGAAGGGAAAAUUCCUCUAAAUGGGUAAAUGUGAUUUUUCUCAACCUGUGACACCAAAGUGGUGUUAAUUGCUUAUAUGACUCCAGAACUUGGUUAUUGAAAUAUUUGACGAAUUUAGCAAGUUUUUGGUUUUAAAGAAACCUCAAAAUUUAAUUUCACUCGAAAUUUGUGGAUUUCACUUUCAGAAAACGAUUAAUACUAGUUUGGGAUUUUUGAGUGAAAUUAAAUGCUAGUUGACUCGAGUUAAAUUCGCCAACUCAAAAGUGGAAAUUUAUGUGAAAUAUUUGUAUGAUUUUAGGAGUUGGUGAAGAGCACAAUCUCGAUCAAAGUUUGGAAUUCUAGACUCUUCACUUGAGGUGAGUGUCUCUUGCAUGAAUCGUGUUUAACUGCUAGUUGAACUACUUGUUAAAAGUACUUGCUAGAGAUAUCAUGAAAUGUUACAUGCUAUGUGAUUGCGUGAAAUAUCACAAGUACAAGUGUUGUAAUGUCGAUUGGAGCGUGGUCUCGUCGACUAAAUAAACCAAACGGAUGCACGUACCACGCUCUAUUAGAGUGGGAGCUACCUCUCUGCCGUCUUGGUAAAAAUGCUUGCAAAAUUCGUGUUGGAGUCGGGCCCGAAAAUAAGGGGGAAGCCGUUGCUAGGAGAUAAGUAGAGUAGGAAAUAUUCUACAUGGAGGUUAGGUAGUGAAAGUUGACGGAGUGUCAACUACUAAAAAUUUCCUGAUCAAGCGUGUGGACUUUGGCCCCUGAGAGCCCCGUAUCCUUUUCUUGUCAUGUUAUUUCGAUUUCCUAAAUUGUUAAUUGCUUACUUGUCCAUUUGUACUUGUUAAAUUGCCCUAUGUGAAUUGCAUGUUUCGAGGCACCACUGAGCUAUUGGCUUAUCCCUCCCAAUUUGUUUUCCUUGACAGGUUCUGAGUUGCAUGAAGUCUUGGAGAACUAGAAAAGAAAUGUUAUAUUUUGAAUGCCCACUUUUGUAUAUGUACUUAGGGGAAAACUUUAGUAUCUUUUGGAUGACUUUUGUGUCUUUGGGAAAAUGUGAAUCCUGUGGUGCUUCUGUACCCUGGAUUAGAAAUUUUAAAUUGUAAAUUAAGUUGAAUUUAAGUAUUUUAAGUUAGACAUUUUCUUUGAUGCUUGAAAUUGUACUUUUGGACAGAGUAAGUUGAAUGGUACGGUUUGUUUAAGUACUUGGCUUAUGCGAGAAGUAAAGUUUAUUUACGAAUUAUAUUUGAUGAUGUUGGAUGAUUGAGUGAGUGAGUCCCGGCGAGAGUUGGGCAGGCGACUCGCCGAACCCUCUGGUCCGCCUUAGGGGGAGGUGGGGCCGCCACAUUCACCGCCCUUCACUGAUCAGGCAGGUCCAUCCUUCUAUCAUACUCCCCCUGCUUGGGAUGCCCAAUACCGUUCCCUCCAAGAUUCUGUCCAUUAGCUAGGAGAGCGAGUUGAGGGCCUCGAUGACCGUCUUGCAGCGUUGCAGGUUUUUGCCCGUAUUCAGGCGGAAAAUCAGGCAGCUUUUUUUGCUCAUAUUGGAUUCUAGCAAUCUCAUCCUCUUCCCCUUUAGUGUCUAGCUACACCCUCUCGACAGUCAGGGAAGUUCGCCCCUUUAACCUUACAGUUUAUUUUGUCUUUACUACAUUGAGGACAAUGUAGAUUUUAGGUGUGGGGGGGUGAUUUCUAUUAUUUCUUUUUGUUUCUAUUAUUUCUUUUCGUUCGUAAAAAACAAAAAAAAGGGCAAAAAAAGAGGAAAAAUGAAACAAUCAGAAAACGAAAAAAUAAAGAAAAAAUGUGUAGUUGGUUCACUUUUUGCUAGAGCAUUUUACUAUGAUGGAUUAUACAAUCAAGGUGCACGUGUAUGUGGUCAUAUAUGCUUGCUGUGCAUUUUGCUUUUCCUUGGCAAUAUCGCUAAAUGUGGAUAUGCUGGACUUGACCCAUUCUUGAAACUUUUGGGAGUUUUUGAGCCAUGCACGAGCACAUUAUUUUUGUUUGCUUCGUUUGUGUUGUUGAGUGGGUAUCACACAUGGUGUUGGUAUUCUAGAACUUACUAUUUCAUACAUGUCGAGACCACAUUUUGUUGAACUGAAUGCAUUUGAAAUGAUAAGGGCAUUUAGGAUCUAACCUUCUUUAGCUUUCUACAAACCAUGCCUUCAUCUUGUUUCCCAAUAGUGAACCAAUUUGAGCUUUUAGCCUUCUCUUUUGAUUGUUGCCUUGUUUGAUAACCCAGAAUCUUUUUAAACUUUCUUGUUCAAUCUUGUGUCGUUAAGAGAUGUCUGAAUUUCAUUGUUUGCGCAAGAAAAAUAAAUCUAGAGUCGCAAGUGUUGUCAGAAUAGAUGCUGUAUGGUGCUGUUUCUGUGCAUCUAAGAUCGCAAGAAGAAAAAAAAUGGGAGAAAUUGUCAAUAAGAUGGUGAACAGAACACUCUGGCUUACAGGGCGUGCCCACGCCUUGCAAGACGUUUCCCCUUUUUCAAAAAAAAAAAAAAUUCGACACUUGCACAAUGGGUAUAGCAAAUGGAAAUGCCUUGUUCGUGGAAUUGCUCCAGUAAAGUGUUGAGGUUAUGUAGUGGAUAUCGGACAUUCUCUUGACACAUUACGCCUUAUUUUUUACCUUCUUAUCCCGCUUUUUACCUAAGCCCCAUUACAACCCUAUUAAAGUCCCUUUGAUUUUUGUAUUGAGUUCACUGUUGAGUGGUGGAGAUGUGAUAAAUGUGCAAACCUAUGAUAAUGUCAUUCCGUGGUGUUGAUUUGAGCGUCCCUAAUAUCUAUACAUUUUCUUGGAAGUGACGAGUACUACUGCUCAUAUUCUUUGGAUUACUACUCGUCCGGUGUAUUCUAAUUUUGGCGACAUUGUCAGGAAUGCGAGAUGUUUGUGUUAGUGUAGGUGACUAUGAAACCGCUGCUAUCUUGAUUGUGCUUCUGAGUUUCGAAAUGCUUGAGGGCAAGUAUUGCCUAGGUGUGGGGGGAUUUGAUAGAGCAAUUAUUGGGCACAUUUUACACUGUUAUUAUGUCCUAAUUUUGGCUACUUACUGCGCUAAGUAUUGAGAUUUUGCUCAUAUUUCAUAUUUUGUAUAAAUUGUAGAUGGUUGGUGUUAAAAAUGAUAUCUUGAGGCAAAUUUCCAGAAGACUAUUUAUUUCAUGGCGUGCCCACGCCAAAAACUGAAGAGAUACACCCCAAAGACGAACCCCACGGGAUUGAUAAAAGGAGUUGGCAAUUAGGAAAUCAGAUUCACAUGGGCCGUGGAGUUGCAAAGGAUUAGAACUCCUAGAGAAAGCUUUGCCCUUGGACAUUUUUCCUUCUGCUGGCGGUGCUACUUGGAAGAUAUAAAAAGAGGAAAGCCAGAUUCACGUGAUAAGAAGAGAUUAGCUUUUGCUUUUGUUUUGGAGACGUUUUCUUUCUUUUCGACGGCCAAUAGAAACAAAGCCAGAAUCAUGUGUGAUAUAUAGUUUAGCUUUUAGUUUUCCUUGUCAGACGAUUUUAUCUCGGCUUGCUUUUAGAUUUUGUAUGAUUUUGGCUAGACUUUUGCUUUUCCCUUCGUGGCUCCAGUACGAACACGAAACCCACAAAUAAAAGCAGGACUUUUCGUUUGUUCUGUUGUUAAUUCAUCUUUCUCAAUUCUUUGACAAUUGUGUGGAUGGAAUUAAUUAAACCACGCAAGAUCGUUAUGAUGAGGAACGGCUAAAUUUCUCCUCUAUCCAAGGGUUAACGCGAAGGCGCGGUCAAUAACAUUUGUGAGAUAUAAUCGAACUUUCACUAUUUCUUCCAAUUUGUUACUAUUCGUGCGUUUCCUGGAUUAAUUGUUCAUGGUUAUUUUAUUAAUUGAGUAUCAACGGCCGGAUAUUUAAUUUAAUUUAAUAGUCUACUGUCACGUUAGCUAAAUUGAAUCCGUAAUUGUUCGUUUAGUUGACAACUAGUGACAACCAUCAUAAUUGGCUUUGUGUUGGGGAAACGUAAGAUUUAGUUUAAAUAAACCCUCUUAGCGUGUUUAUUGGUUAGGGUUGGGUUCUUCUAACUUUAAUACAACUGGAUAAUUAAAUUCCUACGGUCGUACCUAAUGUUGUUUCCUGGUUAGAGAAGCAGUCAACGGUCGUACCUUGGCUGUCGAAAAAGUAAGGAAGAAUUGACUGUCAGAGCUUGUUGGUGGCUAUAACCAACCUAGUGACGAAUGAAUGAAAUAUCUUUGCAUCGAUGAUCAGUUAAUUGGACCGUGUCUGAAGAGUUGAUCCUUUGGAUAGAAUUUUAUUAAUUGUUAUUUUUAGUAAAUUGUACUUGUUGAGUUAGUUUUUGAAUUUUGUUUAUUUUAUUUCCAUCUUUAUUCCCUUAGAUAUCCCCCAAUUUUGUUCUAUUGAUUUGGAAAGAAACAACCUCUUAUCCGUUCCCUGUGGAAUCGACCCUACUUGCCAUUGUAUGCAAAUUUAAUACUUUUAUAGACAAUGCUGGUGUAUCGGAUCAAACAAACUCUUUAGGAGUAGGGUGAAUCAAGUAACCUAUUGCACAUCUAGGGUCCCUGCUCCAGUACUUGGAUUUGUUCUAUAAUUAAUUGUGGUGGUAAUUAGGACUUUUUAGUAAUUAUUAUUACACACGCUCGACACCUGUCAACCCAUCUUGUCAGUUUCUGCAUACAAAUGAUACCAGUUUCCUCUUCCGGAGCUGGGACAAUUGGUUUGAUUAUCCAGGCGUUCAUAAAUUGUACCUGGGAAUACCCUUUGUGUCAUUAAAGUUCACAAACAUAAUUGACACAUCAUCGAAAACAAAGUCUAAACAGGUUGCCUUAUUUAUGAAACUUUUAUGCAUUUUCAAUUAACUUUAUACCUAGCCAAAUUCAACAUAAAUAAUCCAAAUUCAACAAUAAAUUACUAUAACUUGAAUAAUAACUUGAAUUUAUGAAUAAAAAUCAAUCAAAAAAGAGCAAAAAAUUUUUCUCAAUUACCAUUAUUGAAUAACAUGACCUUAGAUAUUAAUGGAUAACAAGAUUUCACUAUCCCUCUAACAAGGAUUUUCAAAGCAUUCCUAGAACUAAUGGCCUGUUUGGCAAACAAAUUUUUGGUUAAGUUUGUUUCCUACCAAUUUUUUAACAACUUUAACUACAGUAAUCUCAAAAAACUCUUCAAAAUUUUUAAACUACAUACUUCAAAAUAUCCAAAACACACAAAAAAUUUUCUUCUUCCUUUCUCUUUCCACCUCAACCCACCACCACCUCGCCGCCGGCCAAGAUCGACCGGCACCAAAGGCCACCUCUUUUUUUUUCUCUCUCUUCUUCCUUUUCCUCUCCACUGCCCCUCUCCUCACCUCUUUCCCGCCACCUCUCACCCCCUUCUCCCUCCCCCACCACCCUUCCCUUACCCCUUUGCUCGAUCUGGUCACACGACUAGAAAACACCCGGGAAAGGAGGGAGAGGGGAGGGGAGAUAGAAAAGAGCAAAAAAAAUUCUUGUUCCAACGGGAAGAGAGAGGUGGUAGGGACGGGGAAAGGAGAUGAAGAAGAAAGGAAAGAAAAGAACAAAGAAAGAAAGAAAGAAAAAGAAAUAAAAAGAAAAGAAAAAAGUUUAUCAUUUUAAAAAUUUUUCCUACAAUUUUUACAGUAAAUUACAGUAAAAUUUUAGACAAACACCCAAAAAACUCAUUCACCAAACGAGGCCUAAGUUUUACCCAGAUAUUUAUUGGGAGUUAUUUACCAAAUAGGACCUAAGUAAUAUCUCAUUCUCUUAUCAACUUUUAUCAAACUUUAUUGGAAUUGCUCAGUUUUUUAGAGUUUCUCUCUUUUUUCGCGAAUCUUUAAUUCGUGAUUGGGAUCCGUUGAUAUAACAUUCCUCAUUAGGAGGAUGUUCAUGAAACCCUUCUACUCUUACAUGUUUGUUUAGAAGAUCAGGAGGCCUAGGACACAUUUUUAUUGCAUGUCUACCAAUUAUUGAUUGCAAGAAUUAGUUUCUAAUAGGACCAUUUAUGGCAAUCGAUGAGUUAGAAAUUUAAUUUAUGUUCAUUAGUUUUUCUCACAUGGCUUUAUGAUCACUUGAUUUGAAUCUUAAAACUACAUGUAAUUCUAGAUUGAAAAUCAUGAGUGGGUGAUGUUAUUGAAAAGGAUUAUAUCUUGAAGAAAUUUCUAGGUGGUUAUGUUAUAAUAUUUCUAGAUCCACUGUGAUGGCAUGUAGUAUGAAAUAAAUUCGGGGUGCAACUGAGAAUCUGGCAAAUCAGAAAAUGAGAGCACGGAAUUUACUAGUGGAGUUUUAAUUGAUAGUAGAUUACUUUAAUGAACAGUAAGACAUGAUUAUCACUUUAGAAAUAACUAAAGUUCAAAUGAAAAUAAGGUUAAUUAAGUCGAAUUACUCGUUGAUGUUUGGAUUUAUGUUAGCGCAAGGGAAACGUAAUGGGCAUCAGGUGUUUGAAAUUUCUAUGGCCUUGUAAAAAGAAUAGCGGAUUUGAACAUGAAGCAACCCUUCUUUGGUCUAGUGAACCUCUUUGAUAUACAGGUGAGAUCUUCUUCCUCCAGCCCCAUUGGUCCAGUUGGAUCAUUCCCUAAUAUUUGUUAGAGUAUGAGUAGUAAUAGGAGUUGACGAUUGACCAAAAAGGCGAGAAAGGAAAGGCGAGGAGGGGGGACAUGAAUUGUCCUUGAGUAAAUAAUAUCUAUGCUCUAUGUAAAGGUAGAGAAAGCUUUUGUUGUAAAUAUAUAAAGGGGGAGAGGGCUUUUGGUAUAAAUAAAAUUUUGUCAUUUUAUAUUAUUUUUUAACUACCCUUGCUAGCUACCCAAUGUAAUCAACUAUCGAUUAUGGUUAUGGAUUACUGCUAAAUAACUAUCUAUUUGUACACUUAUUUUCGUGAAUUUUCCAAUACCCAUUGUCAAAAAUAUAAAACCAAUUCCUUUAAAAAUGAUUUCAACAAAUUUACUCAAAAUUUUAAUAAUAUGUUUUUUAUUAGGUGUACACACAUUGGUGUGUGCCCUAAAUAUUAGUAGUUUAAUUAAUACUUGUUCAUGUAAAGUGAUAUAAUUGGAAGGGCAGUUUGUUUUUAUGCUAAUCUGGUCAAAUUAAGUUUCGAGAGUGAAACUUAGGUGGGUAGAAUUAAUGUAAUACCUGAAAAUCAUUAGUGGGUAAUUCAUAAGAGUUGUUGGCAGAAAAGCUAGAAUGUAUAUUAGAAAUUAAACAACUAAAUCAAUUAUUAGCAUAAACAAGUAUAGAAUUCUUCUAAAGUGUUUAAAUCUAUUGACGCAAAAAUUAGAUCAGUAAGCAAGAUAAACAACCUAUAAAUUGCUCGCUAUAAAAUAUUUAAUGCAUUCUAAUGCAAACAGAAAAAUAAUUAUUUCACAUCCUAUCAUCCUUAUAAUCGGUUGUAAAUAAAAAACAAUAAGAUUCUCAUAGUAUGGAAUGCAAAGAAACAUAGGAAAAUGCAAUGUAAAUAUGAAGAAUAGAGGAGAAUUAUUAGAAAUCAAACUUUUGAGAGAGUAAAAAUAAUUGCCAAUAGAAAGAGAGAAUCUAGAGAAAGCAACUAAGGUUUUGGUACCUAGUUUUUAAGAUAAAAAGUUCCAAAAGUUAAGGAAUGGAAAUUUCUGGUCUUCAAUCACGUAAUAGUUUAUUGGGAAAAUUUCCUUUGCGAGAUACUGAUUUGAUGCUAGAAUCAUCUACUGCUUUUGGUGCGUUAUUCCUUUGUUGAUAUAACUUAUUGAGCUUCUUUGUCUUGAAAAAAAAAAAGAAAGAAAACUAGUAAGCUAUCAUUUUCUUAUUGAAUAAGAAUCGGUCAAGUUGGGACGCAUAAAACAAAUCUUUAUUACAAAUUACCAUAGUUUUGCAAAUUCUCAAGGAGAGUAUGCUACUGUGUGAUAUGAAAAACAGAAUAAAUGUGCUUUUACAGGGUAUUACUUAAUGGAAAUUCCUCCUCAGCUGAUUAGCCUUCAAUGCAAUCAUUACGCAAAUUUUGUCAUAGACAUUUUCCAGAAACCUGAAGUAUGCAUAGCGCCAUGACUUGUUGAACUGAAGUAUUCCCAAAACUCCCAAUAGCCCGACAGCAUAACGCGGUUCUAUACCAGCAUAAAACCAAGACCAAUUAGACUCGUGUGGCCUAUAUCAUCAUGAAUAUGCCCAUUUUCCAUAGGCAAUUUAUGUUCCAGGCAAUCAUUUGGGAGUGGCUUGCCACAGAGUCCAAUGUUUCCUUCAUAGAUAGAUGGAUCGGUUCAGGUCUGAAUUUGAUUCCCUGAUGGUAUUGGCCCUGAUAGCUUAUUGUGUGACAAAUUCAGGAAGUUCAACUAGUUUAAAGCAGAUAAGCUUUCAGGGAUUGCACCGAAGAGUUCAUUCAUUGAUAGGUCAGUUCCUGGUUCACUUGAUACCAUCAUUGAGAAGUUGAUAAAACAAUGAGGAAUAGAUCCUGUUAAAUUAUUAUUCGCUAGGUUCAGCACGAAGACUUGAGAGUAGGCAGAGCUCAUCAGAAAUGACUCCAUGGAAGUUAUUUGACUGAAAUCUUAGAAACUUUAAAUUUGAUAACCUUUCCCCAAUCCAUGUUGGUAUAAUAUCUGUUAGUCCAUUGUCACCGAGAUCAAGAAUUUGUAAAUUUAUCAGGCGCUGCAUUGAGGAUGAGAGCUUCCCAACGAAUUUAUUUAGAUUCAAAUGCAGAAUCCAAAGUUGCCCCAAGUUGCCCAGUGAACUCGGAAUUUGACCGCAUAGACUAUUAUUUGCCAAGUUUAGGACCCGCAGGUCUGGCAAAUUUCCCAAACACAGAGGAACUCUUCCGGAUAGAAAAUUGUUGGACAGAUCCAGAUAAUUUAAAUUUUCCAACUUGCACAAGUCUUCCGAGAUACUGCUUGUGAAAUGAUUAUCACAGAGUAAGAGAAAACGAGUAGAUGCAACAGUUUGACCAACAUCAGGCAAUGGAAUAUGUCCGGUAAGAAAAUUUUGUGAAAGAUAUAAUUCAUAAAUAUAAGACGGAAACGAUUUGAGAGAUCCAUCCAAUUUGUUGGACUUUAGAACUAUGCUUGGAGAAUUACCAUCGGAGGACUCUUCUUCAUUUGUUUGAACUCCAACGGAUUCCAAGUUAGGUUGUUGUUGGAGAAAUCUACAAUAUAAAUUUCAUAACAAAGCACUCCAAACCAGUUGGGUAUGCUAUCAGAAAUGCCUGCAUUCUGCAUCUCUAAACUUUGAACCUCCUUUUGCGUUCGAAGCCAAACUGGAAAUAGGGGUCCUACUUUGAUGGAUGACAUCAUAAUUUCUCGGAGUUGAAAAGGAGGAACCCACCAGGAGCUCACAUUCAGAGUGAAUAAGUUUUCAGAUAGGUUCAAUGACUUUAGCUCUCCGAGUUUUGCAAAAUGGUCUUCAGAUAAUACACCAGUUAAUGAGUUGGAAGAAAUAUCCAAUACUUGCAACUUCGAAAGUUGGCCUAUUUCACUCGGUAUCGACCCUUGCAUAUCAUUAAAACUCAGAUCCAAAUAAUUAAGACUGCUCACAUUGCAAAGUGACAUCAACGUUGAUGCAUCAAAGCGGUUUUCCCCUAGAUCGAGAUAAACUAGAGAGGUCAUUUGUUCGGAUAGGCCAUGAAUUGGAUCGGAAAGAUGAUUAGAGCUAAGACCAAGAUUAUGGAGACCAGUAAGAUUAUGGAGCCAAGGAGGGAUCGUGUAGUUGUUGAAAUUACUUUCACCGAGUUCAUGGGAAGAAAGAGAUGUGAAAUUGACCUAUGAAAGAUGAGGAUUGAUGAAAAGUCCACAACCAGACAAUUCGAAGCUUGUUAGUGAAGGAAACAUGUUAAUUGUCUGUAAACCAUCUUUAGCGGCACCGAGAUUCACCUCAGACAGGAUUAGGCCUUCUAAAGAAGAAAGCCCAACAAUCCAGUCGAGAUCCUUCGUUGUCAAUCGAUUCCAUGUUAAGGAGGGAGUUACACCUCCAAGUUCUAAAUGCCGUAAACAUGAGAGAUUUCCUAGAUGGCGGGGAAUUUCACCGUCAAACACUGCAUUUGCAAGAUUUAAGUAUCUCAAAUUUUUCAACAAUCCAAGGAAUGUGGGAACUUGGAUUCCUGAAAAAUUAUUCUUGCUCAAGUCCAGGUAUCGCAAAUUGGUCAAAUUGACCAAAAAUGGACUUAAUUGGCCUCCCAAGCAAUUUUUGCAAUAAGUAAAUACAUUAUUUGAGUGUAACGGCUUCGCAUUUUGUAGAUCAAGUUUCACCACAUGACCAGUGUUUUUGUGACAACCAAUACCUUCCCAUGAACAGCAGUCCUCUCCUAUCCAAGAUGAUAGAUGAUUCGAUUCAUCUAUCAACCCAUUUCUGAAUUGAAGAAAAGCUUGUCGUUCACUCUCGAUACAGGAGACAUUUGAAUGAGUAUAAGCUUGUUUGCUGCGGCCAAACGGAAAAUGGCUGGUGACGAGAAUAGAACUGAAUAAGAACAUUACUAGUAGUAAAGACAAAGAAGUGCCAAGAAGAUGAUGCUCCAUUGGAUUGCUUUUGAUAGUGAACUAUAUGAUAAAGUAUGCUCAAAGAAGCAGCUCAUUUAUACAAGUUUAAAAGCAUCACUUUCACCGUUCUGUGUUUGAAGAAACUAUGUGAUGACCGGAAGUCUUGGUGGAAAAGUUGAGCCAGUAAAUGAUCAAGUAUUUAACUAUCUACAAUACGUGUUUGGAUUGUAAAAAAUUACACUUUAUUUAUACCUUAUUUACACACACUGAUUUGUUUGUAUCAUCAACAUAUUUUUCAAUCACCUUUUUAUCUCACAUACAUCAUAUCAAAAAAGUGUUACAGUACUUUUUCCACAAAAUUAUCUUUCAACAGCGCAAAGAAACACACGCACACAGAAUCUAAGGUAAUUCCACCAGUUUACCCAAAAGGCAAUUGCUAACUUCUGGGUAAACUCACGGACCUUAAAUCCUACACACACACACACCUCUCAUAACUGAUGUGGGAACAAGGAGUUGGGGGAAAGGGAACGCAGGAAGUUUAAGAGCCUUGACUAAGAACCCAUACUCACACUGACACUCCUCUCCUGUUUUCCUUUUUCUUUCAACAGCGCAAAUAAACACACACACACAGAAUCUAAGGUAAUUCCACCAGUUUACCUCAAUAAGAUGCAAAAGAACCUUUUUACUUUUCUUGUGAUUAAACAACCUCAAGAGGCUAGCUAACGAUCUUUUUAGGGUUUAGGGUUUAGGGUUUAGGGUUUAGGGUCACGCACACAAAAUUAUCUCAAUAAGAUGCAAAAGAACCUUUUUACUUUUCUUGUGAUUAAACAACCUCAAGAGGCUAGCUAACGAUAUUCUUUUUUAAUGGGUAUGGACCAUGGAGUUGGUGAGGCAUUAUUUGAUUGGGACCCACAAACGAUCGAAAAAAGAUUGAAUUGGAAAUAUAAUCACAGAUGGGUGAUAGGAACUGGAAAGAUAGAUUAUGGGAGUCCAAAGACUAGCAUGAAAUUAAAAAUGGAGUAGGCUAGAUAGACAAGCUAAUCUUGACUUGAGCUGAUAAGACAAUGCUUUAGUAACAAUAGUUAUGGUAACGAAAUAGUUUUUACCUAAUAUAACAUAUUGUUGCACUUUUAGCGACCAUUUAAUUAUUUAUUGGACCUAUCCACCUAAAUAGGAUAUCACCUAAAAAUAUGGAAGUAAGUUUCCCAUCUAAAAUAGUAAGUUAACAUUAAUAGAUUAGUAAUUUUUAUACCUCAAAAGGUAAAUUGGAAUAAGUAUUAAACUUACUUUUUAAAUAAAUAAAUUAUUACUUUAUAUCCCAAACUUACUUUUUAGAGAGUAAGUUUAGUUCAACUAACAAUAAGUUUUUAUACAUAAUAGUAAUUUUUACUAAUAACAUGGUAAAUUUGAUUAAUGAUCAAAACUUACUGAUUUUUGGAAUACAUGUACAAUUUUACAUUAAAAACUUAUCUCAAACUAGUAUUAGGAAGUUUAUUUGAAAUAAUGAUAAAAUGUUUUAUUAAUGAUUAAAACUUAGUACCUUAGUUAUUAAGUACUCGUAAUAUACUUGUAUAAUAAAUGAUUAUAUGUAUAAUUUAAAUUUUUUUUGUAUUUAUAUAUUUUAAAAUACUAUGAAAAGUUGUUUCAUUUUUUAGAUAACCUUGUAAAAUAUAUAAUAAAAUUUUGUCAUAUUAUAAGUUUUUAAUCAUUUUCAAUUUUUGAUUUUUGAAAAGUUUAAAAGUUUGGAUAACAAUAACAACAAAUCUUCCUAGUUAAAUAUAGAAUAUCACUUGUUUGUAUAUCACAAUUUUUAUAAUUUAACACCUAUGAAUAUAAUAAGAUGAUAAAGUUUUAAAAAAUUUACAUCUGGGACACAAGAAUUAAUAAGAGUUAAAGCCCAAACAAAAUGUGGGCUUUCGGAGGAUGUAUUGCGUGCCUUUGGGUGCAAGAUGUGGUGGAAACUGCGGUCCGGAUCUUCCCUCUGGGCCCGUUUCAUGCUUGCCAAAUACGCACCAGGUACCCGUCACAUCAUUGAGGCUCCACUGAGACCCACAAGCUCGCGAAUAUGGAGACGGCUGGUCGCCUGUCGAGACCUCAUGGAAUUGCUUCUCCGAGAGGGUACCGCGUCAUUCUAUUUUGACAACUGGUUAGAGACAGGCCCCAUCACAGAAGGGAAGGGACCCAUCCCGUUGCCUAACGUCAAAGUUGGGGACCUUUUCGAUGGAACAACAUGGCACCUAGUCCAGGUGCGCGAAGCGCUGACAGGUGACGAGCAAACUCGAAUUCUUGGAUCACAAAUUCAGCUCUCUGAGGGGCGAGACACGUGGGUCUGGACACCUACCACAGAUGGUAGGUUCGGGGUGCACUCGGCUCUGAAAAUGCUUCGAACGCCUUCCAACAAUUUGAUCUCGCGAAAAUUAAUCUGGGAUCGACGUAUCCCCCUCAAGGUCUCGGUCUUCAUGUGGAGACUCCUCAACGGCUGGCUUCCCUUUCCGGAUAAACUACAGCAAUUUGGCCUUCAUCUGCCUUCCAAAUGCUCCUUUUGCUUAAAUUCAGAGACCCUACAACACUGUUUUGUCCACUGUCGCACCGCUAAACAGGUUUGGGAUCAUUUUGAGUGCGCACUAGGACUCAGGAGUGUGGCGGACUCACUUCUGGAAAAGUUGCAAGGGUGGUGGAUCCAUGCUUCGGGGACCUCACUGAGGGCAGUCCUAUCCCAUCUCCUACCAAUCCUGAUUUGUUGGGAACUCUGGAAGGCCAGGAAUCAGGCGAUUUUCAACAGUAUAACAGUACGGCCGACCCAUAUUUGCCGCCAAGUUGUCUGCCUCCUCAGCGGUAUUAGAGAGGCCCACCCCCUGGCCUUGCCAAAUUCGGAGAACGAUGCCUGGAGCCGGUUGGGGUUACUUCCGUCUCCUGUACGGCCGCCGCCGCUAAAAUGGAUUUCCUUGGUUUGGUCCUUACCCUCAUUCCCCUACAGCAAAUUGAAUGUUGACGGAUCAUCUCUUGGAAACCCUGGGCACUCGGGUGGGGGUGGCAUAGUCAGAGAUCAUCAUGGCCAGGUACAGGGCAUAUUCUCCACCUACUACGGUUACUGCACGAAUAUGGAAGCGGAAACCAGGGCCCUCCUGGAAGGACUCCAAUUUUGCCUCUCCCUCGGCCUGGUUAGAGUGAUUGUGCACAUGGAUGCGGAACAGCUUCUUAAGGUGGUGCUGCGAGGUGCCUCUACGCCUUGGAAGCUAGAUACUCCCAUUUGCCGUAUACACCACCUAUUGGCCCAAGCGGAUUUCAUACUAGAGCACAGCUACAGGGAGACAAACUCAGUAGCAGAUGCACUUGCUAAGCGGGCAGCAACCACACGCCAGUCGGAGACCUACGGUUCCGCCACCCUCCCAACGCACGUUCGGGGGCUCACCAAGUUGGAUGCAUGCCAAUACCCUUAUCUUCGUCGGGUGCCCAGAGUUAGCCGCCUAGUCUGCUAGGAUAAGAAUCGUGCAAACACAUGUGUAAGCGCAAGCGCCUUUCAUGUACUUCUACCGCUUUACAUCAAUAAAACCAGGGGUUUAAAAAAAAAAAACCCCAAACAAAAUGAGAAAUAGUAUAACAAUAAAAAUGACAAAAUUAGUAUAACAGUUAAUAUAAGAAAAUCAGUAUGAUCUGGAUUUUUUUCCUUGGGAGAUUGUUCAUAAAAAAAAAGAUCCAACAAUUAAAUGAAAAUCACUUGCACAUAUAAUCUAUUGUAUAAUUUAAAUUAAAUUUAGUUCACGUAUAAAAUGGUUCUAAAAUAAUUAGCGCACUAUAAUAUUAAUCCGUUUCAAUUAACUAUUUUUAGAAGUGUUUUUGAAAAAUUUUACUGUAGCAGUGUAUAUGAAAAACUUUUACUAUAAAAAUUUUUUGAAAAUUUUGAUAUGUUGUAUGGAUAAGAUGUUUUUUGAGUUAUUGUAUAUUACCAUAACAUUGUAUUUGAAAAAAUUGUUUUUAAAAAAAUAGCCAAUCCAAAUGGAACAACAAAAAAUUUUUUUACUCAAAGUCUCAAAUAUCCAUGACAUACAUAUGAAGGAUAUUUUACCAUAUUUGUAUCUAACUGUAAGCACAAAUUUCGUUGCUGAAAAUAAAAGGACAUGAAAACUUGCACAAAUAUCAAAUUUAUUAAAUCAAAUAAUAAGAGAGUUACAAUCUCUAAAAAUUCUUUUUCUUUUGAUAAUUACAAUCUCUAAAAAUUCUUAAAUCAGAGAAAUUAAUCCCCUAAUUCUUUUCUUCAAAAGCACUCCUAAUUAAAGCAUAAUAAAAUCAAGUUUUUUUUAACUUUUUAAUGCAGUAGUUAUGUUUACUAAAAAAUUAGUAAACCAUUCCUACAAUGCAUUGUUUCUACUAAAAGUACUAAUAUUUUGUAAAUAAAUUGAAAUAAUUUUGUAAAACAUUUUAUGCAUUUUCACUAAUAUAAUCAAGAGAAUUUUGCACUUUUAAAAUAUAAAUAGGAAGAAAAGAAAAUGGUAUGAGUAUAAAGGUGACCAAAUGCAAUAUACAUCACAUCAUGUGUUUAGAUAUAAUUUGUUAAGUAAUCAGUAAUUUAGUCCUGGUCAAUAUAUGAUGCAUAUUGAUUCCUUGUAAAUAAAAUUAUAAAUUAGCAAUUAUUCAUUAACAGAAUUCAUAGUUUGAAUGCAAUCAAUUGAGCACCUAUUUCCUUUUUUUAAGUAGCUAUUGUUUAUUUUAUUACUUAGGUUAUAUAUUUACAUGUAAAAUAACAACAAUAGCAUGCCAAUCCUCGGACCAACAGAACUUCAAUUAUUGUUAACUAAACUAAUUUUACAUUGAUAAAAAUUAGUCUAGAAAAUGAAAUGUUAAUGGCAACAAUUUGUAAAAAAUAGCAAUCUUUUAAUUUUGGGAAAACAAAAAAUAAGUUCCCAGAAUAUUUCACUUUUAUUUUUAAAAAAAUCUCAACUUGUUAAUUAAAUUCAAAAUGAUUUUAUUAUACAAAAUAUUCUUCCUCAAAUUAACAUCAAUGAUUAGACAUGAGAUACAAAUAUGGGGAAAAAAAGAUAUAAAAAUAUGGUAAAAUAUCUCUCAUACAUAUGUCAUGGAUAUUGGAGACUUUUGGCAAAAAAAAAAUUUUUUUGUUAAAAGUAAUAUGGUAUUGUAGUGUGCUAAUUAUUUUAGGAUCAUUUUGUACAUGAACUAAAUUUAAUUUAAAUUAUACAAUAGAUUAUAUAUGCAUAUGAUUUUUGUUUAGUGGUUGGAUCUUAUAUUCGUGAACAAUCUCCAGAGAAAAAAACUCCAGAUUAUACUAAUUUUGUUAUACUAAUUCUGUUAUUUUUAUUGUUGUGUUAAUUGUUACACUAUUUCUCUCAUUUUGUUAGGUCUAUAUUAAUACAAGUUUAAUUCUUAUUAUUUCUUGUGUCCCAGACAAUAAAUAUAUUAAAACUUUGUCAUCUUAUUAUAUUAAUAGGUUUUAAAUUAUAGAAAAUUCAUAGAUAAGUGAUAUUCCAUAUAUAACUAGGAAGAUGUGUUGUUAUUAUUAUCCAAACUUUUAAACUUUUCAAAAAUUAUUCAAAAUUAUAAUACGGCAAAAUUUUAUUAUUUUAUAAGGUUAUGUGAAAGGUCCAAAUAUUUUUCAUACUAUUUUAAAAUAUAUAAAUACAAAAAAAAUUAAAUUAUACAUAUAAUCAUGUAUUAUACAAGUAUAUUACGAGUACUUACUAACUAAGGUACUAAGAUUUAAUCAUUAAUAAAACAUUUUAUUGUUAUUUCAAAUAAACUUCCUAGUAUUGGUUUGUUAUAAGUUUUUUAAGCCAAAUAGUACAUUUGUGCCAUAAAUUAGUAAGUUUUGGUUAUUAAUCAAAUUUAAUAUGUUAUAAGUAAGAAUUACUAUUUAUGUAUAAAAACUUACUAUUACUUGAACUAAACUUACUCUCUCAAAAGUAUGUUUGGGAUAUAAAAUAGUAAGUUUUAUAUUUAUUCCAAUUUACCUUUUGAGACACAAAAGUUACUAAUUAUUACGGUUAACUUACUAUUUUGGAUGAGAAACUUACUUCCUUAUUUUCAGGCAUUAUCCUAUUUAGGUGGAUAGGUCCAACAGGUAAUCAAAUGGUUACUAAAAGUAUAAUACCCUGUUAUAUCAGGUAAAAACUAUUUAGUUACCAUAACGAUAGUUACUACAACAUUUUCCUAUCUUUAAGAGUCUAGUCAUUCAAUCUGCUGAUAUAGAUUUAGAUGAAAUGAAAUUUAAAUAAGAAGACUAGUAAACAAACAUGAUUAAUUUGCGUAGAAAACUUGACAGUCUGUUGCGUCCGACGACUGCAAGUCCACUGGCCAAUGGAAGUCCCGAUCCGCCGUGGAAAAUCAAGAUAUUCUUCUGGAAAAAAAUCUCCUUGGAGAUUUAUUCUGCACUCAACUAAUGGAAAUGUUCAUUCCUCAGCAGCUGGUUGUAAAAUUCAUUUGCUGAUUCACAUUAUCACACGAAUUCAACGCUGUCAUUUGUAAUUUAAAUUAAUUACGAUUAAUCUUUUAUAAACUGAUAAUAUAGAGGAUAAUGGAGUUUAAUGAUUGUUGCAUUUGCAAAACUUAGAUUUUAAAUUCAAAUUCUUAUCGGUUAUCAUGCAUCCAAUCUUGAUAGUAUCCAUUAAUAAUGUGCAAAAGAUUCUUUACUAUAAAAAUGCUUGACAAAAAAUCACAAAACCAAUUGAAAAAUAUAGUUAUUCACUAUAUUUUUAAUUUUUAACUAUUUCAAUACCAUGAAUGACAAAUCAAUUAAUUUGGAAGGGAAAAAAAAGUUUUGCAAGUAGUUCAUUUAGUAGUUUAACUUUUUUUUUUAAUCUAAAGUAUCCUUAAUCUCCAAUCUUUGAUUUCAUCCAUUUAGCCCUUUUAUUUUUUUCUCUUACCAAAGCUGCUCUUGUCUUACUUCCUUCAGUGGCAUUAAAGGGCGUGAACAAAAUUUUAACUGUUCUUGUUAAAACAGAAACUGACCUUUACUUUCUUCCAAUUUAUGUUUAUUUGUUAGAUAUGUUUACUCUUUUCCCUUUUUUUCUAACUUUCUUAAACACUCCCUCCCCCCCCCCCACCCAACACCCCUCCCCACCAAAACAACUUCUACUGUUUCAUUUUUUUUAUGUAUAUAAGUGCUAGCUUUUCUGUUUCGUGGAUUAUAUUGUUAAUUUCCCUCAUCAGACAGUCAACCAACCUUGGAUGAAUGAUAAGUAAUGUAAAUUUUAAUUUAAAAUUUAAAUUUUUAUUAUAUAUCAUGCAUCCAACGACGAUGAUAUAUACACUAUCAAUUUUACUCUUAACGAUUUAAUUGACUAUGAUAUGGUAAAAGGCAUUUGCUUAAGAUGUACAAAGCAACAGUGGUAAGCUAUGAUUAAACAAAGCUGAAGGGGCUAAUUAACGAUAUUGCUAAUCUUGACUUCAACGGGAAUGGAUUAUGGUGACUUCAACUUUGUAUGGAUGGGAAUGAUAGAAUUUAUCCAAUGGGAUUCUGAAAAAUAGGACGAAACUAAUCAGAAUUUGAGACGAGGGGCUUAUAAUUGCAAUGACAAGUUAAUUCUGAUUUAUGAAUUAAUUGGACAUUUAUGCUGUAGGUUUUCCCCGUUGGAAAGAGACUUGUAACAGGAAGGCGACAAGUAUCGCAUUGGCAAUCAUAAUAUUGAUGACUUAUUUACUGAUUUACGUUGCUACAUAAAUAAGUUUUGAUCCUCUCUUUUGCAGUUUAAUUAACAUGGGAGUUCCCUGCAAGAAAUCACCAAAUAAAUUGAAUAUUUUACGGAUUUUCUAAGCUCUAUUUUUUUUUUUUUAAUUAAGAAUGGAGUUACACCUCCAAGUUCUAAAUGCUGUAAACAUGAGAGAUUUCCUGGAUGGCCUAGAAUUUCACCAUCAAACACUGCAUUUGCGAGAUUUAAGUAUCUCAAGUUUUUCAACAAUCCAAGGAACGUGGGAACUUGGAUUCCUGAAAAAUUAUUCCAGCUUCAAUUCAGGUGUCGCAAAUUGGUUAAAUUGACCAAAAAUGGACUUAAUUGGCCUCCCAAGCAAUUUUUGCAGUAAAUAAAUAUAUCAUUUGAACGUAACGGGCUCGCAUUGUGUAGAUCAAGUUUCACCAGACGGUCAGUGGUUUGAUGGUAACCAAUGCCUUCCCAUGAACAACAGUUCUCUCCUAUCCAAGAUGACAGACGAUUUGAUCUGAAUUGAAGAAGAGCUUGUCGUUCACUCUCAAUACAAGAGAAAUUUGAAUAAUUAUAAGCUUGUUUGCUGCUCCCAAACGAGAACUGGCUGGUGACAAGAAUAGAACUGAAUAACAACAGUAUUAGCACAGACGAAGGAGUACAAAGAAGAUGAUGCUCCAUUGGAUUUCUUUUGAUAUUGGUUUAUUUGACAAAGUAUGGUUAGAUUAGCGGUUUCAUUUAUACACCUUUAAAAGCAUCAUUUCACCAUUCUGCGUUUGAAGAACUACAUGAAAGUGAUAAAAUGCCGACGACCGGAAAGUCUUCAUGGAAAAGUCGAGCCAGUGAAGAUUAAGUGUUUAACUGACUACGAUACAGGAAUUAAGAUGCAAAAUUAACAAUAUUCUUCUACUUUUCUUAUCUUCAGCUCUUUUAAUAGUUGGCGAGGCAUUUGCAUUUUAAUCUAAGCUCAUUCUGACGGCUUAAUCCGGUGCAUUAUUUGAUUGGGACCCAUAAACGAUCCAAAAGGGAUUGAAUUGGAAAUAUACUCACAGAUUGGUGAUAUGAACUGGAAAAAAUAGAUAAUGGGAUUCCGAAGACUAGCAUGAAAUCAAUAAUUUGAGGUGAGUAGCUUUUGUUUUACAAGUUAAUUCUGGUUUAUGUUUGCAUUCGCAUAUUCGUUUCCGAUUUGUCAUCGAACGCGCAACAAAAUACACUAUGCUUAGGAGAAAAAAUGAUAAAGGGUUAUUGGAAGACAGAAUUAACUCUGACAAAAAAAAUUUUUCUAACGUGGUGGUUAGAUAGGCAAGCUAAUAAUUUCUUGACUUAAGCUGAUAAUAUCUUGAUUCUGGUCAUUCAAUCUGCCGAUCUAGAUUAAGAUGAUGACGCGACAUUUAGUCGUGCAGAAACUUGACAACGUGUUGUGUGCGACAACUGCAAGUCCACUAUGAUGGCAUAUUAAAUCAAGGUUCAAAAAUAAAAAUUUUCGUAUUAUUAUUUAGCAAUAUUUUACGUUAAGGUUUUAGCAAUUCUAUUUGAUUUAAAUUAUAGUAGUUUUAUUAUUUAGAAAUUAGUAUUUUAUUAGAAAAUUUCUUGUGAUUGUAAGACUUGUUUACCAAAUUACCUAGUCUAGUCUUAUUAUUAUUACUAUUAGUUGAGAAGAAUGAAAUUUGAGAACCAUAUUAUUAUGUGUAAUUAAUAAUAAAUUAUUGAUUUAUUCCUCUUCCCCUAUGCAUAUUUGUGUGUGUGAAAUUUGCCUCCCCAUCUACAUUGGUUCUAUGAAAUUUGUCACCUAUAACUUUCCAUUGGAAUUUUUUCGGGUCCUACGCACUGGACAAUGACCCGCCGUGGAAAAUCAAGAUAUUCUUUGUGGAGACAUAUUCUGCAUUCAACUAAUGGAAAUGUUCAUUUCUUAGCAGCAGCUGGUCGUAAAAUUGAUUUGCUGAUUCACGUUAUCCUACAACUUCAACCCUCCCGUUUGCAAUUUCAAUUAGGAUUAAUCUUUUGUACCAUAAUAGUGUAUAUGUUAACGGGAGUUUGAUGCAUACUAUAUAUGCAAAAUAUUUAUAUUUCGAACUCAAAUUCAUAUCAAUGGUCAUGUAUCCGACCUUGAUGGUAUGUAUCGUCAGUAUAUAGAAAAAUAAAUUAAUGUAAGAAUAUUUGACGGAAAAUCAGCAAACCAAUUGAAAAUUUCACAAAUGGAAAAGAUGACACUUUAUACCUCUAACUUAUGGGGUUACACCAUUUUUGCCUUUAAAGUUUUAUGAAAAUACAUUUAGUCCCAAUAAUUUUAAUUUUUAACUAUUUCAAUACUAUUAACGACAAAUCAUUUAACCUGGAAGGACAAAAAAAUUUUGCAAGUAGUUCAUUUAGUCCUUUAAAUGAACCCCUUUUUUUUCUAAAGCAUCUUUAAUCUCCAAUCUUUUAUUUUAUUCAUGUAGACCUUUUAUUUUUAAUUCUUAGGCUUGGAUGGUUUAAGGAUUGCAGCAAAUAAUAUGCAUCAGUAAAAUUCUUUUAUUUAAUAUAAAUGCUAGAUUUUCUGUUAGUGGUUUAUAUUGUUAAUUUCCCUCGUCAGUCUAGCAAGCAAAUGGUUUAACUAUUUAAUUGACUGCGAUAUAGCAACUGGUAUCUGCUUAAGAUGUAAUGAUUAAACAAAAGUUUGUACAGACUUUGAUUUUUCUUUUUUUAUGUACUUGUUCCUUAUUAAAAUUUGAUCAUUCAAAAGUUUACAUCGUUGAAUAAGAUAUUUGAGCAUUCAGAAAGCAUUUAUACAUAAAGUGAGUUACAUGUAGUGUGGCAAACACCUUAAUUGGAUGACCUCUAUUAGUUUCUCCCAAAGGAGAUGUAUCAUGUAUGUAUGAAACUCCUUUUUCUUUUUUGACUUUUUCCAGCUAAUCCAAAUUUCUCUCUCCAAUGAAGACGUUCUUUGACAUUAAUGUGACAUCAAAAAGUGUUGCCUUCAAGAAAAAAGAAUAGAUCAAAAUUCCAUGUGACGUUAAAUUCAAAAUUCCAUGUAUGAUUGAUGUACAAAAUUCCAAACGAUGGAUUAAUUGUAUACACGUAGUCUGGAAAAUGUUUCCAAUUGGAUGGAGAUUCUCUGCAAUUGCAUCAUACAAUUCAUUUAAUUCAACGAAAUUAAUUAUAAGACUUUGAAAAGUUUACGAGUAAAUGGACACCGUUUUGAUGGAUGCAUGCAUAGCUUCAAAAAUUGACUUCAGCUGAUGUUAUCUUGUCAUCCAAUCUGCAUCUCAAAUUUAUAUGUGGAGGUGUGGUGAAAAUUAAACAAGAAGAACAUAAUUGUACUAGUUCUUAACCAUCACCUUCAGCGGGAGUACAAAUAAUCUGUUGAAAGAUUCUGUAAAUUUCAAAAUUACUUUUGGUAAUUAUAAAAUUAAAGUAAAGAUUUUGUUUUUGAAGAUGCAAAAGAAUUUAGUUUGAAGAUCUAAAAAAUUGUAGUAAACAUUUUGUGCAAUAAAUUUGUAGAAAUAUUGACGGAUAUUGAUGAUUCAUAAACACAAUUUGCAUACAUAGAAUGGCUCAUAUACAAUUCAUUAAAAGUUGCUGUAACUAAGAAAGUGAAAAAAGGAAGAUAAUUAAUUGUUGAAAAAAUGAAUGGAAAAGUAGGAUAUAGAUAAGGAAUUAAUGAAUUACAAGAAAAAAAAAAUUGUCUAAAUUUUAGAAUUAGUAGCUGCUAACAUAUAAUAAUAACAAUAUAAAACAUGAUUGCAAAGAGAUACAUACAUACACUCAUCUAUCCAGAGUUCAACUGUGUAGCGAGGAAUACACUGCUCUAUCGGAGCAUCUGGAUGACAACAACAUCAUCAAUAUCAACUGUGUAGCGAAUCUAUUACGAAUUCAUUUUCCAAAGACUAACUUUUCUGACAUAUUCUGGUUUCAAUGAUGACGAAACUACAAAUACAAAUUAUUGUUUUGGAUUCCACAGACUACAAAAUCGUUCACACAGGGUUGGUGGCUGAUGCUAUUCUUGUUUCAAUAAUGAUGAAACCCGCGGCUCUCUCUAGCACCAGUUUAUAAUCUCAAGUCAAACACUGAAUUGGAAACGUAAUGAAGAUGAACUUUGGGUUUGGUUUGUGAUUUGACCCAACAAUUAGAAAUUAUUACUAUGUAAUAGUAAUGCUAGUGGCAGAAAGAAAGUGGUUCAAAUCCUCUAUCCAAGUUGUCUUUCUACCUCUCUGUUUAAGAUCAGUGUUUUCAGCAUUUUGAAAGGCGUAUUUGGAGCAAGUUUCAGGGCAAGACAUUCUCGAAUUACUCCUGGACAGUUAAACGGGGCGUUAAUAUCAUGGGACACUCGCCCGAAGAAUCGAGGCAAACGCCUGAACGUUUGGGAGAGUUUUUUUUUUUUUUUGAGGCGUAAAAAAUAUAUACAUUUAAAAUCCCAGUACUUUUUUCCUUUUUUUAAAGUUCCAGAAAAACAUCCAAACUGGAUUUUUCCUUCACUUGCCUAAAGAGGUUGAAACCCUCAAACUGAACUUGCGAUUUGUAAGAACUUUUCUUAUAUUAGCCUACAAAUUUAAGUUGGCAAACAUGGAUGUUGGUUUGGAAUUUAAUGAUACAAAGGAGUUGAAAUUUCAAAACUUUGUGCCUCACAUCGAGGAUACUCUGAAAAAAUAGGAGAAAGACACUUGUUUUGAUAGUCAAAACUCACAAGUGUCACAUGCUAGUGCCCUAGAAAAGAGUUUUCACAACUAUAAUCAUUAGUUUGCAAGAUGACAACAAGUUUUUUAUACGAAUAAUCAUCGAAGUUUACAGUGGUUUGUUGGGUUUCUGUUCAUGGGGUGGCAUUAGUUACACAAGUAGGUUUUACUUUAGUCACAUAAGGUUAUAAUUUUUCUUUAUCUUUUUGGGUAUUUUUAAUAUUAUACAUACACACAAGUAGGUAUAUAUAUGUAUGUGUGUGUGUAUGUGUGUAUUUUUAUAUUUUUAAAAUAUUUAAAAAUAAAAAUUUGUGAGGCUUAUAUGCCUCACUAGAACUUUCACCCCAUUUGGACGGACGGACACAGAAUGUCCUGCCCAAGGUUUUCGCCUUUGAAAACUAACGCUAUGUUUGGAUUGCCGGUUUUCGUCGAAAAAUUAUGUCGUUUUUCGUGGUCACAUUUUUCUAUUACCUUUUUCCCUCACAUACAUCAAAUCGCUACAGUAAUUUUUCCAUGAAAAAUCACGGAAAAUGCAAUCCAAACACAACCUAAACUUUGCACAAAGGCAUAGCAAUCGUUCCUUCCUCCACAAUGCACUUUAACUCAAUCCUUGCCAACUACCGAACAUCAUCAUCACCUUCUCCACCAAUCUUAGCUAGUCCCCAUCCCUCCAACAAAUCCCACCCCGAACCUCGCUGACCCAGUUGUCACCACCCUUUCUUUCUUUAGUUAUGCCCAGUCCAUGAUUCUUUAUAUCUACUUUGCUUCCUCCUUGUUUCUCCAUCUUUCUCCUGCUCUUUCUCACUCAGAGGACACACAAACAUAUCUGCAAAGUAUAUCUGCCAGAUAUUUCAACUUUCAACCAACCACCGACAGUUUGUGGGAGUAUUUUAUUGCUAUGAGCCAAAUCGACUUCCCCAUCCCAUAUAUAUAUAUAUAUAUUUUUUUUUUGGGACAAAUCUCUUUGAUGUAAGAUCAUCGAUUUAAUUUUAAUUCCUUUAAUUUAAAAAUGCAUUCCAAAAUAAUACUAAUUAAAGUGGGCUACUUACCCCAAAAAAAAUAUAUUAAAGUGGGCUUCUGGAGGACAAAGAAGAUAAGGAAAAAAAAAAAAGGAAGAAUUCUUAGGCCUGAUGAUGAAGAGGAAGAGAUGAGAGUGGUAGGUUGUUGAAGCACAGCGAUAGUCGUAACACGGCAUCCUUGAAGAUUAGACAGAGAGUUAAAACAAAAUUGAUUUAAAUUUUUUUUUAUCAGACACGAUAAAUCCUAUUCUAUAUUGAAUGAGAGGGAUAAAUCUAAAGAAUUCCAUAAAAAAUCCGAGGAAAAAGUUGAGAGAAAAAUGCAAGUCAUGGAAUUUGAUGCAAAUUAAUUGGUUCAAAAUUGAUUUAAUUAGGCAAAGACAAUUUUUUUUGGCAUCUUCGACAGAGAGCAGCAGCUGGCAGAAUGUAGUGUUUCACGGAAUUAAUGUUCCAAGGACCAUUUUUGGCAUCACGACAAAGAGCAGCUGCCAGAAUUUAGUGUUUCAGGGGAUGUUUAUGGGCGUUCGUUCAGAGAUUAUAAAGUUUUGAGUGACUGAUUCAGAUUGUGAUUCAUAUUCAUAUUCAUGGAGGGGACAGCUAUAAAGCUAUGAAGUCAGUUUUCAUGCAUAGGUACGUACGUGCGUGGCAGCUAAUUCCAUUAUUGUCUAGGGAGGGGCCUGAGUAUUCCAUCACACGCUGAUUCAGCAAAACGACAGGGCGCGAAAUAUUAACCAGGUGAUUUUCGACAAUCGACACCCCCUUCUCUUCUCCCGAUUAAUCCACUCUCCGUCUCAGUGCUGUUUGCUACCACUUUGUAGUGUUUUGUGGGUUUCUCGUGCCGAAAAGUGAAAACCUGAGAACUAGAACGUCCUGGUUUCUUUUCGUUUGGAUUAGCUGUUUUUUAGAAUAUUUUUAAAAAAUUUAUUGUAUCAGAGUUUUUAUAAUAUAUUUUGAAAUAUUUUUAAAAAAUAUUUUAAAAUAUUCAACAGUAUAAAAAUUUUUAGAAUAUAUUUUGAGAUAUUUUUUAAAUAUUAAACAAAAAUUAGAUUACUUUUUAGAAUACCUUUUAGAAUACUUUUUAAAAAUUUUAUAAUAUUUAAAAAAACUAGUUUUUGAAAACAGGUACAUUUUGUUAACUACUAUGUACGUUGAUUAAUAAUUAUUAACUUAUGGAUGACAAGUUCUUGAGGGAUCCACUAUCAGAACUUACUCUUGUUCAGGCAGUUAAGAUAUCCUCUAGUUCACAAGUCCGUACCAAAUUUCAGGCUCUUACCCAAAAACCACCGUUCUUCCGCCGUAAUCAACACCUCAAAAAAGUUUCAGCAAUUGUUUGGAAAGCCAUUUUCCCUCAAAAAUUUUUUACGCUUUUCGUGAUCAUAUUUCUUAAUCAUUUUUUUAUUUUAUAUAUGUCAAAUCGUUACGGUACAUUUUCUUUUACAAAAACUCCAGAAAAUAGCAAUCCAAACAGUAACCGUUAAUGUCCGUUGAACUCCAUUGUUUGUGGAUGCGGCUACUUCCUCCUUUACUCGCCCAAAUGUGGCGCGGGUAUGUGUUGAAGUGGAUUUGUUGAAGUCAUUCCCGUCAAGGGUAUGGGUUGAUAUGGGGGAUGGGAAUGGUUUCUGGCAGGCUCUCAUCCCUGAGAAGCUGCCCAGCUAUUGCGGUCAUUGCUAUCGGCAAGGGCAUGAAGAGGGCCUGUGUCAUGUGAAGCAUCCAGAGCUGCGUCCUUCCAAAGCGCAGCUUAAGCCAAAAACGUUUGCGGUGUCGGAGGUGUUGGGGACGGAGGGUCGGCUGUCAUCUCCUCGCAAGGGGCACAGUCGGGAUGGUGUGGUUGUUGUUGGGGUAGAGGGAGAUGCCGUGCAGCCUGAGGUUGGGGGGCAAGGUCUGGAGGGUGCUGGUCUUGAUACGGUGAUGCUGCAGAGUGUUGCUGCUACUGAAUGUCUGGAGGUGGAGCGCUCGGAUGCGUCGCGGCCUGCUGAGGUUGGGACGCUACCAGGAGAAGUGCGGGAUGGUGAUGGUUUUCUUCAGCAGUAUGGUCUGUCUGCUGCGGCGCUGGUGGAGGGGGUAGUUGAGGCGGCUGCGGAUUCUAUCAUUCACACGCUGGCAGACCAAGUGAUUCAGGAACCUGAGGAGGUGUUUGAGGAGGCGGACACGGCAGCUUUGGGCUGUGAGAAUGGGGGUCUAGCGGCUCCAAUUCUGGUGGACCAGGUUUGGGUGGAGGUGGGGGAUCAACAGGGAGCUAUGGUCGCGAAUCUCAACUUGUCUCCUCGUAAGGCCAGUGUGGAAACGGGUUCGGCCUUGGGGGUUUCGCAGCAGGGGUUGGAGGGGUUGAGGGAUUCUGGAAACUGGCAUAUGGUAGUGAGUCGUCGUGACAGGAAGAAGGGUGGUUCGCCCCCUCCUUAUUUUCUAAGACCGCAGUCAUGAUUAAAGCCCUCUUCUGGAAUGUUAGGGGCGUGGAUAAUGCCCUUACCAUAGCUCGGUUGAGGAAGUUGAAGCAGAUGCAUAAGAUCUCUUUGUUAGCUUUGUGCGAACCGAAGGUGGGUCGCGUGCGUCUUGAUAUUAUUCGUCAAAAGUUAGGUUUCCCCAAGGCUGUCUCUAAUGCAGAGAGUAGGUUGUGGGUGAUGUUUGACCAUGAUUUCAGUUGCGACUUGUUGGCUGCCUCGUCUCAGUUUUUGGAGCUGCGGGUGACUCACUCCGCCUUACGGAGUUCCUUUGUUGCGGUUUUUGUUCAUGCCUCGUGUGUUACCCAAGAGCGUGAGGUGCUCUGGCAUCAGUUGGUGGGGGUCUGCCCACCAGGGGGACCGGUGAUAGUUCUAGGAGAUUUCAAUGUUAUUACUGGUGCCAAUGAAAAGAAAGGGGGGCGUCCUUUUUGUGCGAGGGAGUCGGACUCCUUCCUAGGCUUUAUUGAGGAUGCUGAUUUGGCAGACUUGGGGUUCACUGGAUCCCAGUUUACGUGGUGUAACAAUCGUUGGGGCAAAGCCAGGGUUUGGAAGCGCUUAGACAGGGUUUUCGUUAACCAGGAGUGGUUGAACCUAGCGGUCACCACGUCGGUUGCCCAUUUGAGUAGGGUUGCUUCAGAUCACUCUCCUUUGUUAGUCUCUUGCUCAAUGGCGAGGGGUGGGGUCCCUACCAGUUUUCGAUUCCUUGAUGUUUGGAGGUCGCAUCCUGAGUUCCAGAGUGUGGUUAGGCAGGCAUGGGAGGGGCAGGGUGAGGGGCGGCCGAUUAAAGUCCUACUCAGGAAGCUAAAAGCGGUAAAGCAGGCAUUGCGCAGAUGGAAUAAAGAGGUUUUUGGGAAUAUAUUUGAUUGUGUGAGGGAGCAUGAGGCUAAGGUCUCGGCUCUGGAAUGCUCUUUAGAGGAGGGUCCAUCGGAGGAAGGGCUAUAUCAGCUGGUACAGGCUCAGGGUGAACUCAAGCAAUCGUUGCUUACGGAGGCGGGCUUUUGGCGUCAGAAGGCAUGCUUGCGGUGGCUUCGGGAGGGGGAUGCCAAUUCUAAUUUUUUCCAUGCACAGGUGAAGCAGCGGAGGGCUCGCUCGUUUAUACAUCGGGUGAAAGAUGGUGACGGGGUUUGGACGGAGGAGGCCGGCCGGAUUGAGGAUUUGGCGGUUGCUUUCUUUGAGGGCAUUCUGUCACAGCCUGACCGGGGGCAGGUGGACCCCUCUCUACUAAGGGUGAUCCCGUCGAUUAUUACUGAACAGGAUAAUGCGAGUCUCCAACGGUUCCCCACAGAGGAGGAAAUCAGGUCAGUCGUUUUCCAGCUGGAUGGUGAGAGUAGUUCGGGUCCAGAUGGCUUCAAGGGGACUUUUUUCACGACUUGUUGGGAGAUAGUGAAGGUGGAUAUUGUCAGGGCGGUUGGUGAUUUUUUUGCAGGAGCGGAGCUAUCCUGGGGCUAUACGUCUACAUGGUUGGCUUUGAUUCCCAAGGUUCCCGGGGCUUCCUCUUUCUCAGAGUUUCGCCCGAUUAGCUUGUGCAAUUUUAUCAAUAAAAUCAUUUCCAAGCUGUUAGCGAGGCGCUUGGAAAGCGUGCUGCCAAAGAUAAUUUCGCCGCAACAGAGUGGCUUUGUAAAGGGUCGGCAAAUCUCGGAUAAUAUUUUGCUGGCCUUAGAGAUGUGCUCGGCGUUAGGGAAGAAGGUGCGGGGAUCUAAUGUUGCUCUCAAACUAGACAUGGCCAAGGCGUAUGAUCGGGUAUCUUGGAAUUUCCUCAUCCAAGUUAUGAGACGGUUUGGAUUUGGGGAGCAAUGGCUUGACAUGGUUUGGAGGCUGAUCUCGUCGUGUCAUUUUUCGGUUUUGGUUAAUGGGAAGCCUUGCGGAUUCUUCCAAUCCUCUCGUGGGUUGCGUCAAGGGGACCCUUUAUCCCCGGCCCUAUUUAUUAUUGCAGCGGAGGUUUUGUCUAGGCGCUUGAAUGAGCUACCUCAAGACUCGAGGUUUGUCCCAUUCUUGGUGUCGCGGGACUCUCCGCCGCUGACACAUCUGGCCUAUGCUGAUGACGUCAUCGUUUUCUGCAAUGGUGGAAAGCGGUCCUUGGAGUGUGUCAGGGAGGUGCUACAGGGUUAUCAGGAGGUGUCAGGGCAGCUGGUGAACGUGGCGAAGAGCUGUUUUUUGGUUGGCAAGAAGACUUCGGUGGCUCGCAGGAAGAUAAUUGCUCACGUCACUGGUUUCUGUCCUAGAUCUUUACCGGUCACGUACUUGGGAUGCCCGUUGUUUGAGGGGAGACGAGUGAAAGCCUUAUUUUCUGACUUGCUGACUAAAGUUUCCCAACGGAUUGCCUCCUGGCAUGGUCGGUGGUUAUCUAUGAGUGCUCGGGCCCUAUUGAUUAAGCAUGUAUUGUCGUCCAUGCCUAUUCAUCUUCUUGCGGUGAUAGAGCCCCCAAAGGGGUGGAUUUCUGAUCUGGAGCAGGUUUUGGCGAGGUUCUUUUGGGGUGAGACGGAGUUUGGAGCGAAGCGGCACUGGUCGAAGUGGGAGAAUUUAUGUUUUCCGGUGGAGGAAGGAGGGGUUGGUUUUCGGUCUCUUCAGGCGAUUGUGGAGGCUUUCUCCUGUAAGCUUUGGUGGAUGUUUAGACAUGGGCAAUCUCUCUGGGCGCGGUUCAUGAGGGCUAGAUAUUUCGGGCCUCUGCAUCCAAAUCAAGGUCCGUUUCCUGUCCAAUUGUCUGCUACGUGUAAACGUAUGCUUAGCGCCCGUACAACCAUGGAGCAUUGGUUGUUGUGGGAUCUCUCGAGAGGGGAGGUGGUUUUCUGGUGGGAUAACUGGAGUGGGCUAGGCCCAUUGGCGUGGAGGUUUCCUGAGGAGGCGUCGGAUGCAAGGGCUACGGCUUUUUUACGAGAAGGGAGAUGGGAUUAUUCGGCUUUGGCAUCGAUGCCCGCAGUGAUUAGGGACGCUGCCCAGGGAUCCUUUUUCUGUUUUGGGUUGGAUCCAGAUACCCUAGUCUGGUUACGGGAUCCUUCGGGAGUUUUCUCGAUUAGGUCGGCAUAUCAACUUGUUCGCCCGGCUAGGGCUCGCUCCUGGGUUUUCUCUUUCUUUUGGCAUUCCUUCAUCCCGCGUAAAUUGUCUUUCUUUAUGUGGCGUUUAGUGAACGGCCAGUUGCCGAUGGAUGACGUGCUCGAAAAGUUCCAAAUUCAUGGUCCUUCUAAAUGUCACUGCUGUGUGCUUGGCCAGUUAGAGACGAUGGAACAUGUUUUCUUAACAGGGCAGCUAGCCUCUGCGACAUGGGCGUUUUUUGAGCAUUCGCUUGGAUUAUCGACAUCGGCUGCCACGGUUCGUUCCCGGUGCGCCACUUGGUGGUUAGUCCCCGUGAAAGGUAAGGUUAUACGCUGGUUAAUGCGUAUUCUCCCAAUCCUCAUUUUAUGGUUUCUAUGGCGGGCCAGGAAUAUGUCUAGGUUCGAGGGUCGCAAGAUUGGCGGCUCGCAGGUUCGGGCUCUUAUUGUACAUGAGGUAAGAAUGCUUGUCAGAGCCCAUUUUCCGGGUAUUACGGUGCUUGGCCAAUGGGAUGAACUUCUGAAGGCCCUGUCUGUGGUUCGGAGGGCUUUAACUGCAACGGCGGUUAGGUGGGCUUUCCCUCCGACGGGCUGCUUCAAGCUAAACACUGAUGGUUGUGCCACGGAGCGAGGUAGCGGGGGCGGAGGGGUGAUUAGGGAUUCGUGUGGGAGGUUUAUUGUUGCUUUUGCGGAUUCAUUUGGUGGUGUGGACUCUUUGCAGGCGGAGGCUCGCGCACUCUUCUUGGGGCUUCAAUUGGGGCGCCAAGUAGGGGUCUCUCGGUUAAUCGUAGAAUCUGACUGCCUGGUUCUGAUUAAGUGUUUAAGGGGGGAAUGGGGAGUCCCCGCGGAGAUUCGGCCUAUAGUUCGUGCUAUUCGGAUGGGUGAGCCAAGCUCUCACCACUUCUGCCAUUGCUACCGGGAGGGGAAUACAGUGGCGGAUUCGCUAGCGGCAUAUGGGGCCAUGUCAGGUACUCGAGUUAUUUUCACUAAGGGCUCACAGUUGCCGACUCGUACUAGGGGACUUUUGGCUUUGGAUCUGCAAAAUUUUUGUAACUUCCGUUUUGCUUUUAGGGGCUAAGGCUUCUGCUUUAUCCCAGGCUAUGUUUUCAGUCUUUCAUUAAUAAAAUUUCCUUUUAUAAAAAAAAAAAAAAAACAAACAAAUAUACCUCAAAUUUACAGUAUAUUAGCACAAGAUUAACAACUUCAUUUCAUUUUCAUACAUCAAAACUUUCUCUGGCAUCCUUCACGAUCUCCCUAUAGCCCCUUUCAAUUUCAAGUCUAGAUCUCCCCAUAAGUGCGUAUGGUCUGUGUAUCUGAGAGAAAGAAAGACAGGGACAAAGAAAAAUGGAGAGAGAAAACAGCAAAGAAGGGAGCUAGAAUGGAUAGCCUUACGAGUCGGACAUGAAAAAUAACUUCAAUUCAUUUAUAUGAAAAAUUUUCGCAAGCAAUAACCCAAUCAAACAAUGGAAAAUCAGGAAAACAUUUUCUGGAAAAUAUUUUCCUUCCAAACAAAAAGAUCCCAAUUCCCACCUCGAGUUGAGGAAUCUUAAACCAAACAACAUAUACGAGUUGAGGAAUCUUAAACCAAAAAAAUCAGUCCUAACCUAGUUAUAAUUUUUAGUUGUAAAAAGUAGUUUUCUAGAAAUUAGUUUUACAUGUUGAAAAAAAUUAUGUUUUUAUAAUCUUUUGUGAAAAUACAACAUAGACGAGUAGUUAUUUUUCAUUAGUUACCUUUAAUUAUAAUGAUUAGCAACAAAGCUAAAAAUUCCACAUAAAACUAGAAAAAGUAAUUUUUGAAUAUGGUUAGGCCAUUUUACCCUAGUGUAAGAACAAAAAAGGUAAUAUAAAAGAUGACACAAAAUUUUAACACCGCAACUCCUCCUCCUGUUUUGUUUAUAGUUGGAUAUGAGAGAAUGUUUCGUAAAACAUCAACAAAUAAUAAAACAAAACAAUUUCCAACUUCUUAUUUUUAUUUAUUUAUUUAUUUAUUUUGGCCAGCAAUAUCCAAAACUUGAUAGUUUAUGAUUUAUAAGAUAAGGAACUAAACUAUUUUUUUAUGACAAUAUACAAUGAUCUCCACAUGAGGGACUGAAUUAGUUUUUUGGGGAAAAAAUUGAAACUCAUAUUAGUCAUAGCUGCAUAUGCUUGAUUAAACUGCAAUUACACCCUUAAACAAACAAGUUUUUCUUUCUUUUUUCCUUUUUGAAAAAAAAAAAGAGGGUGAAUAGUAGAUUCCACCUGCUCCGAUCCCCUUAAACAAGCAAGUUCAUACUUCGCUUAUGUGGUAUGUGGUUUAGUUUCUAGAUUACAAUCACACCUCCGUUUGGAGAAAGCAGAAAUACGUCAUUAUUUAAUAUCUGAAUUUGACAUCUACAAUGACAUGUAUAAGCAUAUCCCAAAAAAAAAAAAAAGAUACUGAAUGGAUGGGAGUAGUUCCACUAUUUACUUGAUUAUAACAUUCUUCUAAUGAAAUAUCAUUUUGUCCCCUCGAGCAAAAUGAUGAAUCACUAAUACGACAGUACAUGUGACAUACUGCCACACCCCCGAACCAAAAAAACGAAAGAUUGUGAAACAUUGGGUUUCUACUAUUGUUCACCUUUUUUUACUACGUAUUAAACUUCGAGGAAGCAUCUCACCUAAUUGAUUUUGGCUGAUGAAAAGAAAAGUGAUUAGCUAGAAACAUUAGUGUAGUAACACUAAAAGAAAGAAACGCUGCAUUGGAUUCCCUUUUUCUCUUGUUUGAUUUUGGGGUACGUGUUUGAUAUAGUAGCCAAUAGCACGAUGAGUUCAAGUCAUGACCGCACACUUGCCAAAAAAAAAAAAAAAUCAAAUAAUCAAUUGAUCCAAUUUAGACCGAUAAAUGAAAUUUGGAAAAACCGAUUAAGAUCCAAUUUUAAAUUUUGGCAAAACAGUUUGUGAUUUGAUAUUGAAUUUCGAUUCUCGAAUUUUCGAUUACCAUCGACUGAAUUACCGAAUUUCAUAUUUUAAUUAAAUAUUUUAUAUAUUUCAUGCCUAUUAAUAUAUCAUAUUGCAUAUUGAUGUAUCAAUCAAUAGUGUUAUAAGUUAUAAUAUAUGUUUAUAGACAGAUAUAUGACCUUAAAAGCAUAUUAAUAACUUUUUACAUUAUUAAUUACAUAUUAAAUAUACUUAACUAAUAUAUAUUAGAAAAUCAAUCUAAAACUUUGGAUAUUUUACUGAAAUACUAAUUAUUCAGUCGUAAUCCAAUUUGCAAUAUCCAAUUACUAAAUAAAAGUUUGAACGGUAAUUGGACGUUGACAUUGUUGAAAAAAUUGAAAAAAAAAAUUGAAUUUUUAAUCAAAUUAUCGGCCGAUAAACAACCUAGUAGUCUAGUACCAGUGCGAAACGUACGAAGACACCGCGUGAAGGGCCAUGUGUCAAAGCAAUUCAUGGGCAUUAUUUUCUCUGCAUACACCGAAAAUCACCAAUAAGGUUGAAGCCACCCGAUUCACCCCUAGGAAAUUUCGCCUCUCUUCGUCUCAUCUCGAGCAUUUUCUUAAAGUUGCUCAACUGCAUGCCUACCCCUCCAAAUGCCUUCUCCUCCUUUAGUCAAAAAUCUACUUACUAAUCUUAGGUUAUCCCUUAUUGCCUAUUCUCAAAUAUUAGCUAUGACAAAAUAUCUUUUGGUUAAUUGGCGAUGCAGGUUGGCCGGAUUUUGGCGGGGCAACUUGAUGCCUUUAUUGUAGCUACUAGGUCUACAGCCAUGCUAGCGGCGCCUCUUCACCCUUUCCCAGGCAGAACUGAAACCUUGAUAGAGAAAUUAUUGAACACAUUUUACACUGUUAUUCCGCCCUAAUUUUGGCUACUUACUGUGCUAGGUAUUUAGUUUUUGCUCAUAUUUCGUAUUUGUAUAAAUUGUCGGUGAUUGGUGUACAAAGUGCUUCCGCAAGGCGAAAUUCCAGAAGACUCUCUAUUUCAUGACAUGCUCACGCCAGAAAUUAUAGAGGACACUCAAAGCCGGAUCCACGGGAUUGGUAGCAGCAGGGCUAACUAGGAAAUCAAGCCCACGUGAACCAGACGCAUGGAAUCAAAGCCCUUUCACCAAAAAAAAAAAAAUGGAAUCAAAGCCCAAGCUCCAAAAGAAAGUAAAACUGCCAGACGUUUCUUGGUCACUGUGGCGGCGGCUACAAAAAGAAAAAGAGCCCGGCUACAAAAAGAAAAGGAGGCCAGAUUUACAUCUAAUUGAUGGAUGUUGCUGCAGUAUGUUUACUAGUCAAAAAAUAGGUGUGGAAAGUUGCUGCGGUAUGAUUGUGGCCACAAACAAUAGGAAAAGUGUGUUGGAUGGACACGUAUAAAGAACUUUUUGACAUGCAACCUGAAGAUAGUUGGGCAUUGAAGGGGAUUCCAACCGUAAAUGUGAAAUGUGGAGUGCCUAAAUUGAGCAACUGGCAAAGUGAAAGGGUCUUGCGCAAAAGUAAGGACAAGGAAAAAAGGCGCGAAGCUUGGCGGAGAAGCUAAACACUGUAGGCAUAUAAAAUGAAGAAUUUAAUAAAUUUAGACAUUAAAUUUAUAAUGAAUAAAUUAUGGAUUCCAACCUCAAGUGUUAAAUUUAUAAUGAAUAAAUUAUUACUUUAUUUUAAAUAAAACCCGUAAACCUGGUUUGUUAAAUUAUACCUAUUAUUAUUUAUUAUACAGGUAUAUUAUGAGUACUUAUUAACUAAGGUACUAAGUUUUAAUCAUUAAUAAAAUAUCUUAUCAUUAUUUCAAAUAAACUUCCUAAUACUACUUUGAGAUAAGGUUUUAAUGUAAAAAUUGUACAUGUAUUCCAAAAAAUAGUAAAUUUUGAUCCUUAAUCAUUUUUAUUACCAUGUUAUUAGUAAGAAUUAUUAUUUAUGUAUAAAAACUUACUAUUAUUUGAACUAAACUUACUCUUUUAAAAGUAAGCUUGGGAUAUAAAGUAGUAAUCUAUUUAUUUAAAAAUUAAGUUUAAUAUUUAUUCCAAUUUACCUUUUGAGGUAUAAAAGUUACUAAUCUAUUAGGCUUAACUUACUAUUUUAGAUGGGAAACUUACUUCCAUAAUUUUAGGUAUUAUUCUAUUUAAGUGAAUAGGUCCAACGACAAAUCAAAUGUUCGCUAAAAGUGGAACAAUCUAUUAUAUUAGGUAAAAACUAUUUCGCUAUCAUAACUAUCGUUACUAAAGCAUCUAUAUCUAUAUGUAUUACAGAGGGGGUUUUGGAUAAGGAGCUUUCAAAAUUGUCAAAGGUCUGAAUGCUAUUUUAAUAGAAUUUUACAUUUUUAUAAUUAAGAAAUGUUUAUCUCUUAACUAAUCAUGUAACCGCUCCUACAAAUCCUAUAAUCAUGCUCAUGUUUUUCCCACAUUUUUCCACGUUUUUCUCACUAACCCAUAAAAUUCAAACUCCUAAACUUUAACUAAUAGAUAAUAAUCACCAUUGUAAAAUUCAAAUCUCACAUUUAUUAUUGACAUUUAUCAACUAUUAAUUUAAGAAAUUUGCAACUAUAAAAGUCAAAUAUUCAAAAUUUAGGAGACUAUUUAAAUUACAAUUUUCACAAUUCAACGUAUCUUAUUGUCAUAAUAUAUUUUACUCUUACAAUCAUUCACAAAUUAUAAAGGGAUGCAAAAAAUAAAUAACUUUUUUAAUAAAAAAUUAAUUCAAAGGUAGUUAAUUCACACACACACACACAUAUAUACAUAUAUAUAUUCUCAUAAUAUAAACUAAAAUUAUAAAAAAUUAGGAGGCUAACUUUGUUUUACACAAUAUGAAUUAAAAUUUUUAAAACUUUGGGAAGAGGGGACCUAUGGCCCCCAUUAGCCCCCUAUUUGUUUUGAAGUGUUUGGAUAGCAUAUUUUUUCAAAUAAUAUUUCGCUUGCAUCAUAAACACAUUUUUUAACCCACCUUUUUAUAUUUUCAAUCACCUUUUUAUCUUACAUACAUCACAUCACAAAAUGUACUAUCGUAAUUAUUCCACAUAAUAUUUCAAAUAACACUCUAUCCAAACAAAUUUCAAUAGCAUCUUAAUUUCAAUAUCAUUUUUACUUUUCAAAUUUACAGUUUUAUCCGUGAUUGUAUAGCAUUAUGAUAUAGUAGUAAUACAAAAGAAAUACCAUGUAAAUGAUGAUAGUUUUUUUUCAAAUAAACAAAGUGGUUUACGAAUAUUCCUAUCUAGCGAGCAAAAGGGUAGUUAGGAUAUUUAAAAAUCUUGCUACACAAACAACAAAAGUAAGGUAUGUUAGUGAUAUUUUUAAAACUUUAGGGGUGUCAGGCGAAAUGAAGAGAAACCUCAGGGGAGGUUUACAACAUUGGUUUACUGAAUACACUUAUUUAUGCCAAUUAUACUCUUUAUACUAAUUAUAUUUUUAAACUAAAUUACUAUUUAUGCAUAUUUUAAAACUUCAAAUUUAAUUGCUAUUAGCGAAAUUAUAUUGAUGUGUUUUUAUACGAGUAGUAUUUUAUUAUUUUGGAUACUACUUUAAUUAGAAUUUAGUUUAAAGGCAUUCACUGGAGUUUGGAUGCAUCCAGAGAGCACCGAUCGAUGUAUCUUCAUGCAUAAAUUGGAAUAAAUAUGCAACUUAAUUUUUUUUAAAAAUAAAUCACUACUCUAUAUCCGAAAUUUACUUUUUGGAGAGUAGGUUUAGUUCAUACUAUUUUUCGUAGUAUUUUAAAAUAUAUAAGUACAAAAAAAUUUUAAAUUAUACCUAUAAUCAUGUAUUAUACGAGUAUAUUAUGAAUACUUACUAACUAAGGUAUUAAACUUUAAUCAUUGAUAAAACAUCUUAUCAUUAUUUCAAAUAAACUUCCUAAUACUAGUUUGAGAUAAGUUUUAAAGUAAAAUAGUACAUGUGUCCUAUAAAUCAGGAAAUAUUGAUUAUUAAUCAAAUUUGCCAUGUUAUCAGUAAUAAUUACUAUUUAUGUAUAAAAACUUACUAUUGCUUGAAUGAAGCUUGCUAUUACUUGAAGUAAAAUAGUACAUGCAUUUGCUUGCCUUUUGCUUUGGCUAAUUAUAAAAUUAGACAUAAUUGUAGAAACCUCCUAUAGGUUUUGACAUAGUCAUACGGUCUUCUCUAACAUUUACAAAACUAUACAAAACUCCAAAGACUCUAAGAUUUAUAUUACAAAUUUAAUUCCAACAAAAUUUACUAACAUUAAAAAAAUUACUUUACAUGGGGGAGUGAAUUGAAAAAAUGGGAGUAUAAUAAUAUCCCUUAAUUGUUUAUUCCAUAAAUAUCCCUUAUACAUGUAUGUGAGUUGAAUUUGUUUAAUAAUGGAAAUAAUUUUGGUGUAAUGGGCCAUUUUUUUGUGCAGUUGGAGCAUAUUUGGCCUGAAUAAAGCUAUUUCUAAGAUUUUGCUUGAAUACCUAAAUUAUUUGUGCUGUUGGCAGAUUUACCUUUAAUAUAAUAAUAAUAGUAAUAGAAUUACUAUUAUUAUUCGCUAGCAAAGCACAACAUUAUUUCCUUUCCCUUCUAUAUUCUCUGUUUAUGCAGCACUUCCCCACGACAUUUCUCUACUUUUCAUUGCUCUUUUAUUCACAAUGUUAAUCCAAAUGGAUACGUGAUUUUAUUAAUUUCAAAUGGAUAGCUGAAUAAAACCAAUUAAUUAGUGGCUAUUAAAUGGACAAAUUUCGACUACCUAUUUAUAAUUAAUUCAAUUAGACGUAAAUUCAAAUUCAUUAGUAAGCAAAUGAAUUUGAAUUCGUAUACACAAUAAUUAUAUCAAAGUUUUUGCAAAGCCAUAUCUAUCCAGUGUUUCCUAUUCUUUAAUUUUCAUUUAUUAAAAGUUUUGGAAACAAAAUUGGUUUUCAUUUAUUAAAAGUUUUGGAAACAAAAUUGAUUACAGUAAAACAAACUGCCAACUAUUUAUUAAACACUCAUGUGAAAGUAAUUUAAAAAUUGGUUACCUUUGUCUGCUUGACAUUUAAACCAAUUUUUUUAUCAUAAUUUUUUAUUAUUAUCACACCCAUUCGGUGUGUCAUAACCAGUGCUCAGAAUAAUCUCUGAAGUUUUAAGAACCAUUAUACAACUUUCAAAACAAAUAAAUUCAUUCAAAAUUUUUAUUUGGAAUAAUUUCAUAAAUCAAAUCGCGGUCACUUUCUGUAAAGUAUCACUUUUUCAUAAAAGACCAGCUCUUUAUGGCUUUCAUCCAUUAUAAGAACAGAGUACCCAUUUUUCCAUAAAUAAAUUUAUUUAUCGGAUAAAAUAAAAAAUAAACUUGUUUUUCAUUUCAAUAAAACACCAGCUCUUUAUGACUUUCCGCUAUUAUAAGAACAGAGUACCCUUUUUUCAUAAACAAAUUUAUUUAUCGAAUAAAAUAAAAAUAAAUUCAUUUUUUAAUAAAAGACCAACUCUUUAUGGUUUUCCUCCAUUAUAAAAACUGAGUACCCAUUUUUUCAUAAAUAAAUUUAUUUAUCGGAUAAAAUAAAAAAUAAACUUGUUUUUCAAUAAAACACCAGCUCUUUAUGACUUUCCUCUAUUAUAAGAACAGAGUACCAUUUUUUUCAUAAACAAAUUUAUUUAUCGAAUAAAAUAAAAAUAAAUUUAUUUUUUAAUAAAAAACCAACUCUUUAUGGCUUUCCUCCAUUAUAAAAAUAGAGUACAACACGUUUUUCAACAAAACACCAACUCUUUAUGACUUUUCUCCAUUAUAAGAACAGAGUAUCCAUUUUUUAAUAAAUAAAUUUAUUUAUCAAAUAAAAAAAUAAAUUUAUUUUUUAAUAAAAAACCAGCUUUUUAUGGCUUUCCUCCAUUAUAAGAACAGAGUACCCAUUUUCUCAUAAACAAAAUUAUUUAUCGAAUAAAAUAAAAAUAAAUCCAUUUUUCAAUAAAAUACCAACUCUUUAUGACUUUCCUUCAUUAUAAGAACAGAGUACCCAUUUUUUCAUAAAUAAAUUUGUUUAUCGGAUUAAAUAAAAAUAAAUCCGUUCUUCAAUAAAACAUCAGUUCUUUAAUAAAACACCAGUUAGCGACAACAACUUUAGCAAGAAGUAGAAAGUUUGACGCUAUUAAGAGGCUUAUAGCAAGGAAAAGGACAAUACCUCACAAAAAAUUGGAGCCAUUAUAUACUCUGCGAGGCAAGGACUUUUAUCGCUUAAAAUUCUCGCCAAAAUGAGUGUGGGAAAGCUUCCCUCCAAAUACUGAUUUUAGUGGGCCAAAGUUUCUAUGUUAUUGGUGAGAAAUCAUGGGUGUUUUUUUUGUGAAAAUUUCAAAAUUUUGCUCCCUUCCAAAUUUUAGCAAGCCGCGCAUUGAAAAUUUUUUAACCAUUCCCGGCACAGUACUUGUCAAGCGUAGCACCACAUGAAUUCCAAGCCUUCCAUACUUGCAAGGCUACUUUCCCAAAUAUUAGUUCUCAGAUCAGAGCCCUCGAAAGUUUAAUCGCAACCUCCCCUACAACUUUCUCCUUCUAUCUCUCUUUCCCUCUCUAUUAAUUUUUAGUUUCCCGUAGACAUAUGGUUCCUCUUUUCCUCUCUAGCAUCUAGAUCUGAAUUUAUACAAUCAUAGACACACUUUAAAGACCCUUCCGAUGCAAUGGCAGACUUCAAGGAAAAGCGAUGGUGUAGGUUUUUUAAGCAGACAUGUUAUUUUCAUCUCUGUUUUGUCAAUUGCCUUUUUCUUGCAUUUUUGGUCAAUUUAGCAAUCGCAAGAUAAACUUUUUGAAAUUGUAGGCUUCUACUUCAGUGGAUUAGAGUGAAUGGGCAUCUCAGUUGGAGUAGAGAAAGGGGUCUUUACUCUUAUUAUACAUUAGCUGAUAUCUUUAGUUUAUGGUUUCAUGUCCAAUGUUUGUCAGUUAGUUGACAAAAGUCUUUAAUAAUGGUAGCAUUGUCCCUUUUUUUGUACAUAGUAUAAUAUCUAUGCUAUUUGCUUUCACAUUUCAGGUUACUAGCGCUUUAGGAGUGUAUCAUACACUACUUUCAGUAUGCCAUUCCUAGAUGUUUUAUUUCAGCAUGCUAGACGUUUUAGCUUCGGUGUUCAAGUAUAGUGUUUUGCUGCUGUAUUUGUUUAUAUUUGUGUUUCUGAGUGAACUUCAUUUAUCUAAUGCUAUCUGUGUACAGGUUAACUUCUUAAGCCAAGUUCGUUUAAGUCACGAGGGAGAUGGGCCGAAAGUGGCAAAGCGUUUAAUCGAGGUGUAUUUUGCACUAUUUAAGGUAUGGAAAAAAAAGUGUUGUGCUUGUUUUCUUUGAUGAAAGUUAAGGAUUUCAAAGAUCUAGUCAAUUAACAUGUAAGACACGUUAGUUUUGUGCAACAAGUUAAUAUGCUAGUCUCUGUUUCAGGUAUUGAUUUCUGAUGCCAAUAGGGAGCAUGGGACGAACAAAUGCAGUAAAGAAAAAGCUAGAAAAAUUUCUAGUUCAAAAUGUAAUCCAAAGAAUGCUCCUCCAGAAUCUCAUGUUGAGAUGGAUUCCCGGUUAUUAACAGCUCUUUUAACAGUUAGUAUAGAUUAAUUUCUUUCGCUUCUUUAUUAUUUGAUGAUUGCAAACAUAUAAGUAGAAGAAACUGCUAAAGUAGGAUUUGUAUUUUUUUCUGGGAUCAUGUAGCAUCAGCUAGAAGUUCCAAGGCCAUUUUAUCUUUUGAAAGCGAUAGAGUAAGAAAAUGCUAAUAUUUGUGGUAAGCUAUUGUACAAAUUUAGGCGUACUCUUUAUAAAUGCUUCUAAUUUUUGGCACUUACCAUGUAAUUAUCUUAUGUAGAAUUCUGGCACUGUUUCUUGUUUUUCCCUCCCUAUACACCUUGCUUCAACUAAGUUGCCUUAGAUUAGUUCAAAGACAGUGAAUGUUUUGCAGGUUACUCCUAACUAAUGUUUUGCUCUUUCUCAAGUAUGAAGAAAAAGAUUGUACACUUUAUUUAGUAUAUGUUUGUUAUGAAGAAUCAACUUUUCUCUAUAUAAUUUUUUUUGAACUAAUUCUUCCAAGUUGGUGCUGUGUUUUGUGACUAAAGGAUCCAACUUGAAAGUGAAUUGAAGUAGUUGGGAAAGUGUUAUUGAGAAUUGGUGAUGAAGCAUGCACUAAAUUAAACAUACUUGUGUGUUAAAAUGUGGGUGUGAUUAAUCAAGUGGUACAGGAUUUGUCUGAACCAGUGUGCUUGCAGAUAAUUAUUAUAUCAGUUCAUCAUGCUGCUUGUGGUUAUCUCCUUAUAUAGUGUUGAAAGAUACUUUAGGCACCCUGUAUAAGUUCUCUUUCUUCCAUUGCAGGGUGUGAAUAGAGCGUUUCCUUUUGUUUCUAGCGAUGAAUCUGACAAGAUUAUUGAAACCCAGACGCCAAUCUUAUUUCAGCUGGUAAGCUUAGUUCCUAAUUGCCCAGAAAGAAUGAAAAUUUUAUGCAGAUAGUAUAAUGUGGUGUUCCUCCUUUCAAAAAUUUGUUUGCCCUUUUUUAGGUUCAUUCUAGGAGCUUUAAUGUGGGAGUUCAAGCAUUAAUGCUUCUUGACAAGAUCUCUACCAGAAAUCAAAUUGUUAGUGAUAGAUUCUACCGAGCCUUAUAUUCAAAACUCUUGCUACCAGCUGCCAUGAACUCUUCAAAGGUGAGUUGAGUUGUAGUAGUUCUUAGAAAGUUUCUGCCAGUUUAUUUGUUAUGUUUGUGUUUCAACGCUUUCUGAAGUGAUGCUUUUGUGGUGUGUCAAGUUUACUAUGAUUCGUCAAUGUUCCAAUUGUUUAAACCAUUUAGACGUGAAAUGACAUGAGAUGAGAAAGCAAAAUGAUGGGUAUGCUGUUUUGUUUAAUUGUUCUAAAUGUCUGACUUUUCAGACUGAUAGUCUUCCCGCUCACACAUUCUGUGAUGAACAGUAAAAUUGCUUAAUGCAUGUGGUCUGAUUAUUGAUACGGAUUUCUAUGAGAGCUUAUAUGGAGAAUUUUUGUCAAAAGGCUUCCAAGAGAAUGCAUUGUGUACAGGGCAAAGGAACUAGUAGUUGCAGCACCUAGGAACAGUUAUUUGAAUUCCACUUUCCAACUGGUCAUGCUAAUGAAUUGUUUGUAGAGUAUGAUUGCAUGUACCUGAGCACAAAUACUACACUGGACAUUGUUUCUAAAUGUAAACUAUUGCUGUCUUUUAUAGUUUCCCGCCUCCCCUCCAGUAUCAGAUAUUGUAUCUGAUUAAUGGACUUUUCCCUUGGACAUAAAAACUGAAUUCUUGUUGUCUUUUCUUCUAUUGGCUUGGUGCUGCUGUUCUAUCUUCUAUUGAAAUGCAAGCUUGCAAAUCAACCUGUUUUGGAUUCUUAUUUGACAAUUUGCCUUACAAGUUUUGUGUUUUCUAGUUCCACUUCUAUCUGGAACAUAAUUUCAGCAUGAUCAAGUGGCUUUUUGAAAAUUUUUCCUCACUUGCUCUUGAAUGCUUUCUUUAUUCGUGUAGACUUAUUAGAGAGGGUCCUAAUUGUACCACUUCUUGACUAUGAUAUUUGUUCAAUUUGUUAAUCUUCAAGAGGAAAUAUUUAUUGGGCUACUUCUAAGGGCGAUGAAAAAUGACAUCAAUCUAAGGAGGGUCGCUGCUUUCUCUAAGCGUUUGUUACAGGUUUGUGAUAGCGUUGAUCUUUUGUUUGCUUGUGGUUUUUUACGCAAUUUAGUUCAUUAAGUUAAUAAUUGUCAAGGGAAUCCUUGAUCUCGAGGAAUCUUAACUUGAGAACUAUUUGGAAAUUUAGUUCAUUAAGUUAAUAUUUGUGUUAAAGGAAACAGCCUUGGCGUUACUUUAUAAUUGGUUUCAUGUCAAUUGGGGUCAUAAUGAUUUCUUCAUCUUAAGUACAUGCUACCAACUUAUAGUUUGAAAUUCAGUUCACAUUUUGUACUUGUGGUUAAUAAAAGUGAUCCUUAGCAUUUCUUUUAAAGUCCCUCAUUUUCAUUUCUUUUCAUGCAACAAUAUGAGGAUCAAUGUCUUAGUUGAUAUAUGUAGGCUAAUGCAGGUUUAAUUUAUCUAACUGCCAAUGUAAAUUUUUGUUUAAUAAUUUUUUUUACAUUGGACUCUAUAGGUUGAUGGUGGAUUGUAGUAAACCUGGCUAUGAAGCUCUUAGAAGCUACUUCGAUUAUGGACUUCACCAAUUCAUGCAAACAUGAUACUCAUUAUAUAUCGGCAGAGGGUCUAUCUUAACAUUUGUUAUCCCUGGCAAUUUUGGUUGUACAUAUUAAAGCCUAAUUAGGAUUUGAUUUGAGUAUCUUUGUGCUUUGUACUGUUGAUAGUAUUGGUUGUAAUAUAUUGUUGCUCGUUUUGUAUUUGUAAUGAUAAAUUGGUUUGUUAUUUCGUAUAAAAUUUUGCUAUAUUUCAAUAUUGACAUUAAUGAUACCUCUUGCUAAAAAAAUGGUUGAAAAAAAAAGUAGCAACUACAAUCACAAAGCUGCUUUUGGCAACUUUCUUGCAAGAAAAUCAUCUAGCUGCAUUUGAUUGUCUUUGGUAAGGGGUCGAUGGUUUCUAAUUAGAGAAGAAACUUUCCUGGCCAAAAAUGUUUUAUUAUAAUGGAGAAAAGUCAUAAAGAGCUGGUGUUUUAUUGAAAAAAUGGAUUUAUUUUUAUUUUAUCUGAUAAAUAUAUUUGUUUAUGGAAAAAUGGGUACUCUGUUCUUAAAAUGGAGGAAAGUCAUAAAGAGCUGGUAUUUUAUUGAAAAACGAGUUUAUUUUUAUUUUAUCCGAUAAAUAAAUUUAUUUAUGAAAAAAUUGGUACUUUGUUCUUAUAAUAGAGGAAAGCCAUAAAAGACUGGUCUUUUAUUGAAAAAUAGAUUUAUUUUUAUUUUAUCUGAUAAAUAAAUUUAUUUAUGAGAAAAUGGGUACUCUGUUCUUAUAGUGGAGGAAAGCCAUAAAGAGCUAGUCUUUUACGGGAAAGUGAUACUUUACAGAAAGUGACCGCGAUUUGGUUUAUGAAAUAAUCCCAAAUAAAAAUUUAGAAUGAAUUUAUUUGUUUUGAAAGUUGUAUAAUGGUCAUUAAAACUCCAGAGAUUGACAAAAAAAUUUUGGGGGUACAGAAAAGUAGAGAGAAGAAGGAGAAGAAUUGAGCUUUUUAUCCGUUGCAAUUGUUCCGUUAAAAAUGGCUCCAUUCGAUUUUAUCAAUUUUUUGUUGAGUAAAAUCAUUGUUCUAACGAUCAAUUCUUCAUUUCUCGUUAAUUGUCCUUAAUUGGCCAAAAUUACGAAAUUUUGAGGAUGCAAUAUGUUUGGGGUGAAACUUUGAGGAUGAAAUUGGUCAACAACCCAAAUUUUGAGGAUAAAAAAGUGCAUUUUUUCCUAUAAGAUAUUUAAUCAAAUGUUAUUUCUUGUUUUAAUUUUAGUUAUGACUAAACUACAUAUUUAUCAAAUAGACAUACCUUUAUAAUUAAAGUUAAUAUUUGAUAUUUUAGGAUACCAUAUAUUUAAAUAGAUGAAAAUUAUUUUGAACAUAAUAUAUUAAAAUAAUUUUAUUUGUCAAUCAUUUUGGCCCUCCCUUAAAGGAAAAAAAUCUUGGCUUCGUCACUGUCUAGGAGGAAAUUGGGGCCUAUUGCUAACAAAAGAUUGUGAAAAUUUACCUUUAUAUCCUAAUUAUUUGAAAAAAAAUCUAAUGAACAAAUUUUGCAAAAGAAACCUUGUUUCUUACCAACAAAUUAAGUAACUAAUAAAAUCACCUUUAAUAUUGCUUUAACAUAUUUAAUUUAUGUUAAAUACAAAUUUUACCAAUUUCUCUUUUGUAAAAAUAUAAGUGUAUCACUUUUUCAAUUUUAAUUACAAACAUUUAUGUUUUUUACAUAAAUGUAGUGAUUCAGAGUAAAAUGCCCAUAAAUAGCUAGUAUUUUGUUGAUGUAAUGCAAAAAAUCCAUAAAGAGUUGGUAUGUUAUGGGCGCAAUCUUUUUUACUUUCACAUAUUUAAAAUUUGUUAAAUGCAAAAUCUACUAGUUUUCCUUUCGUAAAAAUAUAAGUAUAAUACUUUUUUAAUUUUAUUUACAAAUAUUUAUGUAUUUUACAUAAAUGUAAUGAUUCAGAAUAAAAUACCCAUAAAUAGUUAGUAUUUUGUUGAUGUAAUGCAAAAAACUCAUAAAGAGUUGGUAUGUUAUGGGCAAAACUUUUUUACUUUCACAUAUUUAAAAUUUAUUAAAUACAAAAUUUACUAGUUUCCCUUUCGUAAAAAUAUUAGUGUAACAUUUUUUCAAUUUUAGUUACAAAUAUUUAUGUAUUUUACAUAAAUGUAAUGAUUCAGAAUAAAAUACCCGUAAAUAGCUAGUGUUUUGUUGAUGUAAUGCAAAAGAAAAAAUCAUAAAGAAUAGGUAUGUUAUGGGCAAUAUAUUUUUUACUUUCAUAAAAAUCAGUUUAUGUUAAAUACAGGACAACCAAUUUUUCUUUUGUAAAAAUAUUAGUGUAACAGUUCUUCAAUUUUAGUUACACAUAUUUAUGUAUUUUACAUAAAUAUAAUGAUUCAGAGUAAAAUGUCCAUAAAUAGAUAGUAUUUUGUUGAUGUAAUGCACGUAAAUAGAUAGUACUGCUUAUGCUUCCUUUGCGGUGUUUUAUUCGUAGGCCCAUUAUAUUUAUGUUAAUUCCAUCACACCCCAAUACAUUUCCAACUUUUGCAGUACGCUACAUUCACAUUUCUAAACCGCGGUUAUAGGUCACCACUUAAUUUUUUAGAAACAUUCCCUUCAUCUUCGUACAUGUCAGGUUGCUACGUGCCAGCUUCUUUAUCAUAUAAUUUACUUUCCACACCUGUCUUUGGAAUAUGUGAAUACACUACAGAAUUUACCCUAAUUGACGGUAAAUUCUGUAGUGUAAUAGGAUAUUUGAAGACAGGUGUGGAAAGUAAAGUAUAUGGCAAAGAAGGUGGCACGUUGCAACCUGACAUGUAUGGACCAAGAAGGGAAUAUUUGUACAAAAGCAAGUGGAAACCUAUAACCGGGGUUUGGAAAUAUUGUGUACUGCAUAAGCUCAAAAUGUGUUGGGGUGUCACGGAAUUAACAUAAAUAUAAAGGGUCUAAAAAUAAAACAUUUGUGAGGAAGCGUAAGCAGUACUAGUUACUAAACAAAGCCAUCGUGGGGCCACCAAAGAGGAAACGUAUUACAUACUAAAGGAAAACUAGUAAAUUUUAUAUUUAAAAAAUUUUAAAUAUGUGAAAGUAAAAAAUUUUUGCCCAUAACAUACCAACUCUUUAUGAGUUUUUUGCAUUACAUCAACAAAAUACUAACUAUUUAUGGGUAUUUUACUCUGAAUCAUUACAUUUAUGUAAAAUACAUAUAUGUUUGUAACUAAAAUUGAAAAAGUAUUAUACUUAUACUUUUACGAAAGGAAAACUAGUAGAUUUUGCAUUUAACAAAUUUUAAAUAUUUGAAAGUAAAAAAGAUUGCGCCCAUAAUAUACCAGCUCUUUAUGGAUUUUUUUGCAUUACAUCAACAAAAUACUAGCUAUUUAUGGGCAUUUUACUCUGAAUCACUACAUUUACAUAAAAUACAUAAAUAUUUGUAACUAAAAUUGAAAAAGUAAUAUACUUAUAUUUUUACAAAAGAGAAACUGGUAAAAUUUGUAUUUAACAUAAAUUAAAUAUGUUAAAGCAAUAUUAAAGGUGAUUUUAUUAGUAACUUAAUUUGUUGGUAAGAAACAAGGUUUCUUUUGCAAAAUUUGUUCAUUAGAUUUUUUUUCAAAUAAUUAGGAUAUAAAGGUAAAUUUUCACAAUCUUUUGUUAGCAAUAGACCCCAAUUUCCUCCUAGGCAGUGACGAAACCAAGAUUUUUUCCUUGAAGGGAGGGCCAAAAUGAUUGAUAAAUAAAAUUAUUUUAAUAUGUUAUGUUCAAAAUAAUUUUCAUCUAUUUAAAUAUAUGGCAUCCUAAAAUAUCAAAUAUUAACUUUAAUUAUAAAGGUAUGCCUAUUUAAUAAAUAUGUAGUAUAGUCAUAACUAAAAUUAAGACAAGAAAUAACAUUUGAUUAAAUAUCUUAUAUGAAAAAAUGCACUUUUCAUCCUCAAAGUUUGGGUGGUUGGCCAAUUUCAUCCUCAAAGUUUCACCCCAAACAUAUUGCAUCCUCAAAGUUUCAUAAUUUUGGCCAAUUAAGGACAAUUGACGGGAAAUGAAGAAUUAAUCGUUAGAACCAACGAUUUUACCCAACAAAAAAUGGGUAAAACCGAAUAGAGCCAUUUUUAACGGAACAAUUGCAACGGACAAAAAACUCAAUUCUUCUCCUUCUUCGCUCUGCCUUUCUGUAACCCCAAAAUUUUUUUGCCAAUCUUUGAAAUUUUAACAACCGUUAUACAAAUUUCAAAACAAAUAAAUUCAUUCUAAAUUUUUAUUUGGGAUUAUUUCAUAAACCAAAUCGCGGUCACUUUGUGUAAAGUAUCACUUUCCCAAAAAAGACCAGUUCUUUAUGGUUUUCCUCCAUUAUAAGAACAGAGUACCCAUUUUUUCAUAACUAAAUUUAUUUAUCGAAUAAAAUAAAAAUAAAUUCAUUUUCUAAUAAAAAACCAGCUCUUUAUGGCUUUUCUAUAUUAUAAGAACAGAGUACCCAUUUUUUCAUAACUAAAUUUAUUUAUCGAAUAAAAUAAAAAUAAAUCCAUUUUCUAAUAAAAGACCAACUCUUUAUAGUUUUCCUCUAUUAUAAGAACAGAGUACCAAUUUUCUCAUAAAUAAAUUUAUUUAUCGGAUAAAAUAAAAAUAAACCCAUUUUUCAAUAAAAGACCGGCUCUUUAAGGCUUUCCUCCAUUAUAAGAACAGAGUACCCAUUUUUUCAUAAACAAAUUUAUUUAUCGGAUAAAAUAAAAAUAAACCCGUUUUUUAAUAAAAGACCGGCUCUUUAGGACUUUUCUCCAUUUUAGGAACAGAGUACCCAUUUUUUCAUAAACAAAUUUAUUUAUCAGAUAAAAUAAAAAUAAACCCGUUUUUUCAAUAAAAUACCAGCUCUUUAUGACUUUCCUCCAUUAUAAGAACAAAGUACCCAUUUUGAAGGCAAAAAGAAAUUUGUUUAUCGGAUAAAAUAAAAAUAAACUCAUUUUUCAAUAAAACAUCAACUCUUUAUGACAUUUCUCCAUUAUAAGAAAAGAGUGCCCAUUUUGUCAUAAACAAGUAACUUCUUAAUUAGAAACCAUCGACCCCUUACCAAAGACGAUCAAAUGCAGCUAGAUGAUUUUUUUGCAAGAAAGUUGCCAAAAGCAGCUUUGUGACUGUAGUUGCUACUUUUUUUUUCAACCAUUUUUUUAGCAAGAGGUAUCAUUAAUGUCAAUAUUGAGAUAUAGCUAAAAUUUUAUAUGAAAUAACAAACCAAUUUGUCAUUACAAAUACAAAACGAGCAACAAUAUAUUACAACCAAUACUAUCAACAGUACAAAGCACAAAGAUACUCAAAUCAAAUCCUAAUUAGGCUUUAAUAUGUAGAACCAAAAUGUCAGGGAUAACAAAUGCUAAGAUAGACCCUGUGCCGAUAUACAAUGAGUAUCAUGUUUGCAUUAAUUGGCGAAGUCCAUAAUCGAAGUAGCUUGUAAGAGCUUCAUAGCCAGGUUUACUACAAUCCACCAUCAACCUACAGAGUCCAAUGGAAAAAAAAUUAUUAAACAGAAAUUUACAUUGGUAGUUAGAUAAAUUAAACUUGCAUUAGCCUACAUAUAUCAAAGACGUUAUGUUUUAAUUGCUUUAAAAGAUUCACUCACUUAGAGUUCAAGUCAACAUUCAUCUAUUAUUUUAGUAAAUGGAAAAUUAGCCUUUGGUUCCCCAUGUGUGAGUUAACACAAGGAACCUCCUCUAUAGUCGCGGGUUGCUUAUAGCUUCCAUCAAUUCUUGUAUUUCUUCUUCUGAAAGCUUGGAUCCCAACCUAGAUAACCUAGUUUUGAGCUCUUCAUAAGUAAUGGUACCACUUCUAUCCCUGUCCAUGUUGUUGAACAUUUGUCUCAACCCCUUGAUUUCUUCUUCUGAAAGGUUUUCUGCAAUAACCUUCCAGUAAUUUCAUGUUUCAGCUAUCAAUAACUCUAGAAAGAGGAAUCAUAAAGCAACAGUAGAAGGGAAAGUACUCUUAUGAAUGACUGUCAAAUGUAUUCACUAGUUCAUUAUGGAAACCGCGCUGUCCAAAGAAAUUUACAUAUCGAUUCAUUACCUUUAAAGCCAGCUUUUUCAGCUUGUUCAUUGCUCUAAAUUGCUUCAUCCUUAUUUGCACAACACUGUCAAUAGGCGUAUCUGAUGCUUCACCACCUUCCUUGAGCCAUUGAUGUUCUGGUUCAUAUAUGUUUAGCCAAAUUUAGAUGAUAAUCUGAAUUAUAGGUAUGCAAUUAUUUGGAGGAUGUAAACAUUAUAUACUAUUUUCUUUCCAAGAAGCGCAAUACAGACAGUGUUAACUACUGCCACUACAUGGAGUGUUAUAUUCCAUACGCUAUUUACUCUCUGUACAAUAUAUAAUAGUUCCUUUACAGCAACAGGUAAACAGAGCCAAAUGACUUGAGAAGGAUAGAAAAUAAUAAUAUUGAAGGUUAAAAGUUUUUACUAUUUACCAAGGGCUUCGGCAGAGGUGAUCCUUUUCCGAGGAUCCAUUGUUAACAUUUUCCUAACAAGAUCCUUUGCACCAGACGAUAUUGAAGGCCAGGGAGAGCUUUGGAAAUCAAGACGCCCCGCUAGGAUUUCAUCAAAAAUGCCUUUGUCGUUCUCUGAAGCACAAGCCAAUAUCACUCAGUAUAGCAACUUAAAAGCUAAAUAGCAAAAAUUAAUUCCCAGUGCUAGAAUUUAAUUCAUUCUUCAUUGCAGCGUAAGAGAAUUAGGGAGUUUGGGACAACAAAAGGGGGUUUGGGACAACAAAAGGGGACAAUUUGGGUUGGGCAACGAGAGGUACGGAGGAAUGAAAACGAGAGUGGUAAAGAGAGGAGAUUGAACAAUACAACAAAACAGGGAAAAAAUCAAAUCAUGGAAGGAAGAAUUCUAGUAUGAAAAUAUGUUGGAGACUACCUGAAAUCUUAGAUCUGAAAUUUUGACGGGCCGUUUUCAUUUUACCUUCCAGUAAGACCCCCUUCUCUACUCCAACUGAGAUGCCCAUUCACUCUAAUCCACUGAGGUAGAAGCCUACAAUUUUAAAAAGUUUAUCUUGCGAUUGUUAAAUUGACCAAAAAUGCAAGAAACAAGCAAUUGAUAAAACAGAGAUGAAAAUAACAUAUCUGCUUAAAAAACUUGCACCAUCGCUUUUCCUUGAAGUUUGCCAUUGCAUCGGAAGGGUCUUUAAAGUGUGUCCAUGAUUGUAUAAAUUGAGAUCUGGAUGCUAGAGAGGAAGAGAGGAACCAUAUGUCUACGGGAAACUGAAAAUUGAUAGAGAUGGAAAGAGAGAUAAAAGGAGAAAGGUGAAGGGGAGGUUGCGAUUGAACUUUCGAGGGCUCUGAUCUGAGAACAAUAUUUGGGAAAGUAGCCUUGCAAGUAUGGAAGACUUGGAAUUCAUGUGGUGCUACGGUUGACAAGUGCUGUGCCGGGAAUGAUUAAAAAAUUUUCAAUGCGCGGCUCUGCUAAAAAUUGGAAAUGAGCAAAAUUUUGAAAUUUUCACAAAAAAACACCCAUGAUUUCUCACCAAUAACAUAGAAACUUUGGCCCACUAGAAUCAGUAUUUGGAGGGAAGCUUUCCCGUACUUCUUUUGGCGAGAAUUUUAACCGAAAAAAGUCCUUGCCCUCGCAGAGUAUAUGAUGGCUCCAAUUUUUGGUGAAGUAUUGUCCUUUUCCUUGCUAUAAGCCUCUUAAUAGCGUCAACCUUUCUACUUCUUGCUAAAGUUGUUGUCACUAAUACCCUUUUUUGUUGUAGUGAACGGAGGAAAAUUAUAAAGAAUUGGUGUUUUAUUGAAAAAUAUAUUUAUUUUUUCAUCCAAUAAAUAAAUUUAUUUAUGAAAAAAUGGGUACUUUGUUCUUCUAAUAGAGGAAAACUAUAAAGAGUUGGUGUUUUAUUGAAAAAACGGGUUCAUUUUCAUUUUAUUCGAUAAAUAAUAUUUUUUUAAAAAAAUGGGUACUAUAUUCUUAUAAUGGAGGAAAGUCAUAAAGAACUAGUUUUUUAUUGAAAAAAGAGUUUAUUUUUAUUUUAUUUGAUAAACAAAUUUGUUUAUGGCAAAAUGAAUACUCUUUUCUUAUAAGGGAAGAAAGCCAUAAAGAGCUGAUUUUUAUUGAGAAACGGGCUUAUUUUUAUUUUUUCGAUAAAUAAAUUUUUUUAUUCGAUAAAUAAAUUUGUUUAUGGCAAAAUUGGUGCACAGUUCUUAUAAUAGAGGAAAGGCAUAAAGAGUUAGAAUUUUAUUGAAAAACGGGUUUAUUUUUAUUUUAUCCGAUAAAUAAUUUUUUUUUAGGAAAAUGGGUACUUUGUUCUUAUAAUGGAGGAAAGCGAUAAAGAGUUGAUUUUUUUAUUGAAAAACGGGUUUAUUACAAUUUUAUUCCAGCCAACUGUGACCCAUUUUCCCACUAACCUAAGGUAGACGGACUAAAUCAUUGAGUUCGUUAACCAGAGUCAAAAUUAACACAGAAGCAACUGACUCAAAUCACUCAAUCCUUUAUGGCUUAUACCAAAUUAAUACUAGAAAGCUUAUUUGAAAUAACAAUAAAAUAUUUUAUAAAUGAUUAAAACUUAGUACAUUAGUUAGUAAGUACUCGUAACAUACUUGUAUAAUGCAUGAUUAUAUGUAUAAUUUAAUAUUCUUUUGUACUCAUAUAUUUUAAAAUAUUCUGUGAAAAAUAUUUUAACCUUUCACAUGACCUUAGAAAAUAAUAAAAUUUUAUCGUAUUAUAAAAUAAUAAUUUUAUUUUAUUAUAUUCAUAGGUGUUAAAUUAUAAAAAUUGUGAUAUAGAAACAAGUGAUAUUCUACGUGUAACUAGGAAAAUUUGUUGUUAUUGUUAUCCAAACUUUCAAACUUUUCAAAAAUUGAAAAUGAAUACAAACUUAUGAUAAGACAAAAUUUUAUUAUAUAUUUUACAAGGUUACUUUUCAUAGUAUUUUAAAAUAUAUAAAUACAAAAAAUAUUAAAUUAUACCUAUAAUCAUUUAUUAUACAGGUAUAUUAUGAGUACUUACUAACUAAGAUUUAUCCCCACAUUUGUAUAGUUUGUUGUGACAAUCAGGUUUAUCCCCAUAUUUGUUUGAGCUUUGAUUACAAUGGAUAUAAGCUAUUCCCUCCAAACCCCAAAUUUUGAAUUAUAACAUUCAACCAAAACAUGUUCAAACUCUCAGGCUCGGUCGUACAAGGACAGUUAGUGUGAAUAUCCGUACUACACACGGUGCUUACAUUAUUAAAAUAAAUCAAAAGAUUAUACCAUUUUAAUUUGAAAAAAGUUAAAAAAAAUUAUACCAACUUAAUUAAAAUUUAAGAUUUGUCUAACAAUAGUUCAAAGUAUGAAAAAAACUGUAAAUCAUUCAAGAAUUGUGUUUUUGUAAAAGAUGGAUCUUAAAAUAAUAAUAAUAAUUUGCAUUAGAAAAUGAAUGAUAUAUGGAUAGAAAUAAAUGUAAUUGCAUGUUUUUUUAUUUAAAAAUGAAAUACUUACCAAUAUUAUGCAUUCGAUUUGAUAAUCUUAUAUAUAUAUGCAUUAUGAGAAUAUAUAUAUAUGUAUAUGUGUGUGUGUGUGUGUGUGAAUUAACUACCUUUGAAUUAAUUUUUAUUAAAAAAAUUAUUUAUUUUUAAUGCCUUUAUAAUUUGUGAAUGAUUCUGAGAGUAAAAUAUAUUAUGACAAUAAGAUACGUUGAAUUGUGAAAAUUGUAAUUUAAACAGGCUCCUAAAUUUUGGAUAUUUGACUUUCGUAGUUACGAAUUUCUUAAAUUAACGGUUAGUUAUUACUCUAAGUGAUAUGAUAAGUGUCAGUAAUAAAUGUGAGAUGUGAAUUGGAAUUUGCAGAUAUCAUUUUACAGGGGUGGUUAUUAUCCGUUAAUUAAAGUUUAGGAGUUUGAAUUUUAUGGGGUAGUGGAAAAAACAUGAGGGAAAUGUGGAAAAAAUAUAAGCAUGAUUAUAGGAUUUGUAGGGCCGGUUACAUGAUUAGUUAAGAGAUAAAUAUGUUUUAAUUAUAAAAAUGUAAAAUUCUAUUAAAAUAGCAUUGAGACUUUUGAUAAUUUUGGAAGCUCCUUAUCCAAAACCCCCUCAGCAAUACAUAUAGAUAUAGAUACUAAACGAUAGUUAUGAUAGCGAAAUAGUUUUUACCUGAUAUAACAUGUUGUUGCACUUUUAGCGAUCAUUUGAUUUAUUGUUGGACCUAUUCACCUAAAUAAAAUAACACCUAAAAUUAUGGAAGUAAGUUUCCUAUCUAAAAUAGUAAGUUAAGUGUAAUAGAUUAGUAACUUUUAUACCUCAAAAGGCAAAUUGGAAUAAAUAUUAAACUUAAUUUUUAAAUAAAUAGAUUACUACAUGAUAUCCCAAACUUACUUUUAAAAGAGUAAGUUUAGUUCAAAUAACAGUAAGUUUUUAUACAUAAAUAGUAAUUCUUACUAAUAACAUGGCAAUAAAAAUGAUUAAGGAUCAAAAUUUACCAUUUUUUGGAAUGCAUGUACAAUUUUUACAUUAAAACCGUAUCUCAAAGUAGUAUUAGGAAGUUUAUUUGAAAUAAUGAUAAGAUGUUUUUAUUAAUGAUUCAAACUUAGUACCUUAGUUAGUAAGCACUCAUAAUAUACCUUAGUAAGUUUAAUUCAAGUAAUAGUAAGUUUUUAUACAUAAAUAGUAAUUAUUACUGAUAACAUGGCAAAUUUGAUUAAUAAUUAAGAUUUAUUGAUUUAUGGGACGCAUGUACUAUUUUACUUUAAAACUUAUCUCAAACUAGUAUUAGGAAGUUUAUUUGAAAUAACGAUAAGAUGUUUGAUCAAUGAUUAAAGCUUAGUACCUUAGUCAGUAAGUACUUAUAAUAUACUCGUAUAAUACAUGAUUAUAGGUAUAAUUUAAAAUUUUUUGUACUUAUAUAUUUUAAAAUACUAUGAAAAAUAGUAUGAACUAAAGCUACUCUCCAAAAAGUAAAUUUCGGAUAUGCAGUAGUAAUUUAUUUUUAAAAAAUUUAAGUUGCAUAUUUAUUUCAAUUUACACUUGAACAUACAUCGAUCGGUGCUCUCUGGAUACGUCCAAACUCCAGUGAAUGUCUUUAAACUAAAUUCUAAUCAAAGUAGUAUCCAAAAUGUAAUGAUUCAGAGUAAAAUGCCCAUAAAACUUAGUACAAGGAUAGCUAGUGUGAAUAUCCGUGCUAUCCAAAAUAUUUAUGUAUUUUACAUAAAUGUAAUGAUUCAGAGUAAAAUGCCCAUAAAUAGAUAAUAUUUUGUUAAUGUAAUGCCCAUAAUCGGUGGCCCUAGGAUGGCUUUGUUUAGUAAUUAGUACUGCUUACGCUUCCUCACAAAUGUUUUAUUCUUAGGCCCUUUAUAUUUAUGUUAAUUCCGUGACAUCCCAACACAUUUUGAGCUUAUGCAGUACACAAUAUUUCCAAACCCGGUUAUAGGUCUCCACUUGCUUUUGUACAAAUAUUCCCUUCUUAGUCUAUACAUGUCAGGUUGCAACGUGCCACCUUCUUUGCCAUAUGCUUUACUUUCCACACCUCUUCUUUGACUACUAAACAUACUGCAGCAACAUCCUUGAUACAUUACCUUUAGUUUCUUUUCUCCAUCUGUCAGAUGUUUCUUUUUCUUUUGACUUUUAGCUCUAGCUCUGGACAAUUUGGGAGUAGCUUUUGAUUGCUAUCCUGGGAAGACGACCUGAAGUUUUCCAUUUUUGUUCCUUUUGUUUCGUACGCCUUUUGUGAGACCUGGGCUUAUACCUUUUGCUUGGGUACAAACACGAAGCAAAGUGAAACGAGACUUUUUCCUCGGUUUCUUCGUUAUUCUGUGUCCCCCAAAUUCUUGGUAAUUAAUUGGAUGAUAUCGAUUAAACCACGUGAGAUUGAUAUGAUGAGGAGUGGUUAGACUUCUCCUCUAUCCAAAGGUCAACGCGAGGGCGCGGUCCAUAACAUCUGUGACAUCUAAUCAAACUUUCAUUAUUUCUUCCAAUUUGUUACUAUUCGUGUGUUUCCUGGAUUAAUUGUUUAUGGUUAUUUUAUUAGUUGAGUAUCAACGGCGGGAUAUUUAAUUUAAUCUAAUAGCCUACUAUCACGUUAAUUAAAUUGAAUCUGUAAUUGUUCGUUUAGUUGACAACUGGUGACAACCACCAUAAUUAGUUUUGUGUUGGGGAAACGUAAGAUCUAAUUCAGAUAAACUCUCUUAGCGUGUUUAUUGGUUAGGGUUGGAUUUUUCUAGCCUUAAUGCAAUUGGAUAAUUAAAUUCCUACGGUCGUAUCUAGGGUUGUUUUCUGGUUAGAGAAGCAGUCAAUGGUCGUACCUUGACUGUCGAAAAAGUAAGGAAGAACUGGCUGUCAGAGCUUGUUGAUAGCUAUAACCAACCUAGUGACGAAUGAAUGAAAUAUCCUUGCAUCGAUGAUCAUUUAAUUGGACCGUGCCUGAAAAGUUGAUCCUUUGGGUAGAAUUUUAUUAAUUGCUAUUUUUAGUAAAUUGUACUUGGUGAGUUAGCUUUUGAAUUUGGUUUAUUUUAUUUUUAUUUGCAUUCCAUCAAAUCUUCCCAAAUUUUGUUCUAUUGACUUGGAAAGAAACAAUUUCCUAUCCAUUCCCUGUGGAAUCGACCCUACUUGCCAUUGUACGCAAAUUUAAUAUUUUUAUAGACAAAUAUGGUGUAUCGGAUCAAACAAACUCUUCGGGAACAGGGUGAAUCAAAUAACCCAUUGCACACCUAGGGUCCCUACUUCAAUAGUUGGAUUUGUUCUAUAAUUAAUUGUGGUGGUAAUUAGGACUUUUUAGUAAUUAUUAUUGUACAGGCUCGACACCUGUCAAACCUUAAAUCAAAGAAAUUGAUAGGAAUCACUACUAAGGUCCUUCCUUUCGGGUGCAAGCGAAACGAGACAAAUCAAGUCGAGUCGAAUUUUGACCUAAUCGAAUUGGACUACUUUUUGUAAGUUCUCACUUGGAACGAGUUGAAAGCUAUGGCAUUAUAAUUAUCAUUAGUGAAGUCCAGUUAUUGUUAGUAGAAUGAUAAUACGCUUGAUAGAUUUUAGUUCUUAGUUUAUCACUUUAUAUACUUAGUCCAGACAUUGAAACAUUAGGGCUUUUAUUCGUAAUGACUCAAUAUGAAGCAUGCCAAUACUCUACACUGAUUAUAGAAAAUGUAAAUCCCUUAAGCAGCAGCAUAAAGUAGUUGAAUGCUUCACAUUACACAAUACCAUUAUUCAGCAAGGAAUAAUUGCGAGUUUGUUGGACUAAACAGUCCAAGAAUUAAUCAAGCUAACCGAUUCAAUUGCUACUCUUGUGGUUCGGUGACAGAUUGUAUUCAGUUUAUUCUUCCAAGCAAUAUACAGUAAGGUAUCUUUUAUAAUUUAUUUCACGACAAGGCAAGUGCUUUUGUCGGACUCAAGACGCGGAUAAUAUGUUCAUGGUUCAGAUUUUAUCCAGAAUGCAAAAAUUUGAAUUGUAAGGGCAAGAAUAACGACAAGUAAUUUUGACUCAACCUGUCUGGGAAUCACUUAAAGUGGGUGGCCCCUGAGCUUGGCUCAGUAGUUUCGAGGAAUCAUCUCACCUAAUUGAAUUUGGCUGAUGAAAAGAAAAGUAAUUAGCUAGAAACUACUAAAGGAAAGAAAUGCUCCAUUGGAUACCCUUUUUCUCUUGUUCGUGUUUGGGGUACGUGUUUGAUGCAGUAGCCAAUAGCUAGUGAGCACGAUGAGUUCAAGUCAUGGCCCGCACGAUAACUUUUCCUGCAAGUCAUGCAGUGACACCUAAAUGCAUGGUGUUUCCCUGCCCAAAUAGAUAUCCAUCGCCGUCUAAAUAUACCGGUUGAAGCACGGAACAAUAAAGACGAGAAAUCUUUUGCGAUAGACUGCUACAAAGACGAGAAAGAGACUGGAAUUGGAUUGUCAAUUCAGCUGGUCAAUUGUAAUUUGGCUUGCUACCCUGGUACCAGCCAGCUAGGGGUGCUCACACUUUGAAAAAAAAAAUCGAAUAAUCAAUUGAUUCAAUUUAGAUCGAAAAUCGGAUGUCGGUAAAAUGGAAUUUGGAAAAACCGAUUAAGAUCCAAUUUUAAAUUUUGGCAAAACAGUUUGAGGUUUGAUAUUGAAUUUUGAUUCUCGAAUUUUCGAUUACCACCGACUGAAUUACCGAAUUUCAUAUUUUAAUUAAAUAUUUUAUAUAUUUCAUGCCUAUUAAUAUAUCAUAUUGCAUAUUGAUGUAUCAAUCAAUAGUGUUAUAAGUUAUAAUAUAUGUUUAUAGACAGAUAUAUGACCUUCAAAGCAUAUUAAUAACUUUUUACAUUAUUAAUUACAUAUUAAAUAUACUUAACUAAUAUAUAUUAGAAAAUCAAUCUAAAACUUUGGAUAUUUUACCGAAAUACUAAUUAUUCGGUCGUAAUCCAAUUUGCCAUAUUCAAUUACUAAAUAAAAGUUUGAACGGUAAUUGGACGUUGACAUUGUUGAAAAAAUUGAAAAAAAAGUUGAAUUUUUAAUCAAAUUAUCGGCCGAUAAACACCCUAGUAGUCUAGUACCAGUGCGAAACGUACGAAGACACCGCGUGAAGGGCGGCCAUGGAUCAAAGCAAUUCAUGGGCAUUUUUUUCUCUGCAUACACCGAAAAUCACCAAAAAGGCUGAAAAUUUCGCCUCUCUUCGUCUUCCUCAUCUUGAGCAUUUUCUUAAAGUUGCUCAACUGCAUGCCUACCUCUCCAAAUGCCUUCUCCUCCUUUAGUAAAAAAUCUACUCACUAAUCUUAGGUUAUCCCUUAUUGCCUAUUCUCAAAAUAUUAGCUAUGAUAAAAAUAUCUUUUGGUUAAUUGGCGAUGGAGGUUGGCCAGAAUUUUGGCGGGGCAACUCGAUGCCUUUAUUGUAGCUACUAGGUCUACAGCCAUGCUAGCGGUGCCUCUUCACCCUUUCCCAGGCAGAACUGAAACCGUAAAUCAAAUAAAUUGAUAGGAAUCACUACUAAGGUCCUUCCUUCUGGGUGCAAACGAGACGAGUCAAAUCGAAUUUGAUCUAAUUGAGUCGAAUCUCAAUUUAAUUUUAUGAAACUCAAACUCAAAUUUGAAUAUUUUCGAGUUUGAGUUCGACUUAGUCAGUUAGAAUUUACUAUUGAUCGACCUCAAUUCGAUCUCGGACUCGAGUUGCUUUCGAUUCGUUUGCAACCCCACCUACUUAUUUGCCUUUUACUUUUCCUCUUUGUAACGUCAGGGCUUAUGGAUUGGUGACAAGGAUUAGUACAGGAGCUCUCAUUGAGUUGAACUACUUUUUGUAAGUUCUCACUUGGAACGAGUUGAAAGCUAUGGCAUUAUAAUUAUCAUUAGUGAAGUCCAGUUCUUGUUAGUAGAAUGAUAAUACGCUUGAUAGAUUUUAGUUCUUAGUUUAUCACUUUAUAUACUUAGUCCAGACAUUGAAACAUUAGGGCUUUUAUUCGUAAUGGCUCAAUAUGAAGCAUGAUAAUACUCUACACUGAUCAUAGAAAAUGUAAAUCCCUUAUGCAGCAGGGAAGACAGCGAUAAGUAAUUUUGACUCAACUAACUUGUACGGGACAAUUUUAACUCAAUUAUAUUCUAAGAGUUUACAAGCUGAUAGUGAAUUAAUGCAACUCAUUGAACCGCUUUUACGUUGCUCAAGAACGGUUUUAUUGAAAAUCGUUGCUGCCCUUUUUCCCUGUUUCGGUAGCAAUUAACUCCUUUCACGAAUCAUGAGAAAAAAUUUACCAGGCUUUCUCUCAUCUACAUAAGCGCUUGUCAGUUAGUACAAGUGGCAGUUGAUGAUAAGCUUAUCCAAGCUUAAUAAUAUUCACAAAAGCAAGUUCAAUAUUUAUCUAUGUCUAUAGAAAAUUGUUGAUAAAAUGACAACCACUUAAUUCUAUCCUUUCGACCCAAAAAAAAGAAAAAAAAGGCAACCACUUAAAAAGAUGUCAGAAUGAUGUCAGAAUUAUUGGCAUGGACCACUCGGGUAAAAACCGGUUGGAUGGAAUAGUCCAUUUCCAAGAAUAGCCGACAAAACGUACGGAGUAGGAUCCACAUACUUUGCUAAGCAAAUGAUCUUGCAAUUAUUCUCCAUUAGAGUGGAUGAGUGCACAACUAAAAAAAUUAAAAUAUUUGUGUGGGUCUAGGUGCACUCCUUUCUGUGGAGUAAACCUUGAUCGGAUCUAAAUUCCAUCAAUUACAAUUUGGUCAGGAAAUGCAACACAGAUAGGCCAAUCAAGAGUGCAGACCUUCAACAAUAUUAUCGUAUUACUUACUACUAGGUGCUCAGUAGACUAUUUGGCGUAUCUAUUCUCAUAUAUAUUGUUUUUCAUACCAAAACAUAUUUCAUUAACGAAUUAUUGAAAAUCAUUCAACACGAUUGAUAUAUAUCAUUGCUUUAAUAACAAAUAAAAACAUGCACUAAAAUCUAGAAAUACGCAGCACAAUUAAAACUUUCAUGCUAAAAAAAAGGAAUUAAGUAACUCGACUCGACUAUUUUACAUCAUAUUAUCCGUUACAGUAAAAAAGACAAACCAAAAGAUAUCGCCAUUCAUUAAAGAUAUCGGAAUGAUUAAAGUUGUGUGGAAAAACUUGGCGACGGGUUAGGUGGGGACAAGUGGACGAUGGAAGUCUCAAUCCGCCAUGGAAAAUUAAAGAUAUUGCUUUUUGAGAAAAUCUCCCUUGGGAGGCAUAUCCUCCUAUCAGCUACAGGAACCGUUCAUUCCUGAGCACCUGAGGUGGCUGUAAAAUGUCGAGAUCCCUAUUGGACAAUUGACCUUUAAAAUGGCAGACUCUAUCAAACCAAUCCACGUCUGUACGGUCGAUGUCUAAAUUUCAAAUGAUGUACUAAUUCCAUACACGUGGUAUUGUGGAAAGUCUACAGUUAGGCAGAGGUUCUCUGCAUCACGCAACUCGGAUAAUUCGUGGAAAUUAAUCACGAGACUUUUUUUCAAUGGGCACCCAUUUUGAUGAGGACACGAGUGAUAUAAAAAUUGAUCAUCUUCGACAACGUAUGAUUGGACUAGCAUUCUGACUCGUGCUAUAUAUAUGAAAGGGAUUAUAUCUUUAAAGAAGUAAUAAAAUUUUAUAUGAUUAAAAAAAGAUAAAAGAAGAAUUCGAGGGCGUGUCAAUGUAAUAUCAAUUAUGCUGAAAUGCAUUAUAUUGUAAACAAAAGCGAAGAAAAAGGAAUUGAAUAGAGUAUGUUACUUUACAUAGGCUACAUGUUUUGUUUUAUUAUUAUUAUUAUUAUAAAGAAAAACUAAAGGCCUAAUGUUAGGAACAUAAAAAACAAAAAAAAUAGCAUGAGAGAAUAAGAUGAAUCUUGUUUUUUAUUAUUAUUGUGGACAAUUUCAUGUCUAUCUAUGUCCAUAAACAAUAAAAAUCUUGUAUUCGUGAUAGAAAAAUAUUAUUGUUACAGCAAUAUUAUUAAGUAAAUUUAAUAGGUAAAAUGGAAAUAUGAAACUAAUAUCGUUAAGUAAAUUUUAUUGUUAAGUAAAUUUAAUCUCAUAAAAUGAUAAUAAAAUGUAAAUCUAAUAUUUCUAUAAAGUAAAUGAGUAAAUUUUAUAUACACUAUCACGAUUGAAUAGAUGACAUAUGAGUAAAUUUUGAAUUUUAAAUUCAAAUUUCGCACAUAUGUCAUAUAUCUAAUAAUGAUAGUGUAUACACUAUCAGUGUAUAUAAGAUUAAUCCAUAGUAAAUUUAAUAUUGUUAAGUAAAUUUAGUCAACUUAAAUCUUUACCAAUUGCUACCUACACUCCCAUUGCCAACUAUUCUUUUCUAUUCCUGAGACUCAUUUUAUUACUUACCUACCACUUUUAAAUAUAUUCAAUGCCAUCAAUGAAAACAUACCAAAAAUUUUCAAAAAAGACCCAAAAAAUACUGCAUAUAAAGAUUUUAAAAGAAUAUUCCCAUUAUGAAAGUUUUCUAAAAGCAUCCUAAAAGUAACCCAUCAAAAUGGAGCCAUACUUUGUGUAAUUUUUGUGAAUUGUCGUUCCUAAACUAAUUUUCAUAAUAUUAAUAUUUUCAAUUGAAAUUUUAAACUUUAAGUAGUUUAGUAUCAUUGCGUAAAUUUACGCUCCUUUUGGAUUGCAUUUUCCGUCAUGUUCUAUGGAAAAAUUACUGUGACGAUUUGAUGUAUGUGAGGAAAAAAAGGUAAUAGGGAAAUGUGAUCACGGAAAACGACACAAUUUUCUGGCAGAAAAUAGCAUUCCAAACAGGAUCUUAGCUUCCUUUAACUUUUUCUACGACCCCACAUCACCACUUUCCUACUUCCUUCUUCCCUUGUCCUCAUACUCUACCUUGCAGCAACCCGAUUCCGUGCUACUUUUCCAUAUCCCCACAACCCCUGAAUGCAAAUCGUCCUUUUCUGUAGAUGCUACAUCUAUAGAGCCAAAUUUUGUGCAUUAUUUUCAAAUUAUCUUUUCUAAACUAAUUUUCCUAGUUUCAAUAUGUCUUUAGUUUAAAUAAAAACUUUAAGUAGUUGCAAAGUAUCCUUCUCCAUUUCUUUAGUCAUAACUAUAACAUAAUUUUAAUUUUGAUUGCUCAACAAAAGAAUAGGUAAAAAUAUUAUAUUUCUUUUUUAUGCUCGAACAAUUCUAAUAGCAUGAAUAACGUCUGAUUAUAAAUAAUUUAGGUCCAAUUUUAGAUCUAGGUCCGGGCCGAAAUUUAGAGCUAUUUUUUAUUUUUUGUGCAUGAUGAUUCUAAAAAUUGAAGUAUCUGAUAAGUAUAUUUCAUUUUUUCUAAAUUUUGGGUAUGAUUUGUAAAUUUCAGUUAGGAAAGCAAUACAAAAAAUAUUUUUUCUCUUCUUGUAUUUUUUUUUAGUCAAUUUUGCCAAUUCGCUAAAUUGUUCAACUAUAUGAUUUGGAAUCUUGUUAUGUCUUUCGAGGAUAGGAACUUAAAUUAGUUUUUUUUUUUUUGGGUAUGAUUUGUAAAUUUUAGUUCGGAAAAGAAUACAAAAAUGUUGAAUAUUUUGUAAUCUUGUGUUGUGUUUGUUAGUCAAUUUUGUUAAUUUGCUAAGCUGUUCAACUUAUAUGAUUUGGAAUAUUGUUAUUUCUUUGGAGGACAAGAACUUAGAUUAUUAGUUUAUGUUAGUCAAAGAUUGUUUUUUAGUUAAUUUUUUAUAUUGAUUAUUACGGAUACAAUUAUUUUUAGUUUCAAAUAUGUAUAGAUAUUUUUGGUAUAUUUAUUUAAUUGCAUUAUUAGAGGGUUGACUAUUGUAGGGCAUGUUUGAAACUAAGUAAAAUAGGGAACAGAAUAAAACUAAGGUGUGCUACAAUACCUAAUCCAAACGUUAUAUUUGGUAUGAUUAAUUAAUUGCAUUUAUUAAGAGAGUGACUAUUAUAUGCCGUGUUUGGGGCUACGUUAAAAUUAAGGAAUUAAAAGCAACAAAGACAUGAAUCCAAACAGAAGACAUGAAUCAAUUUUUGAAAUAAAUAAAUUAAUUAAAAUUCUAGAAAAAUAGGAUGACUAGUUGAAGGCUCAAUAUGUUUUGAGCCUUCAAUAACAUAGGAUUGAAGGGUGGAAUUUAAGAAGCAAAGAGGGAGAAGAGGGUUUUGAGCCUAAACAAGAUCUCUAAUUAUUGAAUUAUCGACCUUAACCAUUAAAUCUUUUUCUCCGUGUUGUAUCACAAAGCGGUUGCACUUGCACCUGGACUGCCACUCAAACUCAUUUGUUGAUCAGGUCAGGAGAUUGGCUUUCAAUGUGGUGGUAUACUAGCUAUGGACAGCAAGGAAUUUGGCUAUGUUUCAGCAGAGACAUAUCUCGGCUGUGGACAUAGUUUCUGCUGUCUUGGCUCCUGUAAAGGAUGUGACAGCAGGUUAGAGGAAGAUCCCUUUAUCUAGAACCAACUGGGAAUUGGCUCUGUGUUUUAGCCCGUGAUGGCUAAUUCGUAUGCUUAAACAGUGAUUAGUUGGAUGUAACUGGAAUCUAUACAUUCCUGUGUACAAGCUUCGCUUCUGUGAUCGGUAAGAACAUGUUUUGCUAUGAGAUUAUUUAUACAUGAGAGUCGCAUUCACACUGAGGGCGAGGAAAAAAAUUUUCUUGCUUAAGACCAAACGUCAGAAGGAUUGAGUGGGAAAAUCUUAACAACUUAACAUAAUUAAAUAAGGGGUGAUUUGAACUUUAUAUUUCUACUAGUAGUGAUAUAUUUGUAACAUAAUUAAAUGGGAUCAUUCCAACUGACAUAUUUUGCAGUUACUUUUGAGGUGGAAGUAUUGAACUUUACAUUUCUACUAUUACUGAUCUAUCGAACUAGGACCAUUCCAAAGUUUUGCACAUCGGUAUGAAUAUUUGUGCACAUAGUAAGGGCAUGUUCUGCAGGUUACUUUAAUUUUUAAAGUUAUAGAGAGAUGGUAAAAAGUGUAAAUUAAAAUUGCAUUUGAAGCAGCAGUGAGACAUUCAUAAUUUAGACCAGGUUAGUAGAAUAGUUGCCCCUACCAUUAUUGCACAUUGAAAGGCACUCAUUUCACUUUAUUGUACCAUAGUUGAAGGAUUUCGUAGACUACUUGAGCACUCUUUUUACUUCAAGAAUGUUCAUGGAAAUUUUACAUUUCAAACAAAACUCCUAGUUUUCUCUUAUCGAGAUUCGAAUUUUGUCUUCCAUCAAUUAUUACUUGAUAUGCAAUUUCUUCUAAAAUCUAGAGGGUGUUUGGAGCACUCGUCUAAUCUAACAGUGAUUCAGUCCCCGUUAAUUUCAAGGAUCCACUUCCCCCAUAGCUGCCGUGUAAUGUCCCAAAAAAAAAAAAAAGAAAGAAAAAGAUCUUUCUUCGUCCAGUUGUGGAUGAGGUUAGGCGAGCACAACGGUAGUCUCUAGCAACAUUAAAACACAAAAAUAAUACCAUUCACCUUUUUGAGAGCAGAAAUGAGAAAUCGUGCCAUUCACGUUUUCUUGUACGGAUGUUUGGAUAUUCUAGAUGCUGAACAUCCACUUGAGAUAAACUCAUCUAUAAAAUGGUCAGUCAUUGUGCAAGUGAACUCACCAAAGCAAAGCUCCAAAAAUCACCGAAAAGAAAGAAAAAAAAAUGGCUGCCUCUUUGCAACCACUGUUCUCAGCAAUGACAUUCCUGUUGUUGAUUGCUUCUCUGAUUGGGUCCUCCGAAGCUGCCGGAAUUGUCCAAUACUGGGGCCGAGGCCAUAAAGAACCAUCAAGUUUGGCUGAGUUCUGCAGGCGAGAAUUCGCUACCGACGUGAAUAUUGCCUUUCUGGAAAAUUUUGGCAGCGGCCAGAUGCCUGAAUUGAACAUAAUUCAUCCUUGGCCGAGCUCAUCAGACAUAGAAUCUUGCCAGAAUAAUCAGACCAAAGUGUUUAUUUCUCUCGCAGGACAACCGAACCUUACUUCCGUCGAAGAUGCGGAAGAAGUGGCAGCCUAUGUCUGGAACACUUACUUAGGCGGUGAAUCAAGCGACCGUCCAUUCGGCACAGCUGUUUUAGAUGGCGUAGAGCUUCACAUCCACAGCGGAAACACGACUUACUUGGAUGAUCUUGCUCGGGCACUUAAGGGAUACCCAAAUGUGAUCUUAGCCGUAGCGGCGGAAUGUCCUAUUCCUGACCCUGCUCUUGACGCAACUAUCAGAACUGGAGUCGUUGAUCAGGUGCGGGUGGAAUUUUUCGACAACCCAUCUUGUCAGUUUGUCCCUCCAAACGAUACCAGUCUCCUCUUCCGGAGCUGGGACAAUUGGUCUGAUUAUCCAGGCGUUAAUCUAUUGUUCCUGGGAAUACCUAUCUCAAAAGAUAUCGCACCUGAGGGCGGUUACAUCCCACCUAAUGUGCUAGUUUAUCAUGUUCUUCCCUAUCUGCAGAACUCUCCUGUUUAUGGAGGCAUCAUGGUUUUCCCCUACCUUCAUCACGAGGUAAAUUUCCAAUCCCUGCUACGGUCCUAUGCUCGUGCUGCCUGAUCAGUUCCUUCCUCUCGAUCGCUAUCUACUGAAGGAGGGAUGAAAUCAAAUGUACUCCUGCUUGUUAAUGCCGG
rnacentral:lncRNA from 1 species